AUUGUGCGAAUCCGGAAUCUCGUCCACGGAGAUGGUCACCGACUUUUGCGCCAGUUGGAACAUUCUCACUAGCACUGCACACAUUUCCACCUCGUCAAGGUACUGGAGGGUCGAGACACACACGACGUGGUCGAACGAUGUGGUGGUGUCCAUAAUCACGUCCUGAAGGGGACCAAUCUUCACUUCCUUGUAUGUCUCCGGGAUUGGAUUCUUCUGAACCAUUUGCUCGGAUACGUCAUUGCCCACGAUCGUGCUCAGUUCUAUGCCGUCUUUGCGUUUCCUUUGAUGCUCGUGGAGCAUGCGACUAAACUUUCCCGUGCCGCUGCCCAAUUCAAACAUCGUGCCGGAAUAAUCGUAGUCGGCGAUUAGAAAUUCGUAGUUCGAGGCCAUCGUUCCCAAAUAACUUUCGUAGGUCGUCGAGAAGGAGUCGAAUACCUUGGCCACAGGAGCAGCCUUGAUCUUGUGCUUUCCCAGCUGCUGCAGUCUGCUGUUGAUCAUCACGUUCACAAGCGCGCGAUGACCGCCGGGAAACGUCUCGCGGAUCACGAUGUCCUCCCACUCGUGCUCCCAGCGGUAGAACACCGCCGGCCCCGCGUUGACCUCCAGGAUGAAGGGCUUACCGUCUGACGCUCGAACCCUAAUAUCCACAUUGCCCCAGCUGUUUCCUGCCAUUUGGUUGACGUGCCAGGCUCUCUCCGCCAGAUUGCGCAACAUGUCGAAGAGCGUCGGGUCUUUGCAACGCACCAGGAGCUCCUCACGCAUCUCCGGGUGGAACUUGAUGUCGAAAGUCAUGAAAUCAGCGCCGGCGUUGAUUGCGGGGCAUCGGUAGGUAGUCGGGUUUAGCGCCACGGGCGUGUUGCCCAUCUCGAUGAGAAUGACGGAGUAAUCGCGCCCAGGUAUGUACUCUUGGACGACAAUGUCAGUAUCACUACCGUCGAAAUGAGCAACUCCGUUGACAUUAGCACUGUCGUUAACGUGAUCACUUCCAUCGACAUGGGCGAUUCUAUUGCCGUUGACGCUCCCGUUAUCGUGAUCACUUCCGUUGACAUGGGCACUCCCGUUUCCGUCAGCGCUCCUAUUGCAGUGAUUGGCGAUGGUUGCGGCGGCUUCCUUUCGACCGGGAGCAAGAUACUCAUUGAUGCGGGCCAGCUGCUGAUCAAGUUCGCUUUGGUUCUUGCACACGGACCUUUCGUCGAUAAACAUUGACGCGCACAUCUUCGCCGGUUUCACAAACACCGGGAACUUCAUGUCAGCACCCCUUGCCGGCACUGGCAAUCCAGAUUUCUUGGCCGCGUUGUAGAAGUCGAGCUUCGAUCGUCUCAAGACCUUGCUCUGAUAACCCACAAUUGGAACUCCCAAAGACUCCAAGUAUUCAGUAGCCUCUAUACCCGCGACGGUAUCCUCGAGUUGGCCCCACAUGAAGUUGAGGAACAUGUCGAAGCCCUCGGCGACGGCAGCAUCGAUCUGGGCGUUGGCAGUGGCUUUGUUGAUGUAACGGUGAUGGAAUUCGUGUUGGGAGGUGAACAUGGCGGGGUCUGGAAAGCUGGGGUCAUUGAUGGCAAGGGCUUGGGUGGAGUCUGCGUAGGGAGCCUGGAGAACACAGAUCUUCAUGGCGAAUGGUUUGGUACUAAUUCCGCAGCUUGAUCAGAAAUCGCUGAGGAGGAAUACGCCCGUACGAAAGAAGCUGUGCUUGUUCUCGAAACCUGCAGAUGGCCAGGAAAGUCAACAGAAUGUCAUGCCUGCACAUGCAUAUUACAGUCACAUACAAGAGUAUAAAAACUCUCGAACGAACGAAAUUUGUUUUUCCAUGUAGCAGCAGUCUGGCUAGUACCGUGGGCAGAAGAAAACAUGAAAGGCACGAUGAUAACUAUUCACAUCGGAUGGGACGUGACCGUGAAAUCAGACCAGCGUUAGUAGCUCUUAUUACAAACACCUGAAAUUCAUGCACCGAGGAUUGAGUGUCCAGGACUAUGUGACCCCUGAAGCUGGUCUAUCACAACGUGAAUUGUAUCUUCGAAUUGCACCACCUUUGGAAAAUUAUGACCUAGACUCCCUGCACGAAGUAGACUCUGCGAGUAAACAAGAAUAAGACGCGGCUUCUGCAACAAGGAGGCCUUCAGACCUUACCGAAUAUGAAAUUGCGGCAUGCAGGAACGUCCGCCUCUAAAAGAGUAGAAUGGCUGCACGCAUGUCGAGAGGGAUGAGAACGUCAGGUUCCGGCUUAUUUAUCUCCCCCUCUCUCACAUGAACCUCGUGGGGACCUGGCACCAUUUCUUCGCGUCUUUCCAGGAUGGAUUGUCAGUGCCCUCUCAAGUACAAUUGCUGCAUUGACGUCAGGUUCAGUCGUACUUAUCUCCCCCUGUCUCACAUAGACCUCAUCAUUCCUUCACUUGGGCUGUUUUUAACAGAAGCAGCGAUCAUCGUGAAGUUGCUGUUUUCGAUAUUUUUCAGUUUGCUGAUUGAGUGGAGUGAUCUACAACGGAGAGAGAAAAGUAUCUUGAAGGGUAUAUAUUAUUAUAUUCUUAUAUCAUAUCAAGACAGAGUAGGUCAAGGUACUCUCUAUCACUAUCAAUAACAAAUGACCUUAUUCUCUAGAUAAAUCUAGUACAAGCGUUACAUCUCCUAUUCCACAAUAGUACAUAACACUGUCUUUUUGAAGGACUCAACUUGAAACUUUAAUUAAAAAUAAUAAGUUUGUGCAAAGUAAAAAAAAUCAGAAAUUAAAACAACAGUUCAAUAGAUUGGAAUACGUUGUAAAAACUAAAUUGUUAUUACUGGUGUAUCAAAAGAUAUAGAAGCCAUACAAUAAUAAUGAUUGAAAAAAUAAACUGAUGAAAAUGAAGAGGGAUUUAAUGCUGCCAUUGUAAAAUUUACUCGCAAUGUUAAAAGUUUUUGAUAUCUUUUCAUUCCACCUAUAAUGAUUCUUUAAUGAUUCUUGGACGUGAACAAUUUACAGAAGAUAAUUUAAAUAUAGAACAGAAAAUACAGAUAUUUUAGAAAUAAAUAAAUAAAAAACACAUUAACAUAAAAAAAUAAAAUGGAAUAAAAAUUUAAAGUCUCUCUCUCUUUCUCUAUAAAUAUAUAUGUAUAUAUAUAUAUAUAUAUAUAUAUAUAUAAGUAUGUAUAAAAUAUGUACUAUUUUAUUAAGAUACAAAUUUUUUAAAUAUUAAUACAUAUAAAUAUAUUUAUUUUUUAAUGAUAAUAUUAUUAUUAUUAAUUAUUUUUAUUGCUUCAUAAUAUUUAUUAAUCAAGAUAUAUGAAUUUCUAUCACGUUAAAUUUGAAAUACAAUGUUUAUGUUGAAAAUCAACAAGUACUUGCUUAAUUACAACUACAUAGAGAUUAAGCAUAUUAUUUUGCUAAUAGUCAAAACACAGCAAAGAAUUAAAGGAAGUUACUAUGGUAGCACCUAGGAUUUAGUUAGAUGAAGUAAAAAUGGAUAUAAUAUCAAAAGGAUGGAAGUGGCCUCGUUGCUUACCAAACCACCACCUAUAAGUAAAAGGUGUUGGAAGUAAGAAUUAUCUUACUCCACACUUUUGUUUGUAUGCAAACCUUGCUGAUACUAAGUGUUUGUAGCUUUUAGACUUCUUUUCUUCAAUAGGUUAUGGGCCCACUGACAUUUGCUUGAGUGUUUUGAAGUUCUUUGAAGUGGUUGUUGAUGUGUGGAGUAGAUCAAGUUGUUGUUGGUGAUGUUAGGAUUUAGAAGUACCUAACUUUUAGAUUCAGAUCUAGAUCUAGAUCUUAAUUUACUCUUACUUGUAGUUAAGAGCAUUUUAGUAUUGGUGUUUGGUUUUUCACCUUAAGGCAAAGUUAUACAAUACUUUUAUUGUGCUAUUGCUCAAAUAGAUCUUUGGUGGUGUAACUUUGUAGUUUCAUGUUCUAAAGAUGCUGAUUGUGCUUAAAAGGCCUCUUAUGGUGUAUAGAUAUAAUUUGUGAAUAUAAGAGUGAUAUUUGAGUGGCAAGUCAGAUUUGAGACAUUAAGAUAGGUCAUUAGACUUGUGAGAAGCCUUAGAAGUGAAGUUGAAAGUGUUUUUGAGAGUAAGAACACUAGUUUGUUUACAAAGAAGGAUUCUAUGAUUCUAAAGUAGCAAUAUUUUUUGCUGAUUUUGAGAGCAUUAGGACUUCUUCUUUUAAUUUUUUUUUGAUAAAUCUCUCGCUUCGAUAUGGCUUCAAGUGAAGGUAAAGGAUUGAGAGUUAUUGAGAAGUUUAGAGGUGAGAAUUUUUACCAUUGGAAGGUAAAAAUGGAGCUUUUGUUGGCGUCUUUAGAUCUUUAAGAUAUUGUAGAUCAAAGUGAAGAGGCUCUAAGCAUAGAUGCUUAUAUGAAAGAGAAGAAGAAAUUCAAAUGUCAUGAAAAGAAGGUUUUUGGAUUGAUUGCAACCAAUGUGGAUGAAGCUAACUUCUCUCACAUUAUUUCUUGCAAAGAAUUAGCGGAAGCAUGAAAGAUUCUUUGCAACAUCUAUGAGAGCAAGAACUUAUCUAACAUCAUCUAUACAAUGAAGAAGUUCUUCACUUGCAAGAUGGAAGAAAGUGAAGACCUCAUGGCUCAUGUCAAUAAGGUAAAGGUUCUUACAAACAAACUACCAAUUGUUGAUAAGCCUUUAGAAGAAAGUGAUAUUGUCAUGACCUUGUUGAUGACUCUUCCUGAAUCCUACAACUACCUUAUAAUGGCAUUGGAAUUCAUUAAGCUAAAAGAGCUUAUAAUGGAAUAUGUCAUAAUAAGACUUUCUCAUAAAGUAACCAAGAAGAAAGAAAAUGAGCCUCAAAGUAAAGAUUCAAUACUCUAGUCACGUCAAGGCAAGGACAACUAUUCAAAUCAACAAGGUAAUGUCAAAUCUUGCUUCAUUUGUCGCAAAGUAGGCCAUUUUGCUAGAAAUUGCUACAAAGAUAAGAAGAUAGAGAAAGAGAAUGCAAAUAGUAUGCAAGAUGAGUUUGGAGGACAAGAUUAUAUAUUCAAGGCAACAAAUGGGACCUCUAUGGAUGCCAUGUCAAGAUGGAUUGUGGAUUCAGGUUGUUUUAAGUAUAUGACAUCUUAUAAGUAUUCAGUUGACAUUUAUGAUGCUAUUUCAGCAUUAAAGGUGGUGUUGACAGAUAGUGGUACAUGUGAAGGCAUUGGAAUUGCCUCUAUUAUGAUAGAAGUGGUUGUGAAUAGAAAAACCAAUAGGAUCAGAUUCAAAAACGUCUUUCAUGUGCCUAAGAUGAAGCAAAACCUACUUUUGAUGAGUAAACUUGUAAUAGAAGGUUUUAAAGUUCAAUUCGACAUGAAUGGAUGUUUUGUAAAAAUAUUGAGUUGAAUUAAGGUCUUCAAAGGCUUUAAAGAGGGAAAUUUGUACUAUCUCAUUUAUAAGAAGGUGAAUGGAGUGGAGGUAGCUCCAUUUGUAGAGUUUACAUCAAACCAAGACAAGUUGAAAAUAUGGCAUCAUCGCCUUGGCUAUUUGAAUGUGAAGAGCAUGAGAGAGCUCAAGUCUAUGGUAAGUGGCUUAAAUCUUUGCAAUACGAGCCAAAAUAUAAAAGAACUUGUACGUAAAAAAUGCAUACAAGGCAAACAACAAAAGACCUCAUUUCCAAGUAACUUAGCAACAUAUGCUACCACGUUGCUAGAGAUUGUCCAUUCUGAUAUAUGUGGACUUAUGAAGAACACAAAUAAUGGAAGAUCAAAGUAUUUUUUGACUUUUGUUAAUGAUUAUUCAAGAAAGAUUUGAAUUUACAUUCUUAAAUCCAACAGUGAAUGCUUUUAGAGGUUUAAGGAGUUUAAAGCACUUAUUGAAAAAUAAAAUAAAUGUAAGAUCAAGAUGCUACGUACGGACAAUGGAAGUGAGUACAUGUCUAAGUAAUUUGAUAUUUAUUUGAAGAAUGAAAGAAUUUCUAGACAAACUACAACUCCGUACACUUCACAAUAAAAUAGUGUUGCUGAAAGGGCAAAUCAAACUAUUGUAGAGAUGGCAAGGAGCAUGCUUCAUGCUCAACACCUUGGUUAUGAGUUUUGGAUGGAAAUUGUGGUGAAUGCAGUGUAUACAAGAAAUUACUGUCCAACAAGUGCUCUUGUAUCAAUGACACCACAAGAAACUUGGAGUAGAAGACAACCUUGCAUUUUCCAUAUGAGGACCUUUGGUUGCAUUGCAUAUGCAAAAAUACCAAAUUAUAUGAAGUCCAAACUUGAUGCAAAAGGUACAAAGUAUGUGUUUCUUGGUUGUUGUGAAGGUACUAAGGCAUAUAGGCUAAUAUACUUAAAAAACAAGAAGGUCAUCAAAAGUCAUGAUGUUGAUUUUUUGGAGCACAAGAGUGCUUGUAAACACUUGGAGAUGUAUUCAAGUGAGAGUAAUGGUAUGUUUGUGGACACAUCUUUGAAUUCAGCAAAGAAAUAAGAAGAUGAAGACAAUAAAAUUGAUGACGAUGAAAAGACAAAGAAGGUUGAAAAGAUGAAGGCUCCUAUAAUUGCUAGAAAUAGUAAUAAAAGAAAUGAAGAUGUUGAAGAUUAUGAUGAUGAUGAUGAUGAUGAGUACCAACAUUAAGUGAGAAAUGACAAGGUUUAAGAGAGGAGGUUGAAAAAGAACAUAAAAAGCAGCAACGUAAAUCUUCUUCUAUAAAUGAAAGAAAAUAUCUUUUAAGAGAAAAAAGACAAUGUGGUGAAUGGUGGAAGGAUCACAUCUUUCCUCAAGUAGGUGAAGAACAUGCAAAUAUUGUUCUUCUUGUUGAUCAGUUAUCUUUGUAAGAUGCAUUAAAGUCCCAAGAAACAAUUAAGUGAGAGAAGGCUAUGGAAGAAGAGUAUCAAUCUAUUAUGGACAAUGAUACAUGGAAAUUGACACCCCUUUUAGCAAAUCGAUCUAGUAUUGGUUGUAAGUAGGUGUUUAGAACUAAAAAAGAUGCAAAAUGUUCCAUAUAAGGUAACAAUAGGCUCAAUCAUGUAUGCAAUGGUAGCCACAAGAGUAGACCUUGCAUAUGCAGUGAAUGUUGCAAGCCAAUACAUGUCUAAGGCUAGACCAUUGCAUUUGACAACGAUAAAGAAGCUAUUAAGGUACUUAAAAGGUACAAAAGACUUCAAAUUAUGCCUUGGUGGUAAGAACAUUGAUUUGUUAGGUUACUAUGAUGUGAAUUGGACUGUAGAUGCAAAUGAUAGAAGAUCCACAAUAAGAUUUGUCUUCUUCAUUGGAAUAGGAGCUAUUUCAUGGAAUUGCAAGAGACAACCUUCCAUUGCAAGAUCAACAUUGAAGGUAGAGUACAUGGCAGCAAGUCAUUGUGCAAUGGAGGUGUGUUAGAUAAAGCAACUCUUAGAAGACAUUAGACUAGGGCAAUUAGAAGCAACUCUCAUUAUCUAUGACAAUUAAGGAUGUCUUGCAUUUGCCAAGAAUCCAAAAUAAUAUUCAAGGCCCAAGCACAUUGAUGUUCAACAUCGUUUCAUACGAGAGAGGAUUGAAGAUGGAAUAAUAGGUAUGAAGUAUUGUACUACAAAUGACAUGCUUGUUGAUGUGCUUACAAAGGCAUUAAAGGAUAGAUAUCAUGAGUUGAUACAGAGAUUAGGAUUGAAAGCCUUUUGAAUGUUAACAAAGUGGGAGUGUUGAAGAUUAGCAAGUACUUGCUUAGUUACAACCACAUAGAGAUUAAGCAUAAUAUGUUGCUAAUAGUCAAAAGGUAGCAAAGAGUUAAAGGAAGUUACUAUGGUAGCACCUAGGGUUUGGUUGGAUGAAGUAAAAAUGGAUGUAAUAUCAAAAAGAUGGAAGUUGCCUCAUUGGUUAGCAAACCACCACCUAUAAGUAAAAGGUGUUGGAAGUAAGAAUUAUCUUACUCCAUACUUUUGUUUAUGUGCAAACCUUACUUAUGCUAAGUGUUUGUAGCUUUUAGACUUCUUUUCUUCAAUAGUUUAAAAUAUUUUUUUUUAAUCUAAAUGAUGUUUAGCAACAUUCUUUUUCCCACAAAGUAAAAAUACACUCCAUUAGAACAACCUCUUCAAAAACAUUCUUUACAAAGCUAUUUCUGUCUUAGUAAUAUUUACUAAAGAAUGUCAAAAUCAAGUACAAAGUUAGUAUUGAUAAUAAUUUAUCAUAUUUUUAAAUGUUGUUUAUUACAAUUUGUGCAAUUCAAAUUGAACAACAAAUUACAAGAUGCUUAGACACAAAAAAUUGAACAAGAAAACAAAUAAUAAACAAACAUACACAAGAUUGUACAUCUGAAAAUGUGAACUCACCACAUAUCAGAUAAAAAUAAACCUAAUUAUAACAAAGCAAGUUGAACAAAUGUUUAGAAUAACACAUAACAUAAAUGCAAUAAGAAAAGAAUGAAAACUCACAUCUCAAUAGGAACUAGAGAUGGCAUCGAUAUGGAUAAUAGUCUGAACUCUGGCUAGGAAAUUUCAACUGCACUUGAUGCUCGCUGGUGUCCAAAGAAAAAGUAUGGACGUUAACACGCAUGUACAAAAAGAAAGUAAGAAAUUGCAAAAAGUGAAAUAGGAUAAAAAGUUAACAGACAAAGCCAGUCGUGGAAAGAUAAGUGAAUGCGAGGAUAUUGUAGAGCCCUGCGAAGCGAAAGACAGGUUCGUGAGAUAAAUGUUUUGUGGCUCUUUGAGAACCACGCUUCGACAUCUUCGAACUGCGCUGCGUCUUUUGCCCACAAACCCAAAUGUGCGAACCCGUCCAGGAUCUACAGCGAAAAAGAACAAACACGAAAUACUGGAACACUGGGUCAAAAGCACGACCGAAUCCUGCCACAUUUCCACUCCUCGAUGUUUUACCUUGCAUUGCUUCAUGCACCCAUGUGCACUGAUACUUCAAGUUGCCUUUCACUACUGCCUGCUGGUUUACAGGCAAAAUUUUCUAAUCUCCCUCCUUCACAUUAUCGUGUGAAGCUGAGUUGGUGUAACGAAAGCCUUGUAGAGGAAAGCGUUUGGUGUGAACGGGUACUGUGCAAACCUGUUCUUCGUCUGUUUUGAAUCAGAAACGGCACACGUUUGGUCAUUGUACUAGAAAAUUGUUCUUAGAUUUUCUGACUGCAAACAGUACGAUCAUUUUCAACAUACUACGUUAAGCGUUCCAGUGAAAUGCAUACAUCCUUCUGCGGGUGCAAUCGCUACAUGCUGCAUUGUGUGGUUGUUGGUGUUAGCAACAUUCAUCUUGGUGACGCUGUCUACUGGUCACAAAUCCCAGCCGACUCGUUCUGUCUCUCACACAGAAUAUGCAAAGAAGAACACCGCGACAAUUUCCACAAUUCCUGAUUUGGAUCAGAGAAUAUUGCCACAAGAAGCUUGUGUUUUGAAGACAGACGCUUACAUUGUGCGGUUACGAGGUCUAGAUCUUGCUAACUGCGUCCAGUACUUUGAGGCUGGUCGCUGGUCAACGAUUAAAGGGCAAUGUUAACAGAGAGAUCAUUGAGGCUGGGAAACGCUCCAUUGCAGUGAAAUUAGUAUUAGUGAAAGUAACAAUUGUAUUUUAGUAUUAGCCAAGGCCUAAUUAACCCUAUCCCCACCCAGCUAUGUAAUGGUUACUCCCUAUUUGAAUUAUUUCCAUUUAAGUCAGAAAAAACAAUAAAAAAAUAAUAAUAAUAUAAAAGACGAACAAAAAGAAGCUAAUUGGCUAGCUAAAUUCGCUAUGCUAGGUCUCCUACUCGAAAAUCCAAUCAUCCUAACAAAGCGUCUCAAUGUCCACCCAGCAGCCAUGCAAUUCUCCAUAAGAUGGAGUUAAAGAGGCGGGAGUGCCUCGAAUCGGAACAGUACCGUAUCGACGUUGUGGCCAGUGUUCGGCGAGGUCCAUCCGAACUUACGUACUCGCCGACCCACUCUCCACCCUCGCGGAACUCCGAAUCCUUCCACCAGCUGUAAGUGGUUCCUGACCCGCAUGUAAGGCAAUCCGGCUUUGACCAGAAACUCAUUGUACGAGUCCGGAAUCUCGUCCACGGAGAUGGUCACCGACUUUUGCGCCAGUUGGAACAUUCUCACUAGCACUGCACACAUUUCCACCUCGUCAAGGUACUGGAGGGUCGAGACACACACGACGUGGUCGAACGAUGUGGUGGUGUCCAUUAUCACGUCCUGAAGGGGACCAAUCUUCACUUCCUUGUAUGUCUCCGGGAUUGGAUUCUUCUGAACCAUUUGCUCGGAUACGUCAUUGCCCACGAUCGUGCUCAGUUCUGAGCCGUCUUUGCGUUUCCUUUGAUGCUCGUGGAGCAAGCGACCGAACUUUCCCGUGCCGCUGCCCAAUUCAAACACCGUGCCGGAAUAAUCGUAGUCGGCGAUUAGAAAUUCGUAGUUCGAGGCCAUCGUUCCCAAAUAACUUUCGUAGCUCGCCGAGAAGGCGUCGAAUUCCUUGGCCACAGGGGCAACCUUGAUCUUGUGCUUUCCCAGCUGCUGCAGUCUGCUGUUGACAAUCACGUUCACAAGCGCGCGAUGACCGCCGGGAAACGUCUCGCGGAUCACGAUGUCCUCCCACUCGUGCUCCCAGCGGUAGAACACCGCCGGCCCCGGGUUGACCUCCAGGAUGAAGGGCUUACCGUCUGACGCUCGAACCCUAAUAUCCACAUUGCCCCAGCUGUUUCCUGCCAUUUGGUUGACGUGCCAGGCUCUCUCCGCCAGAUUGCGCAACAUGUCGAAGAGCGCUGGGUCUUUGCAACGCACCAGGAGCUCCUCACGCAUCUCCGGGUGGCAUUUGAUGUCGAAAGUCAUGAAAUCAGCGCCGGCGUUGAUUGCGGGGCAUCGGUAGGUAGUCGGGUUUAGCGCCACGGGCGUGUUGCCCAUCUCGAUGAGAAUGACGGAGUAAUCGCGCCCAGGUAUGUACUCUUGGACGACAAUGUCGAUAUCACUCCCGUCGAAAUGAGCAACUCCGUUGCCAUAAGCACUACCGUUAACGUGAUCACUUCCAUCGACAUGGGCGAUUCUAUUGCCGUUGACGCUCCCGUUAUCGUGAUCACUUCCGUUGACAUGGGCACUCCCGUUUCCAUCAGCGCUCCUAUUGCAAUGAUUGGCGAUGGUUGCGGCGGCUUCCUUUCGACCGGGAGCAAGAUACUCAUUGAUGCGGGCCAGCUGCUGAUCAAGUUCGCUUUGGUUCUUGCACACGGACCUUUCGUCGAUAAACAUUGACGCGCACAUCUUCGCCGGUUUCACAAACACCGGGAACUUCAUGUCAGCACCCCUUGCCGGCACUGGCAAUCCAGAUUUCUUGGCCGCGUUGUAGAAGUCGAGCUUCGAUCGUCUCAAGACCUUGCUCUGAUAACCCACAAUUGGAACUCCCAAAGACUCCAAGUAUUCAGUAGCCUCUAUACCCGCGACGGUAUCCUCGAGUUGGCCCCACAUGAAGUUGAGGAACAUGUCGAAGCCCUCGGCGACGGCAGCAUCGAUCUGGGCGUUGGCAGUGGCUUUGUUGAUGUAACGGUGAUGGAAUUCGUGUUGGGAGGUGAACAUGGCGGGGUCUGGAAAGCUGGGGUCAUUGAUGGCAAGGGCUUGGGUGGAGUCUGCGUAGGGAGCCUGGAGAACACAGAUCUUCAUGGUGAAUGGUUUGGUACUAAUUCCGCAGCUUGAUCAGAAAUCGCUGAGGAGGAAUACGCCCGUACGAAAGAAGCUGUGCUUGUUCUCGAAACCGGCAGAUGGCCAGGAAAGUCAACAGAAUGUCAUGCCUGCACAUGCAUAUUACAGUCACAUACAAGAGUAUAAAAACUCUCGAACGAACGAAAUUUGUUUUUCCAUGUAGCAGCAGUCUGGCUAGUACCGUGGGCAGAAGAAAACAUGAAAAGCACGAUGAUAACUAUUCACAUGUGAUGGGAUUUGGCCAUGGAACUAGACCAGCGUCAGAAGCUCUUACCUCAAACACCUGAAGUUAGUGCACCAAGAAUAAAGUGUACAGAAUGUCCAGGUCUGUCUUAUUUAUCUCUCCCUUACUCACGUGAACCUUGUGGAGGCCAGUCACAAGGUUUCUCUGAAUGGCUUUUUGGAAGGCACUGAGACCCUAACCUGGAAAGGUGCGCCAAGUUGUCAUAGUCCCCCCCGAAAGGGCUGUUUUUAACAGAAGCAGCGAUCAUCGUAAAGUUGCUAUUUUCGAUAUUUUCCAGUUGGCUGAUUGAGUGGAGUGAUCUACAACGGAGAGAGAAACGGAUCUGGGUUAAAACUUCGGAUCUAUUGCGACACUUUUCCAAACGGAGAAGAUUGUCCAUUCAGGAAAGUCUCGUAAAAGUACAUAUUGAUGGGGUGAAUUAGGGAAUGAUAACUUCUGCACCAAUCAUUAUUGAACUAGGUUGAACUCUUUAUCAAUUUCUUUCAACAAAAACGGACAAAUCUUGAAGGGUAUAUAUUAUUAUAUUCUUAUAUCUUAUCAAGACAGAGUAGAUCAAGUUACUCUCUAUCACUAUCAAUAACAAAUGACCUUAUUCUCUAGAUAAAUCUAGUACAAGUGUUACGUCUCCUAUUCCAUAAUAGUACAUAAUAUUGUCAUAUAGGAAGGACUUAACUUGAAACUUUAAUUUAAAAUAAUAAGUUUGUGCAAAGUAAAAAAAUCAGAAAUUAGAAACAAAAGUUGAAUAGAUUGGAAUAUGUUGUAAGAACUAAAUUUUUAUUAAUGAUGUAUCAAAAGAUUUAGAAGCAAUAAAAUAAGAAUGAUUGAAAAAAUGAAUUGAUGAAAAUGAAGAUGAAUUUAUUGCUGCCCUUGUAAAAUAAAAAUAGAAUAAAGAUCCACAAUAUCUUGAAAUAUAUAAAUAUAUUUAUGUACAUAUACAUACAUAAGUCUUAUAAAAUAUGUAUUAAUUUAUUAGAAUAAAAAAUGAUUGAAAUAUUAAUAUAUAUAUAUAUAUAUAUAUAUAUAUGAUAAUUUUAUUAACGUUAAUUAUUUUUAUUGGUUCAUAAUGUUUAUUACUCAAGAUUUAUUAUUUUUUUUUCAAGUAAUUUUUUAUAUAUUUUUUUUAAUCUAAAUGUUGUUUAGUAACAUUUUUUUUUCAACCAAGGACAAACACAUUUUCAUAGAUAAAUAUAUUUAAUUUAAUAUUUUUAUUUUUGAUUAAAUUGAAGUAGAUAAAAGUAGAUUUAUUUCAUAUACCUUUUAGGCAAGCUUCUUAGAAGCUUUAUAAACAUUGCUUUAACUUUACAUGUAUUUGUAAUUGAUUGAUAGGUUAGAAACUUGGUCAUUAAAUUAACCAUGUGUUGAUAGCUUAGAAAACAAGCUAAUUUAUGUUGCUAAAUUCAAACCUUGCUUGUAAUAAGGACUAGAAUGACAAAGCUCUUAUCAAUCAAUUUUGAUAUUCAUGAAGGAUAAUGUCAACGAUUUGCUAUUGACAAUGUCUAAGGCAAAAUCUUUGAAAUAAUUAACCACUUUAGCUAUUAUAUAUGACAAUCGAUUAUUUGAAAGAUGUCAAGAAUAAAGAUUUUGUUAGAAAAGAACAAGUUAAAUAAUGACUACACUUCUAAAGUUUUCAAAAACUUAUUUAUCAAGGCUAAGCCAAUGCAAAUCGAUAUAAUACGUUUUAAAUCUCCUAUAGAAUUGAAAAAGACUUAACAAUAUGAUAAAGACUUAUAUUAUGGAGAAGCUAAAUACACUACUUAAUAGUGUCUAAAGAAACAACUCAACUACGAAAUGAAAAGCAUGGUUGCUAAAAAAGACAAUGUGUCGAGAAACAAGUUUUUUCAGCUACAAUAAAAACCGUGUGACUAGAAUCUUGCUUAACUUCUAAUAAAGGUCAUAUUCUCUCCUCAAUCUCCUCACCUUGUUUUACAAUAAAAGUUUAUUUAGGAUAAAAAAAUCACAAAAUCAUAGCUUUGUUAGAUUUAAGAGCCUUAACUUAUUUUAUAUACAAAAAUUUUGUCAAAAAAUAAGAAAUAUUAUUAGUCAAGAAAAUUAAAUCCGUAUAUGUAGAGGUCACAAAUGGUCAUUUUUUUAUCUUUUAGAGAUGUUACACAUGAGACAAUUCCUUUACAUGUAGUAAUUAAAGAUUAUAAAAGUAUAAUAAUAUUAAAUAUAAUAAUAUUUUUCUUUAAUUUGGUUAUUUUAGUAUUAUCUUAAUUAAAAAAGUAUAAUCCUCAAAUAGAUUAUAUUUUUCAUAACUUUAUUUUUUUGGAUAAUUUAAUCUAAAAUUCCAUUAGUCAAAUAAAAAUACAUAAGUAUAAUACACUCAAAUCUAUCACGGAUGUACAAAUUUACCCUGAUAAUUAUUUAGAUAAUAAAAAUAAGUCAAUGUAAGUAAAAGUAGAUAAAUAGGAUAAUUUCUUGUGGAAAGCUUCCUAGAAGCUUCAUAGACACUGCUUUGUAUUUAUAUAUGUCUAUCAGUAAUUGAUAGGUUGAAACUUGGUGAAUAAUGAUGCGACAUGUCGACAUUUUGACUACUUGUAUAUUUUGACUACUUGUAUAUAGUACAAGUUGGAUAUAUGGGGCACACCUAAGAAACUUGUCUUAUAAAUUAGACAUGUAUCUUGCAAGUUGGACACAUAUUAGAGGUCCUAUAGUAUGUUGUCACGUAGUUCUUACUUAAGUAGUAUAUAUAGAGGCAAGAGUAAGGCCUUCUUUACUCUUGUCGGCUCUUUUCUUAUUUUUAGUCUAGUUUCAAGAGUCUUAUGUUUUCUAGUCUUUGACAAUAGCCAUUCUAGUUCUUCCUUGAAUAUACAUACUUUCUUCUAUUUUGUCAUUUUUCUUUUGACACAAAUUCCACGAGUUUAUGCAUCUUUUUCUAGUUUGUGUCCUUGACAGAUUGAUAAGAGUAUACAUACAAUAUCAAAGCUUUGUCCUUUCUUGAUUAAGAGUGGUUUACUGCUUUGUCUUAAUAAGACAUAAGCAUAUUAGAAGUUACGGAUUACCUUCUUUUAAAUUGAUAUUACUUCUAAAAAUUCCUUUUCUUAAUUCUUAAAUAUUGUAUUCUGUGAAAAUAGACACCUUUCUUUGUAUUAUGCUAGUAUGGCAAAGCUUACUGAAAUGAAGAGUAUAAUGGCUCAAAUGCAAGAGCAAAUGAGAGAGUUAAUGCUUGCAAUAUAUUAACUCAAUCUACCACCACAAGGAGCAACAAGAUUAUCAAAGAAUGAAGAUAUAGAAAUGAUUGGAGUUGCAUCAACAUCUACACCAAGCCAUACUACUAUUCCUACAAUGGAACAUCGUUCAAGUUUCAAGAAACCAAAAAUUGUAUUGCUUGAGAAGUUUGAUCAUACAAGAUCUAAGUUUCAAAGAUUUAUCAAUCAAGUACAACUGGUGAUUUAACUACAACUUCAAAGUUAUUCAAUUCAAGGAUCACAAGUCAGGUUUAUUAAUAGACUACUUUUAGGUUUUACUUUAUCAUGGUUUUUAUCAUUUCUUAAAUGACAUGAUCAAAUAUUGGAUAAUUUGAAAGCAUUCUUGGCAAAGUUUUGAUCUUUGUAUGGAAAAUAUGAUGCAAUCCAUGUUACAACCAACAAGAUUUAUAUCUUGCAAUAAGACAAUUCAUUAGUGAUAUUGUAUGCAUCACAAUUUUAACAAUUGGCAACAAAUAUCUAGUGGGAUGAUGUAACACUCAUCAGCCAAUUUUUCUAUGCAUUACAAGAUGAAGUAAAUAAAUUGAUGUUUAAUUUACUUGAUCCUCAAACAUUGAGUAAGUAAUUGACUUUGCUGUGAAAUGUGAUAAUCAACUUCUUGAGUUUUGAUGUAAAAAUUACACAAAGGAACUUCAACGUUAUUAUAAUUCAAUGACAAUACCAACAACUUUUCAAUCUAAACAUUUGGAAGUAGAAGAUAGGUAAAUUGAUGGAGUACAUUUUAAACCUCUCAUUGAAUAAGAAAAGAUUCAUUGUCAUCAAGAAGGACUAUGUUUAUAUUGUGGAGAAGCUAAGCACACUCCUCAAUAUUAUCCAAAGAAACGAUAUAACUACAAAAUGAGGAGUACUAUUGUCAAAGAUGAAAACAUGUGAAAAAAUAAAUUUGUCCAGAUACAAUAGGAAUUGUGCGAUUGGAAUCUUAUACCAUUUCUAAUUAAGGUCAUAUUCUCUCCUCGGAACCCUCUCCUUAUAUUAUAAUAGAUAUGUGUUUAGGAUCUAAUAAUCACAAAGCCUCUGCCUUAAUAGAUUUAGAAGCCUCAAAUUAUUUUUUAGAUGAAGAAUUUAUUAAAAGUCAUACUAUAUAAUUAAUACAAAAAAUUAAAUCCCUACACAUAGAAGUCAUAAACGAUUGUCCGUUAUCUUCUAAAGAUAUUACUCAUGAAACACUUCCAAUACAUGUAGUAAUAAAUGGUCAUAAUAGUUGCAUAAUUUUUAAUAUAAUUAGAUCUCCCUUUAAUCUAGUCAUUUUAGUUUUAUCAUGGCUAAAAAAAUAUAAUCUUGUAAUAGAUUGGAUUUCUUGUAAACUUGACUUUUCUUCAAACAUCAUUAAGAGUUUUUCUAAUCUAGUAGAAAGCCAUGAGUCUAAUGUAGCCAAACCUAUACUUGUAGAUGCAAAAGCUUUUUUGCAUGCUAUAAAAAAGGAUUGUCUUUUUUUAUUUGUGCUACACCUAUUUUAAAUGAUGGAAAGAUUUGAAGUGAAAUUCCUAGUCAAUAUCAAUACUUUUAAGAUGUUUUUGAAAAAAAGAAUGCAAAUAUUUUUCCAAAGCAUCAUCCAUAUGAUUUUUCAAUCGAUCUUAAAGAAGGAACUUAGCCACUAUUUGGUCCAAUCUAUAGUUUAUCACAAAAUGAGUUGGCUAAACUCAAGAAGUACAUUGAUGAGCACUUGGCCAAAAAUUCAACUAUCACUAAGAUGAUUGGAAAAUUCUUUUGCCAUUGGCAAAGUUUGCUUAUAAUAAUUUGGUACAUUUUUCUACUCAACAAACACCUUUUUUUGCCAAUUAUGAUUAUCAUCCAGGAUUUGAUACUUUUAACUUUUCAAAGGUUGAUAAUCCUAUGGCGGAAGAUGUGGCAAAUCUAUUGUCAGAGCUACAUGUAACAAUGAAGGCAUAAUUAAAAGAAGCUUAAGAAUGACAAAAAGAUAACAUAGAUGUUUAUUAUAAGGAACAAUCUCAAUUCUAUAUAGAAAAUAAUAUAUGGUUACUUCAUAAUAUUAAAACUAUUUUUCCUUGUGACAAGCUAGAUUAUCAUAGACUUGGACCAUUUCAUAUUUAUGAAUAAAUCAAUCUAGUUGCUUAUCAAUUAUACCUAUCAGAGUUUGAAAAUCCAUCAUGUAUUCCAUAUAUAUUUACUUGAACCAUACAAGAUAAUGGAUAUAUGAGAAAGGAGACAAAUGCCACCAUCUCUUAUAGAAAUAGACGAUAAUAAAGAAUUUGAAGUAGAAGAAGUCUUAGAUUCGAGGUAGUACCAAAAUAGGUAAGAAUAUGUCAUACAUUGGCAUGGAUAUGACAUUAAUGAAUGUAUAAGGAAGCAAUCUAGGAAUGUAGUAAAUACAUCAGCCAAAAUUAAAGCUUUUUAUCAAUGACAUCUAUCUAAAUCAAGAUGAAGAGUUAAAAAAUUCUUUGCUAUAAAGUAAAACAAAUCCAAUAGAGAUUUCAUUCUAUCUUGUAUCAUUAUUUCUUUAGAUUUUUUUAGUACUUAGGAGAUGGAGAACCAAGAUUUAAUUCAAGAGCUAUCAAUUGUUGAGUAAUCAAAUUAAACAUUAUAACUAUUAAAACCUUUGAGAUGACAAAAUUGACAUAAAGAUCCUCAAGAAUGAUAUGUUCUUUCUUAAAUAGAUGGCAAGAUACAACGCAUUUGGUACCAUGACCUUGGAAGUGACUCCUAGUAUUUAGUGAUACUUUUGGAGGUAGAACCCACUUAUAAUGGUAUUACUAAUAUUUUAUUUGAAGGAAGUUAUGAAGGCUUCAAUAAGGAUCAAAUAUCAGGGUAGUCUUAUUGCCUUGGUAUGGGACAUUAUUGAUGGUUGAAGGAACAUAUCAACUACUUUUAAAAGAAAACAAAGAUCAAUAUAUGUAGCAAAUACAAUUUGGUGCAUCUUAGACUUCUUCAACAUGUAAUCACCGCUUCUUGUAGAACUCGUUCCUAGAAAAGAGGAUAAUGUCACAAACAUACAUAUUUAUCUUAAUAAUUAUCUAGAUAAUAAUAAUAGGUAGAAAUAAGUCAAAAUAAAAAUAUGAUAAUAUCUUGUAGAAAGCUUUAUAGAUGCUUCACAGAUGCUGCUUUGCCUUUAUAUAUGUCUAUAGGUGAUUGGUAGGUUAAAAACUUGGCCAACAAGGAGGCCAUGUUGUUGAGAUAGAGAGAAUUUGCUUCAAGAAAGCAGUGGGCUCCUGACUGCUACUAAUUGCUCAAUGAAGUCUUGAGAUAAGAAGGACCAAGUUUGCAUAUAUAUAUAUAUAUAUAUAUAUAUAUAUAUAUAUAUGACACUUUUAGAUACUAUUAUACCAAAAAUAUAAGUCUUAAGUUUCCAAAAAUAUCCAAAAUAUGAUAAAACCUAUAAAUCCUUAAAUAUCCUUAAAGGGUAUUAUUUGUGAUUUCAAAAAACUCAUAUCUUUCACACACACUAUUUUAUACACACUCUCAAAUUAUAUGAAGAGUUGAUGUACUUUUAACAACUACCACAACAAAUUUCAAUUACAAAUAUCCUUAUGGGAUAUUAUUUGUGAACUUCAAAAAUUCAUAUCUUUUAAUUGGACUAUUCAAACACAUUCAAAUUCUAUAUAAAGUAUUGGUAUACUUUUAACAACUACCAUAACAAAUUUCAACUAUAAAUUCAUUGCGGAUCUUAUGAUAUCACCAAAACCCUAAUAGUAGCUUCAAAUCCUAAUUUUUAUAUACCUACAUGUAAUUUUUUUCAUAUCUCACAAAUUAAACAAUCAAAUGCUACAAAUUACAUAUAUAUAUAUAUAUAUAUAUAUAUAUAUAUAUAUAUAUAUAUAUAUAUAUAGCUUUUUAAGACAAUAUUAUAUCUUCUUUUAAAGGUUUGAGCUAAAAAUUCAUCUAAAAACUUAAGAUAUGGCUCCAACCAUUACUAUGAACAAAUCACUUACUUAUUGCCUUUUAUUUGGAUGCACUGAUUUUAAUUCUCUAUAACUUCUUCAUCUGAACUCUAAAUUCAUAAAGUAAUAUAUAAAAAGUUUAGUCGAGGAAUAGCUCUCUUCAAUCCUAAUCAUUGAUUCUUUGUUUCUUUCCAUAAACAUAUGUUAUGCCCCAAAGAGUGAUAAUAGGUAUAAAAUUGACACCUUAACUUUGAGCGCCAAUAACUCUUUUAUAAAAACUCCAAAUCACACAAAAUUUACAUCCAAUCCAUAUCCAAAAACUUUAAAUUUUUGAUCCUAGCCUCCAAAUUUCGAAUGACCUUAAAAGAGAAAUCUUAAUCCCUAAUAAGGCCUCAGGUAGCCUCGUUGAAGUCCAUUGGGUAUGGCCAUCGAUCAAUAGGAAUGAAGAACUCCAUUCUUUGCCUUCAUCCACCCAUGUCUUGCUUUCAUCCUUCUCAAUAACCCUCAUACUAGUUAAGAUUUUCUUCUUUAGGUUCCAAUCUCUUCUCAAGGCUUCAUACUAAAUAUUUAAGUCCUAUAAUUUUUUUAAAUGCUAUAAUCAAAAUAAAUAAAACUUAAAAUAAUAUUUUUUAUAUCUAAUCUCUUUAAAUUAAUCUAUUAAUUAUUAUAAUAUACACCAAGACUUAUUAACAUAUUAUAUAUUCUAAUUUAUUUUUACACAUUAUAAGCAAUUACAAUAUGACAGCGUGUUGACAUGUCAACCUCUUGUAGUAUAAGUUGGACAUAUGGGACACACCUAAGAAACUUGCCUUAUAAAAUUAGACAUGUGCCUUACAAGUUGGAUACAUAUUAGAGGUCUUAAAGCAUGUCGCCAUGUAGUUCUUACUUAAGUAGUAUAUAUAGAAGCAAGAACGAGGCCUUCCUCACUCUUGUCAACACUUUUUUUGCUUUUAGUCUAGUUUCAAGAGUCUUAUAUUUUCUAGUCUUUGGAAAUAGCCAUUCCAACUCUUCUUUGAAUAUACAUACUUUCUUCUAUUUUGUUACUUUUCUUUUGACACAAAUUCUAUGAGUUUAUGCAUCUUCCUCCAAUUUGUGUCCUUCCCAAAAUCCUUAUUAGUAGCUGCAAGAGCUUUGAUGCAUGCCACAAAAAAAGAAUCAUCUUUUGUUAUAAAUGCCACGCCUAUUUUUGAUGGUGGAAAGAUGUCAAAUAGUAUUUUAAACUAAUAUCAAGAUUUUUUGGAUGUAUUUUGAAGAAAAGAAUGCAGAUAUUCUUUCAGAGUAUCAUCCUUAUGAUUGUUCCAUCAAUUCUUAAGAUGAGAAGGCAUGACAAAUUCUAUCUAGUAGAUUUUUAUUUGAAAAAAAUUUCAACAGUUGAGAUUAAUUAUGAGAUCUACAACAAAGAACUUCUAACAAUCUUAGAUUCAUUUUAAGAAUGGCAUAAUUAUCCAAAAAGUACCUCGAGUCCAAUAAAUAUAUAUAUAUAUAAAUCACAAAAACCUCAAAUACUUCAUGUGGGCACGUAUUUUGAAUUGUCGCCAAGUUUAUUGGUAUAUAAUUAUGUGUUAUUUAAACUUAUUAUGAAUUUUUAGCAGUCACAUAUUUUGGAUACAACAAGACUUUGGAGCUAAUAUCGAGAGAUUUUUGAUCGCCUUAAAUAUAGAAGAUAGUAAAAGACUUUGUACAAUCAUAUAAUAUUUGUUCAAGAUUCAAAACUCGUCAUUAUUGACCUAUGGACUUCUUCAUCCAUUAUAUAUUCCAAAACAACAAUAUUUAUCCAUUUCUAUGGAUUUUAUCAAAGAUCUUUCAAUCUUAGGUUUGUAUAAUUUUAUAUUCAUGAUAGUAGAUUGUUUUACUAAGAUAGCAUAUUCUAUACUAUGUACAAAAUAUAUCAGAGAUGAAGAAAUACUAAUCUUUUUCUUAAAAAUAUCUAUUGCUAUUAUGGAUUGCUUAAAGAUAUUAUAUCAGAUAGAGGGACUUAGUUUAUAUCAAGAUUUUAGAGAAUCCUUUUUAAGAUUUUAAAGGUGGAUAUAAAGCUCUCUUUUGCUUUGUAUCCUUAAAGAAACGUGCCUAAUCUAUCUCAAGUAUCCAAGUCUCCUUCUAAUUUACAACAACAUAAAACCUCAUGACAAAGUAGGACAAACUGGUUCAAAAUAAAAUUGAAUAGGAUUAAAUAAAAUGAGACACAAAAUACAAAAUUAAACAACCAAAAUUAGAAUAAAAUAAAACAAAAUUAAAUAGGACUAAACAAAAUGAGAUACAAUAGACAAAAUUGAGCAACCAAAAUUAAAACAAAAUAGAAUAAAAUAGAACAAAAUAUGAAGAUAUAAAAUUCAAUUUUAUUAAGAGAAAGGUUCAAAGCCAUACAUGAUCAAAUAUCCCAAAAGGCCCUAGACAGUUCUAUUUAUAUUUUAUUCUACCACCGUGGAUUUUUUAGAAUAUUCUUAGAUAAUGGACCCUGCUAAGAUAAUUGCUUUAAAUUCUUUCUAAAAGGUUUUAUGAUAGGCUCCACUUAGAUAACUGCCCUAAGCCUUUUUUUAAAAGUUCCAUCGUAGGCUCUACUUAAAAAUCUAUCUUAAAUUCUUUCUAGAAUGUUCUCUAAUAGAUCUUAUCUAGUCCACUAACCUAACUCUAAUUCUAAAAAACUUCCAUAACUUCUCUAUGAUAAUUCUAACUAUCUAUUUCUAUGUAUCAAUAAUACAAAUAUCUUAUCUAUACCUUGUCACAAUUAAUCUCCCUCUAUUAAUAUCAAACAUCUUUAUUUUGCUUCCAAUAUCAGUGAUUAUCUGCAUACUACUUUUGUGAAUUCUAUGUGGUAAAGAGGUGAUGUUGUGCCUCUUGUAAGGCCGUUGUAAGCCAUUGUAUACAUUCCUUUGUUGUCAAAUUAUUGGUGUCGAUUGGACGAUAGAGAGUUGUUAGCAAAAUUGGAUACUAAUUGGUGUUAAAGAAAAAUGGUGAAUGACCACUACUUGUUUGAAUACUAUCAUUGUAAGCAAACUUUAAGGGCAUUAAGUAUUCAUCUUAAUUAUUAUAAUGAACCACCUUAAAUACUCAAAAUAUAUCUUCCAAGGUCCAAUUUAUAUACUUUAUUUAUCCAUCUAUUUAAAAAUAGAAGGUUGUAGACAUAGUAAUUCGUGUACUAAGUAGCUUGAACAAGUCUUGUCAAAAAUUUCUUGUAAAGCAUGGAUCUCAAUCUAAAAUGAUCUGUUCUAGAGUCUUUGCUCACCUUAAAUAUCCAGAUAUUGAGAUAUCAUGUCUCUCUAAAAGUAUACAUGUCCGGAGUAUAGCAUUAUUGGAUACAUAAAUCUACUUCUUCAAAUAGAACAAGCCAUUAUUAAGACUAUAAUUUGAUACUAUAUAUUAUCUAUCUUCAAUCGAUCGCUAAUCACCUUGAAAUAAGCAUCCCAAUGUGUAGCUUUCUUCUAUUCUGUCUCUUUGGUUAGAUUUGAAAUGACAUUACUAAUCGUAGAAACUUCUGUCUAUUUUCUUGAUUUGUCUUUCAUGUAUGGUCUUUACAAUAAGUUGUCUGGCAUAGUAUAUUGUUGGCCUUGCUUAUAUUCAAGUUACAUAUCAAAAAGCUACAACUAUUCUUCUCAAUAAUGAUAUUGUGAUUUUAUAUUUUUUAAAUAAAAAUUAUAUAUUAAAGAUCAUUGAUCAAUCCGAACAACCACAUGCUUCUCCAAUAAAUAGUGUCGCCACAUCUUUGUGGCAUGUACAAUUGCUAAUUGGUUUUGAUCAUAUAAAGAGUAAUUUUGCUUUGUUCUUUUGAGCUUAGUAGUUCAAAUGCCACAUAUUGAAGGCUCUUACUAAAGUUUAGUUAAAAGACCACUCUAAUAGCAAAGUUGGAAGCAUCAAUGUGAAGUGUACAAAGUAGGUUGCGAUCAUAUGAUUGCAAUAUUAGAAUAAUAAUGAGUGCUUCUUUCAACAUAUCAAAGGUACUUUGCUACUCGAGUUUCUAUUCAAAUAGGACACCCUUCUCCAAUAGGUUUGUUAAUGAGAGAGCAAUAUGUACAAAUCUCUAAAUAAAACGAUGAUAAUAUCUAGCAAGGCUUAAAAAUGAGUGGCCUUUAGAAGCAUCUUUGGAGGUUUGUCAAUCUUCUACCACUUUCACCUUAUCUUGUUCUAUAUGUAUGUCUUUGGAAGACACCACAUGCCUCAAAAAUAUCACUUUUGACUUCCAAAGUUUAUAUUUUGAUUGCUUAUAAUAGAAACUUAAAUCUUCUAGCCAAUGUAAUACUUUUUAUAGAUGUUACUCAUACUCUUCAAGGAUUUUAUUAUAUACAAAGAUAUCAUCAAUAAAAACAACUACAUACUUAUCUAAAAGGUCCCAAAAUAAUCUAUUUAUAUGACCUAUGAAAGAAGCUGGAGCAUAUUUGAAGCCAAAAUGUAAAACCACCCAUUCAAAAUGUCUAUAGUGCGUACAAAAUUUUAUCAUUUUUACAUCUUUUUUUGUAAUAAAAGUUUGCCAAUAACUGCUUCAAAGAUUUAAUUUAUUAAAGAUGGUCACAACUUAAAGUUGAUUAAGAAGAUCAUCCACAUGCGAAAGUAGAUAUGCAUUCUCAAUAGUCUAUUUAUUGAGACAUCAAUAAUUGAUGCAAAGGCAAAAUCCACCAUCCUUCUAAGGUGCAAAGAAUGUAGGUGCUCCUCAGGGUGAUGUCCUUUUUCAAAUGAGGUCUUUUUUCAAGAAUUUAUUUAAUGUCUUCUACAAUUCUUUAAGUUCUUUUGGUGUUAGGCAAUAAAUUUUUCAACUUAUUAGUUUGGCUUCAAGCAAUAAUUCUAUUUGAAAGGAAGCACUUCAAUCAAGAUGCAUGCCACUAGGUAGGUCAGUUGAAAAGAUAUUUUGAUAUUCCCGUAUGAGUUGAUAAGUCCAUUCUAUUCCUUCGGCUUUUUCUUCUACCAUUGAUGCAAGAUUUAAAACCACCAUAUAUAUAUAUAUAUAUAUAUAUAUAUAUAUAUAUAUAUAUAUAUAUAUAUAUAUAUCGAUUACUUAUGUUGUAUUUGUUUAUUUAUAAAGGUCAUUUCUACAAAUAAGACUUGAGUUGUAGAUUAUCUUUCUUCUUUACUUGAUGCAGAGGUAUAAAGAAUUACUUUGCAUCUACCAUAUUUAAAGGAGAUUGUCUUUACUAUCAAACCAAAUUACUUAUUUUUCAUCUUUAGCCAUGGUAUACCAAAAAUAAUAUCAUAUCUUAGAUUUAUCACCUUGAAUUUCUCUCUUAAGACAAAGGUGUCAGUCAAACUCAAGGUUUUUAUUUCACAUGUCUCACUCAAUACUUUUUCUCAGUCAUCUGCAAGGUAUAUACUUCCUCCCUUUAUUUCCAUAGUUUUAAUUCCAAGUCAGUUGGUAAUUUCACUUCAAAUGUAAUUUUUUAUAGAGCUACAAUCUACAAGUAUUUAAAAUGGUUGUCUUCUUAGUAGUGCCAUUAGAUGUACCAGUUGACUCUUUUUAUAGUUUUUUGAGGCCAUACUAUUUAUCUUUGAGAGAUAGUAGCUAUUCCUACUACUAGCCUUUGGUGUCUUUACUGGGAAGCCUUAUUUUCUUACUUUGUCUCAUUAUUAACUUAGUGAAUUUUGAAACUAUGAACCAGCCUUAUUUUGCUGGUACUUGAAUUUUGAUAUUUUAGACAACCUUCAAUGUGAUGGCUUGGCUCUUGACAACUUUCAAUGUAAUGUCUUGGCUAACUUUACAUAAUCUCCAUUAAUAUUGGUUAUUAUAUCAUGGUAUUAGAUAGUUACAUAAGACUUUGUACUAUAGGUCAUGCUCUAUGAUUUUUGAAAUUUAAAGCAUUGAUCCUCUUUGUCAUCCAAAUUUUCUUUUUGAACAUUUAUUGAUUCUUUAAUUUUACCUCUCGUUAAACUCCACAUUUCAAACCUUGUAGAAAUCGAUCCAUCAUCUCCCUUCCAAAACAUUGUCAAUUAGGAGACAUAUAGACUUAAAUCUAUAGAUAUAAUCUUUGACUAAUCUAGAUUGUAUAAGACUUACCAACUAAUCAUGUGCUAUCUUUUCUACAUUGAUGGGCCAAAAAGUGAUUCCUAAACUUGGUCUCAAAUUCCUCCCGAUCAUAAAAUCUACCUUGAACUCCCUAUCUUUGAAUUCAAUGUGGCUACUAAAUAGCUAUUGCAUCUUUCAAAUACUUGGCUGCAUACAUAAUUCAUUUAGUGGUCUUUUCCUCAAAUAGUUGGAGGUAUUGUUGUAUAUUGAAGAGCCAUUAAUUGUCUUCUCUUAGAUGCUUCUAUUUACUCUUACAAAGUAGCUAUUUAGUCUAAGAGGUGUUGUAUUUGAGCCUCCAUUUGAGAUUGCUUUGCUAUAUCUCUUAUGUUGUAAUUUGUCCACUGGACUCCAUUAUUGUAAUGCCUUUCUACCUUACAAUUGAUUUCUUAAGAGUAUCUCGUAGUUGCUUUAAUAUAGUACCUAGUGUGACUACAACAAUUGAUCUUGGACUAGAUGAUAUCUAUUGACAUACUAUGAAAGAAUAAUCUAACACUCCCUUUGAUAUCAAUAAAACAGGACCGGUCUAUCUCAAAUAUCAAAGAUCCCUUCUAAUCUACAUCAACAUGAAACCUCAUCUUAAGAUAAGAUAAAAUAGACCAAAAUAAAAUUGAAUAAAACUAAAUAAAAUAGAAUACGAAAGACAAAACUAAGCAACCAAAAUUAGAACAAAAUUAUAUAAAAUAUGAAGAUACAAAAUCAAAUUAUAUUAAGAAAAAAGGUCCAAAGCCACACCUGACUAGAUGUCAUGAAAGGCCUUGGCUAAUCCUAUUUAUAUUUUGUUCUAUCAUCCUAGAAUUUUUAUAAUAUUUUAAGAUAAUGGAUAUUAUUUAAAUAAUUAUUGUCGUUAGAUGUUUUACUUACUCCAAACUAAUUUAAUGGGAAUAAACCCAUAUAGGAGGAUUUGAACAUGAGAAAUGACUAGUUGCUUAAGCGUUCACAUUAGGGUCACACAAUCAACUACCUCCUAAACGUAUUGUCUCUAUUUUCUAUAUCCAAAUACACAAGGAUACUAUAAUCUCUUCCUUCACUCAAUCGGUCUCUUCCUUACAGUAAUUUAGUCAUACUAAUAACUGCUAUUUCCACCAAUAUAUAUUCACUCUCAUAAUCUCCAAUCAUAAUACUACACCAUCACCACUUUCAGCACACAAUUACCUUCAUUCUAAUUCUUGGAAAUCCUCACUUUGAACUAUUACUCUCAAUGUUGUGCUUCUCACACCCACACACUGAUUUUUUUUGCUAAACUACAAUCAGAUUUCACCAUUCAGUCUUUCUUUUUUUUAUUCAAUAAUAUAUAAUCCCAAUCACACUUUUAUUUCAUAAUUCACUUGACAAUAUUCAGAAACUCUCAAUCCUCUUAUUCAAAGAAAACAAACAAAAAAAAAGAGGUAGCACUAAGCUUACCUCGGCUCACAACUAUCACAGUAAUGGCAUUUACUUCCUCUCUCUCAUCCUCUUUAUGCUACUCCAAGAUACCCACUGCUACAUUUGUAAUGAAAACUACUUCUGCUAACUAUUCAUCUAUUUUACUUGCUGAACUACCUUUUCAGUAGUCAUCUAUUCGUGUUUAUACUAUACACUAGAUAUCUACAUUCUUAAAAUAACUACUUAUUGUACAUAGCUCCAUUCCUAACUGUGCAGCAUUCUUACAAACAUCUAAGAUAAAGCCAAACUGGUUACUCCCCAGCAUUACCCAAACUUCGAUCCACUGAUUCUAAUUUCAAAGGUCCAUCGUCAUCCUCCUCAUCUCAUACAUUUAUUGGUACUAUGUUCAAUCUGGCGGUUAAAUCUUCAUUAAGUGCACCCAAUUCUCGUGCUUGGCUUUCCAAUUGCACAAUUUAGGUAUCCUUUGCUUAUAAUUGAUGUUGCUGUUGCUUCACCUUUUUUUUCAAUUCACCAAUUGAACCUUCUAUUGGAGUAGAUAUUUGUGACUACCGAACGCAGGUCAAUUCUUCCUCCAAUUUCUUUGCAACCUCCUUCAGAGUGUUGAUUUUCUCUUACAUCUCCUUUGUUUUCACUCUGUAUUGGUCACUCAUCACCCUCUUUUUUUGCUCCAAAGUCGCCAUCUUCUUUUGGUUCAAUUCCAAUUGAUGCUGCAUUUUUUCAAAUUCCAGUUUUGCUUUAUUGCGAGACUUGAAGAGUUCUUAUUUCUGGGGCUCCAUUCCUUGGUAAAGGCAUUUUUUUUUUUUUUUUCCCAUGCUUGCUAUUUUACUCCAAAUGCAUGCUUCAGAUUCAAAUUGACUUCUUUGGUGGCCUUGAUCACCCGAUCUAGUUCCAACAAUCUUUGACAUUGUUCUACCAUUUCCUUCUUACACAUGAGCAAUUGUUGCUUUAAUGCUACAUUGUCAACCAAUUCGUUUAUCUUCAACUAUAAUUGAAAUAUUUGUGCCAAUAAUAUCUCCUUUAAACUAUUACCCUCCAAUGUUCGAUAUUGGAUAUCUACUAGCCUCCUGUCCCUCUACCACAUUGAGAUUUUUCUUGCGGUUUCGUCUCUCUGAGCUAUUGGAGCCCGCUCUUGAAUACUGCUUGGUUCCCUUGCCUGCUGGCUGCUUUCUCUCGGUACCCAUGGAAGUGCCAAUAGAUUGCUCCUCGGUUGUGCUAGUGCUAGAUCUGCUAUCAUCUUUCUUUUCUCCGGCAACGAUUGAUUCAUCUCAUAUACAAUUGCAGAAUGUAUAUAAUUGGAACACAGAAGCGUCACAAUUCUCUUUGUCUUGUGCUUUACUCCCAACUCUGCGUGAAUUCUGGUGGCCACGUACACUGCCCAAUUGAACACCAUAUCUUAGAAGGAUCCUAUUGUCACAAAUAAUAAUCUUUUGGCCAUUUAUAUUGUAUGUCUAUUUAAUUCCAACCAUUUCUAAAUGAAGCGCAUCAACUCCAUCAAUUUUGGUGUAAGUGCCUCCGUCGUCCGCCAUCCUUGAUUUGUUUUUAGCAACGUCAUACCUCCUUUGAAGUAAUUCCCUAGAUUGAAGUGUGAAGACUCAUCGAUUCUAAUCGUGAGCUCUCCUAUUGGUAGAUGCAAUGCCUUAUACAAGAUAUUCUCAUCAAUUCCAAUAGUCCUCUCUUUUACGACACUCGAACCAUCCUCAGGGUCAUAGUUUGUCAAGUAUUCUUCUAAUAAUUUUAUAUCGAUUGAUAGUAAAUUAUCGAUCGCUCGUAGAAAGAGAUAUAACUAUACACUUCUAAAGUCCUUCUGCCGUGCUGCGUUCCAACAAAUUUCUAACCUCAUGAGUUCCAUGUUUGUGAGAAUACAUGAAGAAAGAUCAUCCAUAUUACUCUUCAACUUCAUUCUUCUACCAUCUUUUUCCUUCUCCAAGACUCUCUUCACUUUCUCCCUCGACAUUAUGAAACAUUACGUAACACUCCUCACUCCCACUACUACUGCGUUUAAGAUUAUCGUUGUAGACUUUCUACUACCGAAACUAUGCUCCAAAAAAAAAAACUCUAAACAAAAUACUAAAAAUAGCCAACAUGGAGUGUCCUUUUCUUUACUGUUUAUUCGGUUAUGGAUCAAGAAUCCGUAAUCUUGAUUAUUGAUGUUCUAAUCCACUAAUCAACCACCACCUUUCGCCUCUCAUUAUACACUUGUGAUUGCGGCAAGUCAUCAUGAACGGGUACGUCUUUCUCUCUUCCAAUAUUGAUAAAUUCACCCCCAAAUUUAUAUAUAAUACAUGCAUAGUCAUUUGCCAUUGAUACGGGUUGUGAAUUGGUUUCCUAUGAAGUCUUCUAAUUGGACUAAACCAUUGGGAAAGCCUUCCAAUAUGCAAUAGGGUCCAUGCCACCAAAUUUAAAAUUUUCUUAGAAAAUUGUAAAAAUGGCUGUCAUACAACAUUACUAGAUCACUUGGCAUAAAUACUUUUGGGUGGAGUUUACUAUCGUAAUAGCUCUUCUAGUGGCACUGAAUAGCUUCCAUUGUCACCAAAGCUGAAGCCCUAAUCUCAUCUAAUUUUUCCAAAUCUAUCAACCGAUAUUCGAGAGAUUUAGUGUCACCCAAUCGUUCAUCCAAUGUAAUUCAUAAACUUUGAACCUCCAAUUCUAUUGGUAAUAAUGCCUCUUAUCCAUAUACCAAUUGAAAAGGUGUAGAAUUAGUUGACACUUUAUACGCAGUACAAUAGGCCCACAAUGCAGUAAAUAAUUUACUGUUGCAAUUGAUUUCCACUCCUGAAAUAGCCUUGGUUAAGAUCUUAUAUAGGAUACUAUCGAUCUUUUCUGUCUAUCCAUUGGCUUGUGGAUGAUAAGGCGUGGUUUUGCGAUGCUUGAUCUCAUACUUUGCUGUUAAUGCUGCAAUUGUUGCAUUAAUAAAAUGUGUUCCGUGAUCACUUACCAAUUCUUUCGGACAACCAAAACGAGUGAUAAUACUCUCAUAUAAAAAUAUUGCUAUGAUCAUGGCAUUAUCAAUUUUUGUUGUCAUUGCCUCCGCUCAUUUGGUGGCAUAAUCGGUGGCUACUAGAAUAUAUCGUUUCUGUCCAUUUUGAGAAGCAGGUGCAAUUGGUCCUACAAAAUCAAUACCCCAUUUUUCGAAUAGUGCCUGUGCCAAAAUUGGUACCAAUGGCAUUGCAAAAGUUUCAGUAGGGCGAUCAAUUCAUUGGCAAGGAUCACAACCACGAACAUAUUGGUGUGCAUCUAAAAACAUUGUUGGCAAGCAAUAUCCAGCCAUUAAAGCUUUACGCGCGGUACUAUUACCUGCAAAAUGUCCUCCACAGUUGUUCACGUGAUAUCCUUUUAAUAUUGUACAAACUUUACUUUGAAAUGUGCAAUGGCAUAAAAUUCCAUCCCGUCCUUGUAUGUACAAGGCAUCACCAAUCAUGGUAUAUGAUGCACUUUUUAAAAUCAAACGCUUCUUUAAUUUUUCACGAUAGGAUGUCAAAAAAGUCUAAAACGUGAGAUAUUGGAUCAAUUCACCAUAUUCGGAUGUAAUGACAUCUAUAGCGAAUAAUUGUGCAUUUGAAAGGGCAUCGUUUAUCGACUCAUUACCUAGUAUAUUAGAUAAGCAGGACAAGUAAUCCGCAUUAGCAUGUUUCUUGUGAGGUCAAACAUUAAUCAUAAAGUUAAAUUUCUAGAGAAGUAACACCCAUCGAGAAAUUUGGCUACUCAAUUGAGGUUUAUAUAUCAUAUAUUUAAGUGCAUCAUGAUCAACGUGAAAUACAAAUGGAUAUCCGAGUAGAUAGUGGUAGAAUUUUUGUACAAAGUAUAUCAUUUCGAGGGCUUCUCGUUUGAUAGUAUUAUAGUUGUGUUAUGCCAUAACCAAUUGUCGACUCUCAAAAUAUAUUGGAUGAUCACGAUUAUUUUUAUCUUUCAGACUCAAUAUCGAUCCAAUCGCUACAUUGGAUGUAUCGACAUAAACCUGAAAUGGUUUUGUCCAGUACGGGGCAAUCAGUAUUGGUACAAAUACCAAUUUUUGUUUUAACACCUCAAAGGCAACACUACAUUCUGCCAUCCAAAUGGGGCUAGAUCCAUCCAAUUGUGGUUUCUUUAGCAGAUUUGUCAAUGGCUGACAUAGCACCACAAAUGAAUGAAUGAGUCGCCAAUAAUAAUUAACAUGGCCUACAAAAUUACGUACUUCUAAUACCGUUUUUGGCUUUGAUAAAGCCAAUAUUCAAGUUACUUUAUCGGGGUCUGUAGCAAUACCACGUCUAAAAACUAUGUGUUUCAAGAAUUUUUUCGAGGGUAUCCCAAAUUAACACUUCUCCAAAUUCAAAGAUAUCUCAUACUUAUCGCAUUAGUCCAGACAUUGUUCUAAAGAGUCCAAAUGAUCAACUAUAGUACUGAACCUGCAAAAAUCAUCUAAAAAUAUUUCCAUUGACACUCGUAAGUAAUCUUGAAAUGUUUGUGUCAUAACCCGUUGGAAUGUAGCUACUACGUUGUAUAAUUCAAAUAGCAUCACUUUGUAAGCAAAUGUGCCCCAAUCUGUUGUAAAUGUAGACUAGGACUGGUCUUCCUUGGCAAUUUUGACUUGAUUGUAACCUGAAAAACCAUCCAAAAAUGAAUAACAUUCGUGUCUAGCUAUGGCAUCCAAUAUACUGUCUGUAAAAGGUAGAAGAAAGUAGUCCUUCUUGGUAGCAGCAUUGAAUUUCCAAAAGUCUUAACAGAUUUUGAUUUUGCCAUUUUUUUGAGGUACCAUUAUCAUUGAUAAAACUCAUUUGCUAUACGAAACUGGAUAAAUAAAAGCCACGCGUAAUAGUUUAUCCAAUUCUUCUUUCACCAUCAAAGAAUAUUUUGGGUUGAGACGGUGCUAUCUUUCACAAACUGGUGUAACAUCCUUAACCAAUGUAAUGCGAUGUUCACACAUGCUUACUGGAAUACCUUUCAAAACUACAUACGUCCAAGCAAACGACGAUUUAUGCUUGAGAAAGAAUUCUUUCCACUUAUUCAACUCAUUACCUUGAAUACCCUCAUACAUCUUUACAUUCUGGGGCGCUUCAUGGAUUCCUAAGUUUAUAACCUAGAAAGUAGAUUCCUCCCUAGCUUCUGAUUUAAAAUUACCUGCUGACCCAUCAUCUUGCGUAGGAGACAACAACUGCUCGUGGCUCAUUUCUGACCUCAUUCCACUCACAUAAUUGACAACAUAUCUGAUCAUCCAUUCGGUAAAAACAUCAUCCGAGUUAGUUGCAUCCUCCUGAUGUAGUAGAUAUUUGUUGGGAUCUCCACAUUGGUAAACUCCUCUCUUUGCUAUUGAAGUAUUUUGUCCUCCCUUAAAUUGCGGUGAACCUAUAGCAUCAUUGUCUUCCUCAAUCGAUUGACUCUUGUUGUUUGAUGUAAACUCUGAUUCUGGUACUUGAGAUUCUCUGUGAUAUUGUACCGAGUAUAUCUGUAGAACAAUCUGGUUACGACCUUUUCUAAUUAUCAAGGUGCCUCGGCCCCAAUCGUUCUUAGCUUUGGCUUGAUAAAGCUAAGGUCUGCCCAAUAAAAUUGGAUAUGAUAAUGUAGAACUCUGUAAUUGGAAUACAAUAUAAUCAAUUUUGUAUAUCAAUCCCAUGAUUACAGUGGCAAUAUUGCGUAAAAUUUCUAUUGGCUUUAUCCAAUUAUGAUCUGCCAUUUGGAAGACCAAUGUCGUAGGUAGCAAUUGCUUUAGAUCCAAAUCCUCUAUUAUAUCCGCCUUCAUUAAAUUCACAUUCGAGCCACCAUCGACUUGUACCUCUAGAAUUAAAACUCCAUCGAUUGAUAUAUCGAUUGUUGAUGCUCCCGGAUUUGGAUUUAAGCUAACUUCAUGAAUUUUUCUAGUGCAGGGAUCUUCAUCAUAUUAACACUGAGUUCAAUGUAGAUCAACAUUCUGGUGCUAUAGCCAAAAGUUGCUUCAUUGUAAUUGAAGGUUGAAUAACAUCCAAAUCUUUUAGAAUGUCAUAGGGUUCCAUAUUGAGAGUAAUUCCUCAUACUCUUUUGCGUUUCAUUGGUUUUGAUUUUACUCCGUUUGGCAACAAUUCUUUCUUGACAAUUGGAAUUGCCGCUAGUAACUUUGCCAACAUUUCUAGUACUAAAGAUUCUUUUAAUGCAUAAGAUCUUUUAUUGGGCUGUACAAGUUUUAGUACUUGGUUAGUUGGGAUCGUUCUUGAUGGUCCCGGUAAAUUGGCACGUGGAACCGAAUUGAGUUCCUCGGUCUGCUGAGGUCUCAAUAUUGGGGUACGUCCCAAUACUGAUAUUGGUUCAUUUAGCCCCAUAGAUGAUGCUACUUGCUCUUCUGUGAUUGGUUCAUCUAGAUCCUGAAUUAAAUUCUUGUCUUUUUGUUGGCCUUUGAUAAGCAUUGCGUUCACUACCUCGACACAAUGUAUUUGUGAAUCCCGUUGAACAGGAUUUUUGUCCUCCGCUGGUUGGCUUAUUUGCAUGUGUUGGUCCCGAUUACUAUAAUUAAAGGACGCAUUGCACUACUGAGAAGUGUGAUCGGACUGCUUAUAAUUUCCACAUACUGAAACAUAGUCAUCACUUGCUCUUGGAUUAGGACAUUUACUUGUAUAAUAUCUGACUUGUCUGCAACGAUAGCAAUAAAGUGGUCUCUUGCCUGCUCUUUCAAGGAUAUUGGGUGUCUCUAUUAGUAUAUAAUGGCUAGGUCUGUUCCAUGUUGAAUGAGUAAAGGACCCUGGUUGAUCCAUUGGUACUGUAGGCUCUGACAUUAGCUUCGUCAUGGAUAGAUAUUAGUGGUAUCUUUGUUGGUUCAUCACCAAUCCAUGAGUAUUGGAUAUACCUUCUUGAUAAAAUUCAGAGUUUAAGAAAUUGGAAUCAUUUUUAUUUUGUUUAUUCGUUCGAUUUCCAUUCCAGCCAAAUCUAUUAUUCGUUUGUACUUGAUUGACAUUCUACGAAGUUGGUUGAAUCAUGGUCUGUUUUCCAACUUAUUGUUGCUUCCUUAAAUUCCAACAAUUGAUAGUCGUAUGCUUAUCUCCACAAAAUGUACAUUGGACCGUCAUUUGGGGUGGUGAAGAACAUUCAGUUUUCAAAUGACCUUAUCCUCUAUAAUUGUUGCACCAAACAUUGGGUUGCAUAUUGGUUGGUUUAUGCCGUUUUUCUUUAACCUUAGCCAGAUUCACAGCCAAUUCAUCCAUUUUUUUCAUCAAUGAUAACAGUAAUGAUUCAUAGGGAUCUCUUGAUACUAAUUCAUUUGACAAUUCUUUUAUAGGUAUUGGUUUUUGAUAUGCGGAAUAAGGCGCAUACGAGUGUGAUGAUGAAGGUGGUACAACUGACAAUAGGAUGACGUUCUCUAUUUCCUAUGGAAUUGUACCAUAAUCAUUCCUUCCCAAAUAACUGUCUGAUGCGUCAUUCCAAUUAUUCAUUUAAUAACCUCCUUGAGAUGGAAUCAUCGUGGCUCCUACGAUUAAGUUCUUAUCAUAGUGACAUUCCUUCCAUACUUUUGCUCGAUCAAGAGAUGAUGCAAUGGUGGCUAAUUGGGCCUCCUUUACAAACAUCUUCAACUUUGGUGGGUGUAGUCCAUUAACCAAUAUGGACAACACAAACGAUUUUGGGAUUUGGAUAUUUGGCCAUUUUCAAAGUAUAUUUCCUACACGACUAUAAUAUGACUGUAUCGCUUUCUCUGGUACCAUUUUGUUGUUCAUUAAUUUUUUUCUAAGACGUUCUUUAAAACCAAUUGAUCGAAAAUGGACUAAAAAUGUAUUUUUUAAUGCCUCCUAAUUGAUAAAUUGUCCCACAUGUUCGUGGUUAUAUCACUCAAACUCUGUAUCUUUCAAUGUUGUUGGCAGCCAUCUCAGCCAAAUACCUUUUGUUUUUCUAUUAUUGGCUACACACGCUGUCAAGAAUUGAGACAAAUAUUGAUCUGGGUCCGCACUUGAUAAUCCCUAAAAAGUAGAUAGUGGCAUGACACUAGUCAUACGAUCGCUUACUACACCCAUUUGAAUUGCAAUCGAAAUGACUGGUGCUCCUAAUGCCAUUGAAUUUCUUGUUUCACUAAACUUUGUUUUAAAAUAAACACUACUUUUCUUUAUUCUAAUUUUUGAGCUCUCAGUGCUCCUCGAUUUACUAUUAUUUUCUGCAAAUAGUUUUAUUGAUUGAAUUACGGGUGAAAAUAUCAGAUUUUGAAAUAUAAUAUAUUUAUCUUUAUUGGCAACCAAUUUGUGCCAAUCUUAAGAGUCACUAUUGCUCGGUUCGACAGUACCCACCAUUGAAAAAAUACCCAAUGGAGUACCCAACUCUUCUACGCCUUCUUCACUUUCAGUUAACAGCCUCAAGAUUUCUGCUGGAAUGUCAACAAAGUUUUCCGCGAGUGUUCUUGGCAGUUUUUUAAAUAAUACAUACGACUAUAGAAUUAACAGUUUGUCCGAUUUUCUGAUAUGUUCGAAUGCACCAACAAGCUUGCAACCACAGUUUAAUCCAACUCUAUUGAUGCUUUCUUUUAAAAUUACAUUCUUUCUCCUCUCUAAGCAAGUUCCUUCCUUGUGCUCUUUCCUCCCUUUCUCUCAAUUGAUGUAUUUUCUUCGAUGCAAAGCUGUCGUUCUUAUUAACCAUAAUCUUGUUUCAAACACUACUAAAAUCGUCUUCUAUUAUUCAUUUUAUCACACAUUCAGUAAUUAAUUCCUAACACUCAAAGCCAUUAUCAAUCCUGGCAACGGCGCCAAAAUCUGGUUAGACGUUUUACUUAUUUCAAACUAAUCUAAUGGAAAUAAAUCAGUAUAGGAGGAUUCAAACACGGAGAAUGACUAGUUGCUUAAGCGUUCACGUUAGGGUCACACAAUCAACAACCUCUUGAAUGUAUUGUCUCUAUUUUUUAUAUUCAAAUACACAAGGAUACUAUAAUCUCUUCCUUCACUCAAUUGGUCUCUUCUUUACAGUAAUUUAGUCAUACUAAUAACUGCUAUUUCCACCAAUAUAUAUUCACUCUCAUAAUCUCCAAUCAUAAUACUGCACCAUCACCACUUUCAGAUCACAAUUACCUUCAUUCUAAUUCUUGGAAAUCCUCACUUCGAACUGUCACUGUCAAUGUUGUGCUUCUUACAUCCUCACACUGAUUCUUUCAACUAAACUACAAUCAGAUUUCAGCAUUCAAUCUUUCAUUCAAUAACAUAUAAUCCCAAUCACACUUUCAUUUCAUAAUUCACUUGACAAUAUUCAGAAACUCUCAAUCCUCUUAUUCAAAGAAAACAAACAAAAAAAAAGAGGUAGCACCAAGCUUACCUCGGCUCACAACUAUCACAGUAAUGGCAUUUACUUCUUCUCUCUCAUCCUCCUUAUGCUACUCCAAGAUAUCCACUGCUACAUCUAUGAUGAAAACUACUUCUGCUAACUAUUCAUCUAUUUUACUUGCUGAACUAUCUUUUCAGCAGUCAUCUAUUCGUGUUUAUACCAUACACUAGGUAUCUACAUUCUAAAAAUAAUUACUUAUUCUACAUUCACCUUAAACUUCUUCUAGAAGGUUCUAUAGUAGAUUCCACCUAGAUAAUCACCUUAAAUUCUUUCUAAAAUAUUCCUUCGUAAAUCCUAUAUAGUCCACUAACCUAACUCCAAUUCUAAAAACUUCCAUAAUUUUUUUAACAUGGUUCUAACUAUUUAUCUCUAUGUAUCAAUAAUACAAAUAUCUUAUUCAUAUCUUGUGACACUCAAACUGAUGGAUAAACAAAUUGAAUGAAUCAAGUUCUGAAGCAGAAUUUAAGUUAUACCAUUAAUUAUCAUCAAAAUGAUUGGAUAACUCUUUUGCCAUUGAGAGAGUUUGCAUAUAAUAAUUUAGUUCACUCUUCUACUCAAUAAAUAUUUUUCUUUUUCAAUUACGGUUAUCAUCUAUAAUUUGAAACUUAUGACUUUUCAAAAGUUAAUAAUCUUAUAGAUGAUGAUUUUGCAAAUUGUUUGUCGGAGUUACAUGCAAUAAUGAAGGUGCAGUUAAAGGAAGUUCAAAAAUGACAAAAGUUUAAUGUGGAUGUCUAUUACAAAGAACAACCAUAAUUCAAUGUGAGUGAUAAGGUAUGAUUAUUCUAUCAUAAUAUCAAGACUACUUGCCCUUGUAAGAAGUUGCACUACUAUAGGCUUGAACCUUUUUCAAUUUGUGAAUAAGUCAAUCUUAUUGCUUAUUAAUUUCACCUAUUGGAGAUUAUGAAGAUCCACAAGGUAUUUUAAAUGUCUCUUCUUCAGUCAUAUAAGACAUUAAAUAUCUUCAAAAGAAGUCAAAUGCCACAUCCUUCUAUAAAAGUAAAUAAUAAUUAAAAAUUUGAAGUGGAAGAAGUCUUAGAUUCAAGGUAGUAUCAAAAUAAGUUAAAAUAUCUUAUUCAUUAGCACAUAUAUGAUAUAAGUGAAUGUACAUGGGAGCUAGUAAAGAAUCUUGCAAAUUCAAUAAAGAGAAUUGAGGCUUUUUAUUGAUGACGUCAAUCAAAAUCAAAAUAAAGCAUAGCAAAUCUUCACUAAAAAAGAAAUAAGAUCCAAAGAAGAUAGCAAUCUACCUUCUACAAUUAUUUGUAGCUUCUAUAUAUUUAUAACCAUAUAAAAAUAGAGAAUCAUUAAUCAACAUAUUCAACUCAAGAACUUUCAUUUAUUAACUUACUAAACAAGACAUUGUGAUUGUCACAAAUUCUAAGAUGAUAUAAUUAAGAUAAAGAUCCUUAAGAAUGAUAUGUCUUAUCUUGAAUCAAUGGCAAAAUAAAACAUAUUUGAUAUCAUGACCUUAGAAGAGACUCUCGAUGUAUGGUGAUUUAAUUAAAAGUAUGAACAAUUUCUUAACAAUAUUCAAAUAAUUUAUUUGAAAAAAGUUAUAAAGGCCUCAACAACAAUGACUAACAAGAUAAUCUUUUCACCUUAGUAUGGAAUAUUAUCGAUCGUUGAGAGGAAAUAUCAACCAUCUUCAAAGAAAAUAAAGAUUAGAAUAUGUGGCAAAUACAAUUUUCUACAUCUUAGAUUUCUUCAAAAUUAGACAUCUUCUCUUUUUUAAGUGCUAUCAAGGUAGAACUUGCUAAAAUGAAGUAUACAAUGGCACAAAUGCAAGAGCAAUUGAGGGAGUUAAUGCUUGCGAUGCAUCAACUCAAUUUAUCACUAUAAGAAGCAACAAGAUUGGCAAGAAGUGAAGAUAUAGAAAUGAUUGGAGUUGCUUCAACAUCUGCACCAAAUCAUGUCUCUUCUCUUAUGGUGGAACACCCUUUUAGUGUUAGAAAACCAAGAAUUGUCCUUCCUAAGAAUUUUGAUGGCACCAAAUCAAAGUUUAGAAGAUUUAUCAAUCAAGUACAACUUACGAUUGAACUUCAACUCCAAAGCUAUCCAACUCAAAGAUUGAUAGUUAGAUUCUUUAGUAUUCUUCUUUUUGGUUGAGCAUUAUCAUGGUUUUCAUCUUUUCUUGAACGAUGAGAUCCAAUAUUGAAUAAUCUAGAGGCUUUUUUGGUAGAGUUUUGAUCCAUGUAUGGAGAACAUGAUGCAAUUUGUAUUGCAACCAAUAAGAUCCAUACUUUGCUAUAAGAUAAUCGAUUAGUAACAUUGCAUGCUUUCCAAUUUUGACAACUUGCAACUGAUAUCAAGUGGGAUGAUGCUGCACUUAUUAGCCAAUUUUUCUACAAAUUACAAUAUGAGAUAAAAAAAUUAAUGCUCAACUUAUCUGAUCCUCAAACAUUGAGUCAAGCAAUUGACUUUGCUUUGAAAAGGCACAAUCGUCUUUUUGAAUUUCAAUGUGGGAAUUGUACAAGUGAACCUCAACGUUACUAUAAUUCAAUGGCAACACCAAUAUUUCUUCAAUACAUACAUUCAGAAGUACAGAAUAUGCAAAUUGAUGCGGUACGUUUCAAACUUCUUAGUGAGCAAGAAAAGACUCAUCAUUGUUAGGAAAGAUUGUGCUUAAAUUGUAGAGAACCUAAGCACACUGCUCAAUAUUGCCAAAAGAAGUGACACAACUAUAAAAUGAGGAGUACGACAAUCAAAGAAGAUAGCAUGUCAAAAAAAAAUAAUUGUCUAACUAUAAUAGGCCCCAUGUGGCUGGAACCUUGUACAACGCAUAGUGAAGGUCCUAUCCUCUCCUCAAAAUCCUCUCCAUGUUUUAAAAUAAAUAUUUUUCUACAACCUAAAUAUCACAAAGCCUCUGCCUUUCUAGAUUCACGAACCUCACUAUGUUUCUUAGAUGAAGAAUUUGCUAAAAGACAUAGCAUAUUUUUAGUGAAGAAAACUAAACCUGUUCAUGUAGAAGUCAUAGAUGAUCGUUUGUUGUCUUCAGAAGAUGUUACUCAUGAAAUCCUUUCUAUAGAAAUAACAACUAAUGGUCAUAGUAACUUUAUAAUAUUUAAUAUCAUUAGAUCUCUUUUUAAUCCAGUCAUUUUAGGUUUAUCAUGGCUACAAAAAUAUAAUCCUAAAAUAGAUUAGACUUCUCAGAGUCUUGAUUUUUCUGAAAGUAUAACUAAGAGUGUAGUUAAUUAAGUACAAAGUCAUAAGUCUAAUAUAUUUAAACCUAUAUUUGUAGGUACAAGUGCUUUCUUGCAUGUUGCAAAAGAAGUAUCACCUUGUAUCAUUUAUGCCACACUUGUUCUAUUAGUGGAAAGACUACAAGUGGCAUUCCAAGCCAAUAUUAAAAUUUUUAAGAUGUAUUUGAGAAGAAGAAUGUGGAUACUCUUCUAGAACAUUGUUCCUAUGAUUGCUCAAUUGACCUUCAAGAAGGAGCAAGACCACCAUUUGGACCAAUCUACAAUUUAUCUUAAAUGAGAUGGCUGAACUCAAGGAAUAUAUUUUAGAGAAUUUGGCCAAGAACUUCAUACACCAUUCCAAAUCUCCAGCAGAAGCUCCAAUUUUAUUUGUGAAGAAAAAAGAUGGAUCAUUGCGGAUGUGUAUCGAUUAUCGAGGACUCAAGAAAAUCACUAUUAAAAAUAGGUAUGCGAUAUCUUUGAUAUCUAUACUCUUUGAUCAGUUGAAUCAAGCUAAGAUCUAUAUAAAAAUAGAUCCACGAGGAGAAUACAAUCUGGUAUGGAUCAAAGAAGGAGAUGAAUGGAAGAUUGCAUUUCGAACAAAGUAUGGACAUUUCAAAUACAAUGUCAUGCCUUUUGGACUUACAAAUGCAUCAAUGGCAUUCUAACAUCUAAUGAAUGAUGUCUUUUGGGAGUUUUUAGAUGAUUUUGUUGUCUAUUACCUAGACGACAUUUUAAUCUAUUCUAAAAAUAUUGAAGAAUAUGAAUAUCAUGUUUGUCAUGUAUUACAAAAAUUAAGAGAUGCGGGAAUCUAUGCCAAGAUAGAAAAGUGUAUAUUUCACACUACUCAAGUCGACUUCUUACGAUACAUCAUUUCAAAUGAUGGACUUAUGAUGGAUCGUAAGAAAUUUCAAACUAUUAUGGAUUGGAAGAUCCCAAAAAUGGUAAGAGAUGUCCAAUGCUUUUUGGAAUUUUUCAACUACUAUUGGAUCUUCAUCAAAGACUUCUCUCAAGUUGUAACUCCACUUACACGUUUGACUUGCAAAGAUAAACUUCAAUAGAAUCAAGAAGCAAAAGUAGCAUUUGAAGCUUUGAAGAUAGCAUUUGUUUUUACACCAAUCUUAUAUCGUGUCAAUUUUUCUAAGCCAUUUUUUAUGGAAACAAACACAUCAGACUUUGCUUUGUAUGCCAUAUUUUUACAAAUGGGAAUAGAUGAUAAACUUCAUGCAAUAGCUUUUCAUUCCAAAAAAAUUUCAGCAAUUGAGAUCAACUACAAGAUCCACAACAAAGAACUUCUUGUAAUCAUGGAUUCAUUUCAAGAAUGGUGCCAUUAUCUAGAGGGUGCUUCUAGCUCAGUUGCAGUAUAUACGGAUCACAAGAACCUUGAAUAUUUUAUGUCAAUACUUAUUUUGAAUCGUUGUCAAGACCAUGGAAGUAUGUCUUUGUCUAGAUUCAAAUUCAAGAUCACUUAUCAACUAGUAAAACAACAAGGUUUGUCACAUGCACUCUCUAGAUGAUCUUACCUUUUACUAAAGAAAGAAGAUCCUACUUUUAAUCAAUAAUGGACAAUUUUCUUGAAGCAAAAGUAACUUCAUCUUCAAGCAAUAAAAACAAUACUAAUAAUUGAUUCAACUUUUAUUAAGCAAGUUCACUCAAGUAUGUCUUCUAAUCCUCUUAUUCUUGAUAUUAAGGGAAAUCCUUCAAAGUUUCAUGAUACUUCCAAGUUUGAAUUCAAAAAGAAUCUAAUAUAUUUAGGAAGAUGCCUAUAUGUUCAAGAAGGAGAAGCUCGACUACGUGUCAAGGACAAAGACUCGAUGAGGAAAAAUAUACACCAAAAGGCUAUCUCGAUAUAAUAAGUCAAAAUAUAAACAAGUAGGUAUAUUAAAAGGAAACUGGAAUGGCUAUUGCCACAAGACAAGAAACUAAAGACUCUUGAACCUGGACUAGAAUCAAGAAAGGAGUUGACAAGAGUGAAGAAGCCUUCACUCUUGUCUCUAUAUAUACUAUCUAACUAGGGGCUACGUGGCGACGUUCUAUAGGACCUCCAAUAUGUGUUGCCUUUGUAGGACACAUGCCUUGACUUACAAGGCAAGUUUUUCUACGUGUCGGCCACAUAGUUAGCUUGAUCUUCAAGCUAACAACAUGUGUGGCACAUGGCCAACUUUUUGAUCACGUUUCUAAUCCAAAAAGUCAAUUAAAGACACCUAUGAAGUCAAAGCAGCGUCUAGAAAGUUUCUAGAAAGCUUCUAUAUUAAAUAUUAUAGAAUUAAUUUACUUUUAUCUACUUUUACUUACUUCUACCUAUUUCUAUAUGUAAUUAUUAGCUUACAUGAUUAUGGCCGUGACAUUACCCCCCCUUCUAGAGACGAGUUCCAUGAGGAGCGGUCAUCAUAUGUUGAGAAAAUCUAUGAUGCGACGAAUUGUAUUCGCCACAUACUCUGAUCUCUGUUCUCUUCGAAGAUGAUUGAUAGGGCCUCUCAAUCAUCGGUAGUGUCCCAUACCAAGGCGGGAAGACCACCCAGUUAUUUGAUCAUUGUUGAGGCCUUCGUAACUUCCUUCGAAUAGAAUAUUCGGAACACCAUCAGGAGUUGUUCCUACCUCUAGCAAAAUCACCAAACAUCGGGAGUCCCUUCCCAAAUCGUGAUACCAAACGCGUUGUAUGUCACCAUCUGUUCGAGGAAGAACAUGUCGUUCUUGAAGAUCUUCAUCUCGAUUAUGUCAUCUUGAAGGUUGUGACAAUCGUAAUGUCUCGUCCGGCAGGUCAGCAAACAAAGGUUCUUGAGUUGAAUCCGCUGGUUGUUGGCUCUCCAUCUAAUUAGCGUCACAAAUACAAAGAAGUUACAAACAAGGAUAGGAAAUUGAAUGUUAUCUUGCCUCAAUCUUGUCUCUUUUAUAAGAGAGAUUUUCAUCUUGGUUUUGAUGGAUGUCAUUGAUGAAAAACUUUGACUUUAGCUGAUACAUUUGCUAGAUUCCUGGAUGGCUCCAAUGUGCGUUCACUAAUAUCAUAUCCAUGCCAAUGAACAAGAUAUUCCAGCUUAUUUCGGCGCCGCCUUGAGUCUAAUAUCUCUUCCACCUCAAAUUCUUCAUUAUUAUCUACUUCUAUAGGAGGCGGUGGCAUUUGUCUUCUUCCUUGUAUAUCCACUGUCUUAUAUGGUUCAAGAAGAGACACGUAGAAUACAGGAUGGAUCUUCAUAGACUCCGGUAGAUGUAACCGAUAUGCAACUGAGUUGAUCUGUUCAGAAACAAAAAAGGGGCCAAGCCUACGAUAGUCCAACUUGUCACAAGGUCGAGUAGUCUUGAUAUUGCGACGAAGUAGUCAUAUCUUAUCACCCACAUUGAGUUGACGUUGCUCCUUACGAUAUAGAUCUGCGUUUAUCUUUUGUCGUUCUUAAGCUUCCUUCAAUUGCGUCUUCAUUAUUGCAUGUAACUCUGACAACCGAUUUGCCAUAUCUUCUGCUGCAGGAUUAUCAACUUUUGAAAAAUCAAAAGUAUCAAGUCGUGGAUGAUAGCCAUAAUUGGCAAAGAAAGGUGUUUGUUGCGUGGAAGAAUGUACCGUAUUAUUAUAAGCAAACUCUGCCAAUGGCAGAAGGUUUGUCCAAUCAUCUUGUUGGUAGUUGAUAGUACACCUUAAACAUUGCUCCAAGACUUGGUUUACGCGCUCUGUUUGUCCAUCAGUUUGAGGAUGGAAAGCCGAAGAUAGUUUUAUGUCUACUUUUAAAAUCUUGAAAAGGAUCCUCCAAAAUCUUGACACAAAUUGAGUUCCCCUAUCUGAUAUGAUAUCUUUAGGUAAUCCAUGAUAGCGAUAGAUAUUAUCAAUGAAAAGCUUAGCUGUUUUUUCACCUGUGAUAGAUUUUGUACAUGGCACAAAAUGUGCCAUCUUGGUGAAACGAUCUACUAUCACAAAUAUAGAAUCAUAAGAUCUUGAGUUUGGAAGAUCUGUGAUGAAAUCCAUAGAAACAAAAGACCAUGGUUGUUCUGGUAUAGGUAAUGGCUGAAGAAGUCCGUAAGGUCGAUGAUGAGGAAUUUUUGAUCUUGAACAAAUAUCACAUGAUUGUACAAAGUCUUUGACUGACUUCCACAUUUGUGGCCACCAAAAAUCUCUUGAUAUGAGUUCCAAAGUCUUAUUAUAUCCAAAGUGCCGUGCUGCUGGAAAGUCAUGACGUGAUUAAAGAAUACGUAAACUUGCUUCUCCUUUUGGAACAUAUAGGCGUCCUUCAAAAUAUAAUAGAUUAUUCUUAAACUCGAACUUAGAAGGAUCAUGAGACUUGAAAGAAUUAUUCUUGAUAUCAUAAAUAAAAGGGUCUGAGGACAUACUGGACUGGAUUUGCUUGAGAAAAGUUGAAUCAACAAUCAAUGUUGAUUUCAUUGCUCGGAGAUGAAAUUGCUCCGGUUUCAAGAGGAUCGUUCUUUGUUGCUCAAAAGCUGCAUCUCGUUCUUUUGGUGCAAAAUAAGAACGUCUAGAUAGGGCAUCAAACAAACCUUGUUGUUUUCCUGGCCGAUAAGUGAUAAUGAACUCGAAUCUUGACAAAGACAUACUCCAACGAGCAUGACGACGAUUCAACAUGCUGUCGUAUUACGUGCUUUUCUGCUCGAGAACGCCCCGGAUGUCUGGCUGUAGAAGGUAGUAUGGAGAUUCACCGAUAGUCAAGUAGUCUAUCAGUUUUUGACUGCUGGAAUAUAAACGACUGCAACAAUGUACCGUAAAUCUAUACGGAUGCUCUUCGACUGCUUGUCGAAGUCUUUUUUUUUUUUUUUUUUUUUUCGAGCCGAUAGGUCUCUAAACGUUACAGAGAACCCCGUACAUUCCAAAUUCUUAAUCUUCAAUACCCCUUUGUACUUACGAUCUUGUAUCCACUGACUAUCCUGUUAGAUUAACCCAAUAAAUUUCAUUCACUCCGCAUACUCAAUCCUAUAGACACCCCUUUAAUCCUUCAAUCACAGACGUAACUUGAUUUUAUAAAACAGUCAAGAGUAUUCAACCCACUUCAUUUAAAAAUCCCGAUUCACCAUUACAACACUGACUUCAGCAACGAUUGCCUCAGUGUUCCCAAAACUCUAUGAAGAAGAAAAAUCCAAAUUCUAUGUCUUUUCUUCCCCGACCCGAAGCAUGAAGCUCCUCUCUCUAAUUCCCUAGAUCUUCAAAAAAUUCCAAUGAAACCGAACUGGUAACCUUGCAAAAGCUUUGAAAACUCGCUCCCCCCCGAUUCCCCUGAAAAAAAAACCCCCCCCUCAAAACUAUAUCCCCCCUAACCUUAUCCUCUGAAUUUCUUCAAUCUUCCGUCUUAGAUCCGGAAUUGGCUCCCACUUCAAGCUUGGAUCCGAAAUUGGCUCUCGCCGUCAAGCUUUCUCCUCCGUUUUUACCUUUAAGAAAUCCAUUUACCGAAAACAAUGUUCCCUGAAAUGGCACAGAGAACAGGACAGCCUAAAACAGAAUCGAAUCCCGAAAUCGGAACCACAUUGAGUCGCCCGACCAAUUCAGGUCCUAUAUUGGAAAAGAUGCCCCUAGAAACCGGGAUGUUCCCAUAAUUGAAUCAAAUUGGUCUUCGCAUCAGAUUGGCUAAGACCCGUAGUAAGACCUGGAUUUCUCGUAAUUAGACUGCAUUGGGUUGACCGGCCAAUUCAGGUCUCAUAUUGGAUAAGAGGAUAGAUUAGAUUAUCGAAAUUGGAUCCAAUUGGCUCCUCGAACCCGUCGUGUGAAUUGGUCCUUCUCUUCCUACUGACUCCCGUUAUUGAAAUCAAACGGGGCAUUUCAGUAUGCCCCGGCUGACUAUAACGGAGUCACUGAACCUGACCACUCAGUAUUUGUACUCGAGUUGGUCGAUGCUCCCAAUAUUCGAGGCAACUGAAUAUUAAUAAAAUUCCCCUUCCUUUUUAUUUUCACUGUAUACUCGUGUUACAACACGACAUCCACGCCCUCUAAACCUGUGCAUCCUCCGGUAUGCACCAAUUUACCCAAUUGUUGUUUGAUUCAGAAUAUAUCCCCUACGUCUUUAUCUUUUUCGUCUUCGUCACCUUCAUUAUCCAUAUCACUUUCAUCUUUUUCCUGUGGAAUCUCUGUACCUUCAUUAAGGUCUUCCAUAUUCAUCUCUGCGUGUCUUCGUUUAAAUAUUUUUACUCGCUUCCCUGCAAUUGGUAUUUUCAAUUUUAAACCAUCUAACUCCCGUAAUGAGUAAGUCGCAUUAUCAUGAACAGUUGUUACAACAUAUGGUCCAAACCAACGUUUUGAAAAUUUCCGCAAAGUUCUAUGUUGAUUAUCCAGACUAUUGUCAUAAACAAGUAUCCAGUCACCUUUCUCGAUUGCUUUUGGUCUCAAUCGAUGUUGCUUAUCAAAUCGCGCCUUGUUUUGUAACCUUGCUCUUUUUAACCUUUCCAAUGCUAUCUGGACAUCUUCCGUUCUUUGCUCCAAUUGUCGAAUCCUAAUAGCCAGAAGUUCUUCUUUUGUCAAUCCAUCUUCCCAUGGUAGCAUACUCCAAAUAAGUACCUUUUCUUCAAUCGGCAUAAUUGGUUUUUGACCUGUCAUAAGUUCUACUGGCAUAUAUCCUGUCACCGAACUAUGUGUUGUUCGAUCAGCCCAUAAUGCAAAUGACAAAAGCCGUGGCCACUCUUUAACCUUCCCAUUACAAGCUUUAACCAAUGCUUUCACAAUCGGCAGGUGACCAAGUUCGCUUUUUGCAUUCCCUUUCGGAUUAUAAGCAGUAGUCAGUGAUAGCUUAACUCCACAUUUUUCAAAGAACUUACGAGCUUCUUGUGCAUUUAAUUCUCCAUGAUCUGCAGUGAUUUUUUCUACGCACCCGUAACGGCAAAUGACAUCUUCAAGCAAAAACCUACAAAUUCCCUCUGUAGAUUUUGUCCUCAAUGCUCUUCCUUCUACUAGAUUUGAUAAAUCUUCACGAGCUAAAACCAAAUAUCUCAUCUGCCAUAACCCAACCGGCAUAAUAACCAAAUCAACAACCCAUUUAAAAUGAAUAGCUAGAGGAUAUGUAGGAUGAAGACCAUCUCGAUGUCGGAUAUUAGAAUACGAUUGACAGAUUUCACAUGACUCUACAAAUGAGAGCACAUCUCGAUACAUAUUUUUCCACCAAUAUCGUUCCUUGAGUUUAGCAAAAGUAGCCCAGAUUCCUCUAUGCCCUGCCCAUAAACUAUCAUGAAACUCUUUUAAUAAUUUUAGUUUUUCUUCCCUUUAGCCUAUCACUCGUUGUGGCAUCCCAAUUCCUUUCUUCGGUCUCUUCCAUAAGAAUCCAUCUCGAAGUAAAAAUCCAUAUGCUUCUUUUCUUAUUUGUUUGAAUUUUUCUGUAGACAAAUUCCCCUGUUUAGACAAGGUAUUCAAAUAAUGACCAAUAUCCAAUAAUUCUCCUUCAUAAGAUUCUUCAAGAAAUAGCUUGUCUUCUCUGUUGACAUUUGAGAUUGAAUAGAAUUUCAAUCCGACAUCAUCAAUGUCUUCAACCAUUUCGUCCUCCCUCUCGUAUCUUGCUCGAGAUAGCAUGUCUGCUACUAAAUUGUCCUUUCCAAUGAUAUGCUUAAAUUCUAGAUUUAGUGACUUAAUAUAAGCAAUCCAUCUCAACAUUGUAAUAUCUGGCGUUGAACAGUUAAUAAUCAUUCCAAGCAAUGGCAAGCAAUCUGUUUCAAUUACUACUACUGCCCCAAUCAAAUAGUCCUUUUCAGCUUUCAUAGCCGAAACGACCCCCCAAAGUUCUCUUUUGAAUUGCGAAUAUGCAUGUUGAUGAAUAGUUAAAAUUUUAGCCCCAAAUCAAACUGCAAAUCUACUCCCAUUCGAAUCAUCUUGACCCACAGCCCAUCCAACAGUAAUUGGACUAGCGUCUACAGUAUGAAUCACUCGUCUAUUGCACUUAUAAUCAACCUUCCUCAAUAUUGAAGGUGACAUCAAUAAUUUCUUCAAUCUUUACAUUGCUAGAAUUUGCCUAUCUUCUCAUUUAAAUCGGUAACCCUUGCGUAACAGUUCAUAUAAUAGAUCCGCUAUGUAAGCAAAAUGAAGGACCCAGAUUCGAUAAAAUAUACAUGCACCUAAAAACCUGCGAACCUCUGUUAAAGAAUCACAAUCCUCUUUCAUCCUUCCAAUUGCAUCAUUUAAGUCGGAUCUGGUUUUCUUCCGUAAGAUCCACAUAAAUGUCCAACAAUUACAACCUCUCGUACUCCAAAUAUGGACUUCAUACCCGAUAAUGUAAGAUGAACUUCUCCAAGCUGAGUUAAAAACUUUUCACAAUCUUGUAUAUGAUCAACAACAUAUUUGCGACAUCCCCUCGUAUCUAAAGUUUCAUCCUUGUCUCUUUCUCUGCAUCCUUUUAUAGGAACAUCAUCCAGAAAAGGCAUAGUCUUUUCCGGAAUAAAAUCCCUCAAUACCUUAUUCAUCCCAUUCAUCAUAUGCGCAACUGAAUUGAUCGCGCCUAGAGGAAGAGUGCACAUUCUAACCAAUCCAAGUGGUGUCCUCAUCGUUGUCAUAUCUCUACUUCCUUCGGCAAGUUGAAAUUGAUCAUAACCUGAAUACAAAUCACCGAUUGAAUAGAUCGCCCUUCCAGCAAACGCCUCAGCAAAUUCAUCCACAAUAGGUUUAAUUCCUGCAUUCCUGACAGUUAAAGCAUUCACUGGCUGCAUAUCUUGAAUAAACCGUUUUGACCCAUUCUUCUUAUGUACCGUAAACCAUCGACUAGAAUACGGCACAAAUGAAGUUUUUAAUAUUUUCAUCUUUAUCUUUUCUUUCAAUAGUUCCACCAAUUUAGGUAAAUGUGCCCUCGGUACUAGAAUCGGUCUUAGAUUCCAAGGUACAUGCGGUACAAUGUAGGUAACCAUAGGUGUUAUAAUAUUUGGAUCCACACACCCAAUUUCAUGAGAUUCGAAGGCAAACGAUCUACCUUGUUUAGCCAACAUCUUUUUGAAGCAAGUAAUUUCCUCCGGCAAUAAAGAACCAUCAGAACCAAUCUUCAAUUCUUCAAAAGUCUCUUCAGUAAAUUGAUGUCCAAUACUCAUUGGAUCUCUUAAACUUGCUUCUUUUGAUGCUUCUCCCAUUUGUUCUUUAGAAUCCUCUGGUAAUGGUCCAGGCUUUACCUUCUUAUCAGCCGUUUUAUAUCUCGUCUCUACUGUGACUUCUGGUGCUUGAAAAGAUUCAAGCAUGGUAUAAACCUCUCUUGAAUGAAUCUCAACAAUCUUAUCAUUAUCCCCUAAUCCAAUAGAUGUAAUCAAUUCCAAUGAAUCUUCCAGUCCAUUUUCAUCACAAACACCCAAAAUCUUCUCAUCGUCUUGCAAUAUACCUAUCUUGCGUAAUUGUCCUUUAAUAUCAUAUAAUCUUUUUCUUUCCUUUCUUUGAAAAUCAUCAACCUUCUUAUACAUAAUAUUUCCAUUCUCCAAUAUACCAAUAAAACUCGCAUCAAAGGCACCUUCAUCUCGCGAGAGUACCUCCUCUUUUGUACCUCCAUAAUCUCGCUUUACAAUGGUACCUCCCCAAAAUCCUUAAAUCCUUCAACAAUCUUUGGCAAUGGUUUCUCCCUCAACCUAUCUCGAUUCCGUUCAUGGUUAGGAGGUACUGUUAGAAAUUGUACAGCUUUCCUCCCAUCUUCGCUCCGUACCCUUGCAUAAGCAGAACCAUGGUCAAGUACCUUUGUUUCCAUCCGUGUUGCCGUGAUAUAAGGUUGUCCUAAAAUCAACGGAUAAGACGUUGUAUCUUGAACGAAGAAAUGUUGCUUCGUCGCAACAUCCCCAAUCCGAAUUUUGACAUCUGGACAAGCUCCAUAUAAUUCGCCUCGUGUGUUAUUAGCUGCUCGUAUUGCCCAUCCAUGUUCCAUAUCAAUUGGCCAUUUUUGCUUCUUAUAAAGAUCUUUAGACAUGAGAUUUAUUUCAGUACCAUGGUCCACCAAAGUAACUAUUGGUUCUUCUAUAUCUCCUACCUUCACCAAUACCUCAGUAGUUGUCCCCGCCCAAUGCUUUCGAGUAUAAUGGCUCAAAGUUUCCAUUUCCUUGUCACUAGAAUCUUCGAAACGUACUCGCUGAUUAUACCCAUUCUUUUCAUUUGUUGGUUGCUUGUAACCAAUAUCAACCUCUUCUUCAUCUCUACAUAUUCUUGCAUCAAUAGCAUGACUCAUUCAAGUUUCGUCCAUUAAUUACCUCUUUCGCUUAAUGCUGUCAAUGAUAACAUCAUGAAACUCCUUCUUUGCAAUUUCCAAGACUUCUUUCAAUGUGAAUUCCACCUUAGCGUUUAAUAUACGUUCUUCCAACACUCCUUUCAAAUUUGUUGCCGCUUCAAUGUCAGAAAGUAGUUUAUAAGCAAUUGAUUUGCUCUUAUCUUUUGUCUCCGUUGUUUUUUCUCCCAAUGAUGCUGAGGUAUCCUUUACAUGCAAUUCUUGUGAAGCUGCCUCUCGAGCCUUGUCUCCUCGAGUUUGCCUCUUAAAAGAAUUUCCUUCUCUAGUAUCAUCAAAAUUUCUUCAUCUUUUUUCUUCCAUCAAAGCUUCAUGUUGGCUCUUAGCAAUAUAUGCAUGAACUGAAAGAGACUCAACAAGAUCCUUCCAACCUGUUCUUCCUCAUAUUGUAGCUGCAGUUCUCAAUAACGCUUCUCGAGGUAAUUUCCCUUCUUGCAUUGUAGAAACGGCAGAAGUCCAAAACUCACUAGUUUCCGUACUUCCACCAAUUUCAUCAUCUACUCUAGCACCAUAACUUGCACUUUCUCAUACUACUGUUUCAUGCUCUUUUAAGUAAUCUUGAACCAAUGCUCUCAUUUCUCCCUUGCCAAAAUUGGUUUGAAGAAAAUCCUCAAUAUCUUUCAAUACUAUCUUCCCAUCUUUCCAGCAAAUAAUUCCCUGCCGUAUCAUAUUAUUAAAUUCAUUGCAAUCUUUUCUAGUGUGUGAAGCAUCAUCACACCAAAUGCAUCUUUGUACAUAUCCUUGUUUUGAAACAUUCUUCGAAUUGUUUAUAGAAGUAUUCUCUUCAAGUCUUGCCAAUUUGAUUUGAAGAUCUCGCAUUCCUCGUAUAAUUUCUUCCAUACGAAUAUCUGCUUUCUUAGACAAGGAUGUCGAAGGUUGAACUAUAGGCAUUGUCGGUGGUGUUGUACGUACUGGAGCUUUGGGUGCUUGUACUGUUUUUGGAAUAUUGCUCCUAUCCUUCCUCCUUUCUUUUUUUGUAAGCAACCCCACUGCAUCUUCAACGUUCUUCCACUUCAUUUUCAAUCCUUCAUCUUCUUCUUUGUCUUCAAGAAGGGGUUCUAAUUUCUCUUGCAAUUCUCCAUCAGCAGCUUGAAGAAAUAGAUCAACUUUGUUCGGCUCGAAUGUCAAUUUUUCUACCUUUGAUAAUUGAGAGUACUGCCUCUCAAAUUCCCUUAGUAGCUCUGUUGCUUGCAAAUUCUUAUUGGGCCGUUCAAUCCAUUUCAAAAACAGCUUCUUAGUAACGCGAUCAGCAUCUUCCAAGAAAUAUUCGUCUUUCAAUGCAUGUGAAAAAUCCUCCCAUGAAUUCCCACAACGAUCCGUAAUCGAUGUAAUGUGGUCUCUUAUCUCCGGUAUCGUGGCAAGUCCAAAUAGUGCAACCAUUUUCUUCUCAGAAAUCCGAUUUAAUUCCAUUUCACGAACAUAACAUCUUAAAUACUUUGAAAUAUUCCUUCCAUCAAAUUGAUCAAUUUUAUUGACCACUGCUUGCAAUGCUUUGGUUGCCAAAGCUUCCUUUCGAUCAUUGCUUAGCUAUUGCUGCAUUGACAAUGAGAAGGCUUGAAACAAACUAGCAAUAGACGGAUCCAUGUGCAUACCUUGUCCUUUAGAAGACUCUCCACCAGAAACUUCUCCCAAAAAUCCUUCAAAAUUUUUAUUUUCGUUUUCUAUAAAAAUAUAGAUAAAAUCAACCCAAAUCCAAUACCUUCCACCUCAAGCUUUCACGUCGGGUUCACCACUUAUGUUGUAUUACGUGCUUUCCUGCUCAAGAAAGCGUCCAGCGUCUGACUAUAGAAGGUAGUAUGGAGAUUCACUGAUAGUCAAGCAGUCUAUCAGUUUUUGACUGCUGGAAUAUAAAAGACUGCAACAAUGUACCGUAAAUCUAUACGGAUGCUCUUCGACUGCUUGUCGAAGUCUUUUUUUUUUUUUUCUUUUCCCAGCCGAUAGGUCUCUAGACAUUACAGAGAACCCGGAACAACCCAAACUGUUAAUCUUCAAUACCGCUUUAUACUUACGAUCUUGUAUCCACUGACUGUCUUGUUAGAUUAACCCAAUAAAUUUCAUUCACUCCGCAUACUCAAUCCUAUAGACAUCCUUUUAAUCCUUCAAUCACAGACGUAACUCGAUUUUACAAAACAGUCAAGAGUAUUCAACCCACUUCAUUUAAAAAUCCCGAUUCACCAUUACAACACUGACUUCAGCAGCGAUUGCCUCAGUCUUCUCAAAACUCUGCAAAGAAGAAAAAUCCAAAUUCUAUGUCUUUCCUUCCCCGACCCGAAGCAUGAAGCUCCUCUCUCUAAUUCCCUUGAUCUUCAAAAAAUUCCAAUGAAACCGAACUGGUAACCUUGCAAAAGCUUUGAAAACUCGCUCCCCCCUGAUUCCCCUGAAAAAAAAACCCCCCCCUCAAAACUAUAUCCCAUCUAACCUUAUCCUCUGAAUUUCUUCAAUCUUCCGUCUUAGAUCCGGAAUUGGCUCCCACCUCAAGCUUGGAUCCGAAAUUGGCUCUCGCCGUCAAGCUUUCUCCUCCGUUUUUACCUUUAAGAAAUCCAUUUACCGAAAACAACGUUCCCUAAAAUGGCACAGAGAACACGAUAGCCUGAAACAGAAUCGAAUCCCGUAAUCGGGACCACAUUGAGUCGCCCGACCAAUUCAGGUCCUAUAUUGGGAAAGAUGCUCAAUUGGAUCAAAUUGGUCCUCGCGUCAGAUUGGCUAAGACCCGUAGUAAGACCUGGAUUUCUCGUAAUUAGACUGCAUUGGAUUGACCGGCCAAUUCAGGUCUCAUAUUGGAUAAGAGGACCCGGAUUGGAUUAUUGAAAUUCGAUCCAAUUGGCUCCUCGAACCCGUCGUGAGAAUUGGUCGUUCUAUUUCUUCUGACUCCCAUUAUUGGAAUCGAAUGGAGCAUUUUAGUAUGCCCCGGCUGACUGUAAUGGAGUGACAGAACGUGACCACUCAGUAUUUGUAUUGGAGUUGGUCGAUGCUCCCAAUAUUCGAGGUAACGGAAUAUUAAUAAAAUUCUCCUUUCUUUUAAUUUUCAUUGUAUACUCGUAUUACAACACGACAACGCGUGCUGACAUGAGGUACUCGAGGUUCUUGUGAUUUGUAUACACAGUGACUCGACUAGAAGCUCCUUCUCAAUAAUGACGCCAUUCUUGAAAGAAAUCCACGUUCGCAAGAAGUUCUUUAUCGUGGAUCUCAUAAUUGAUCUCGGCUGCUGAGAAUUUUCUUGAAUGAAAAGCUAUCGGAUGAAGUUUGUCAUGUGUUCCCAUUUGUAAUAAAACUGCACCUAAAGCAAAAUCUGAUGCAUCUGUUUCCAUAAAAAAUGCCUUGGAAAAAUCAACACGAUAUAAGACUAGUGCAGAGACAAACGAUGUCUUCAAGGCUUCAAAUGCUGCUUCCGCUUCUUGAUUCCAUUGGAAUUUAUCUUUACUAGUCAAGUGUGUAAGUGGAGCUACAACUCGUGAAAAAUCUUUGAUGAAGAUCCGAUAGUAAUUGGCAAAUCCCAAGAAACAUUAGACAUCUCUUACAGUCCUUAGAAUCUUCCAAUCCAUGAUUAUUUGGACUUUCUUAGAAUCCAUCAUGAGACCAUCAUUUGAAAUGAUGUAUUCUAAAAAGUCAACUUGAGUAGUGUGAAAUACACACUUUUUCAUCUUGGCGUACAAUCCUGCAUCUCUAAGUUUUUGUAAUACUUGACGAACAUAUAUUUCAUGUUCUUCGAUGUUCUUGGAAUAGAUCAAGAUAUCGUCUAGAUAGCAGACGAUAAAAUUGUCUAAGAAUUCAUGAAAUACAUCAUUCAUGAGAUGUGGAAAAGCAGCUGGUGCAUUCGUGAGUCCAAAGGGCAUGACAUUAUAUUCGAAAUGUCCAUACCUAGUUCGAAACGUAGUCUUCCAUUCAUCUCCUUCUUUGAUCCGUACUUGAUUAUAUGCUCCUCUUAGAUCUAUUUUUGUAUAGAUCUUAGCUUGAUUCAACUGGUCAAGGAGUCCUGAUAUCAAAGGUAAUGGAUACCUGUUCUUGAUUGUGAUCUUGUUGAGUCCUCGAUAAUCAACACACAUUCGUAAAGAUCCAUCUUUUUUCUUUACGAAUAGAAUUGGAGCUCUUGCUGGAGAUUUUGAAUGGCGUAUGAAAUUCUUCGCUAAAUUCUCGUCAAUAUAUGUCUUGAGUUCAGCCAUCUCAUCUUGCGAUAAACUGUAAAUUGGUCCAAAUGGUGGCUGAGUUCCUUCCUUGAGGUCGAUUGAAAAAUCAUAUGGGCGAUGCUCAGGAAAAAUAUCUACAUUUUAUUUCUCAAAAAUGUCUUGAUACUCUUGAUAUUGACUUGGAAUGCCAAUUGAAGUCUUUACGUUUUCAGAAAUAGGUGCAACAUAAAUAGCAAAAGUUGAUCCUUCUUUUGCUGCGUGUAUAAAUGCUUUUGCACCUAUAAGUACGGGUUUUACUAUAUUAGACUUAUAAUUUUUUACUUGGUUGGUAGAACUAUUAAUAACGCUUUGGAAAAAGUCAAGUUUAAGCGAAUUCCAAUCUAUUCGAGGGUUAUAUUUUUCUAGCCAGGAUAAACCUAAAAUAACUGGAUUGGACGGGGAUUUAAUUAUGUUAAAAGCUAUGUAGCUAUCAUGACCGUCUAUUGUUACUUUUAUAGGAUGAGUUUCAUGAGUGACAUCUCCAGAAGACAAGGGACGACCAUCUAUGACUUCUAUAUAUACUGGUUUAGGUUUCUGCACAAAGGGUAUUUUACAACUUUUAACAAAUUGUUCAUCUAAAAAACAUGUUGAGGCUCCCGAAUCUAAUAAAGCAGAGGCUUUGUAAUUCUUAGGUCCUAAAUAUAAGUCUAUUAUAAAACAAGGAGAGGGUUCUGAGGAGAGGAUAGGACCUUCAUUAGGAAUUGUACAAGGUUCCAGCUGCACGGUCCCUAUUGUAGCUGGACGAAUCCGUUUUCCGACAUGUUGUCUUCUUUGACCGUCGUACCCCUCAUUUUAUAGUUGCGUCAUUUCUUUGGACAAUGUUGAGCAGUGUGCUUAGGUUCUCCGCAAUAUAAACAUAAUCCUUCUUGACGACGACAAAUCUUUUCUUGCUCAUUUAGGGAUUUAAAACGUACCGCGUCAAUUUGCAUGUCUUCUACUUCUGAAUGUACGUUUGGCAAAGAUGUUGAUGUUGCCAUUGAGUAAUAACGUUGAGGUUCCCGUCACUGAUUCUCGGAUCGAAAUUCGAAAAGUCGAUUAUCACAUUUUACCGCAAAAUCGAUUGCUUGACUCAAAGUUUGAGGAUCAGGUAAGUUGAGCAUCAAUUUCUUUACUUUGUAUUAUAAUCCAUAAAGAAAUUGAUUGAUGAGUGCAGCAUCAUCCCUCUUCAUGUCAAUUGCAAGUUGUCAAAAUUGUGAAGCAUAUACUGUUACUGAGCGAUUUCCUUGUCGCAGAAUUCGGAUCUUAUUUGUUGCAACACGAGUUGCAUCGUGUUCACCAUACAUAGAUCGAAACUCCGCCAAAAAAGCUUCCAAAUUGUCCAAUAUUGGAUUUGGUUGUUCAAGAAAAGACGAAAACCACGAUAAUGCAGAACCAGAAAGUAGAGUGCCAAUAAACCUGACUUGUGAUCCUGGAGUUGGAUAGCUUUGCGGUUGAAGUUCAAUUGCCAAUUGUACUUGAUUGAUGAACCCUCGAAACUUUGAUCUCGUACCAUCAAAUUUCUCAUGUAAGGCAAUUCUUGGUUCUCUAGUGCUUAUAGGGUGUUGUACAAUUGGAGAAGGAACGUGAUUUGUUGUAGAUGUUGAAGCAGCUCCGAUCAUCUCUAUAUCUCCACUUUCUGCUAUUCUUGUUCUUUCCUGUGUUGGUGAAUUGAGUUGAUGCAUCGCAAGCAUUAACUCCCUCAUUUGCUCUUGCAUUUGUACCAUUGCACUCUUCAUUUCAAUGAGCUCUGCUAUAAUGACACUAAGAAGAAAAAUUUGUUUGAUAUUGCUCAAGACAAAAGAAAAGAAAGACUUGAUAACAAAGAAGAUACUAAGAACAAUAUCAGUUUAGAAGUGGGUAAUCCGCAAACUUCUAAUAGGCUUAUGUCUUGUCAAGAGAAAGGGGUAAUCCACUCUUACUCAAGAAAAAAUAAAGCUCUGAUAUUGUAAGUGUACUCUUGUCAAUCUGUCAAGGACAAAGACUCGAUGAGGGAAAAUAUACACCAAAAGGCUAUCUCGAUAUAAUAAGUCAAAAUAUAAAUAAGUAGGUAUAUUAAAAGGAAACUGGAAUGGCUAUUGCCACAAGACAAGAAACUAAAGACUCUUGAACCUGGACUAGAAGCAAUAAAGGAGUUGACAAGAGUGAAGAAGCCUUCACUCUUGUCUCUAUAUAUACUAUCUAACUUGGGGCUACGUGGCGACGUUCUAUAGGACCUCCAAUAUGUGUUGACUUUGUAGGACACAUGCCUUGACUUACAAGGCAAGUUUUUCUACGUGUGGGCCACAUAGUUAGCUUGAUCUUCAAGCUAACAACGUGUGUGGCACAUGGCCAACUUGUUGACCACGUUUCUAAUCCAAAAAGUCAAUUAAAGACACCUAUGAAGUCAAAGCAGCGUCUAGGAAGUUUUUAGGAAGCUUCUAUAUUAAAUAUUAUACAAUUAACUUACUUUUAUCUACUUUUACUUACUUCUACCUAUUUCUAUAUGUAAUUAUUAGCUUACAUGAUUAUGGCCGUGACACUACGUGUUCUUCAAGCUCAUCAUGAUUUUUUAGUAGUAGGACAUUUUGAAUACAAUAAAACUUUAGAACUAAUAUCCAUGGACUUUUGGUGGCCUCAAAUGUGGAAAGCAAUCAACGAUUUUGUACAAUCUUGUCAUGUUUUUUUGAGAUCAAAAACUCCUUGUCAUUGACCUUUUGGACUUCUUUGGCCAUUACCCAUUCCAAAACAACCAUGGUCUUUUGUUUCUAUGGAUUUUAUCAUGGACCUUUUAAUCUCAAGUUCUUAUGACUCUAUAUUUGUGAUAGUAGAUCAUUUUAUCAAGAUGGCACAUUUUGUACCAGUUAAAAAAUCUAUCACAUGUGAAAAAAUAACUAAGAUCUUUCUUAAAAAUAUCUAUUGCUACCAUGGAUUAUCCAAGGAUAUAAUAUCAAAUAGGAGAACUCAAUUUGUAUCAAGAUUUUGGCGGACUCUUUUCAAGAUUUUAAAAGUAGAUAUAAAACUAUCUUCAGCAUUCCAUCCUCAAAUUGAUUUACAAACGAAGCAUAUUAAUAAAGUUUUAGAGCAAUAUUAAAGAUGUAUCAUUAACUACUAACAAGAUGAUUGAACAACUCUUUUGCCAAUGGUAGAGUUUAUUUACAACAAUACGGUAUAUUUUUCUAUAAAAAAAAUAUCUUUCUUUACAAAUUAUGAUUAUUAUCCACGACUUGAUACAUUUGACUUUUCAAAAGUUGAUAAUCCUAUUGCAAAAGAUUUGGUAAUUCAUUUGUCAGAGCUACAUACAACAAUGAAGGCAUAGUUAAAAAAAGCUCAUCAACAACAAAAGAUCAAUGCGGAUGUCUAUCAAAAGGAACAACUACCAUUCCACAUGAGUGAUAAGGUAUGGUUACUUUGUCGCAAUUUCAAGAUCACUUGUCCUUGUGAUAAGUAGGACUAUCGAAGGCUUAGACCAUUUUCUAUAUAUAGGUGUAGCAUAUAUAGCAAAAGAUGAUCCUUCUUUUCUACCAUGAAUGAAAGCUUUUGCACCUACUAAUAAAGAUUUGGAUGUAUUGGUCUUACGUAAUUUUACUUUACUAACUCAACCUUGGAUUAUACUAUCAAAAAAGUUAAGAUUACGAGAAAUCUAAUAUAUUUGAGGGUUAUAUUUUUCUAGCUAUGAUAAUCCUAAAAUAAUCAGAUUAGAGGGAGAUUUUAUUAUAUUAAAUACUACUACUCUAUUAUGAUUUUUAAUUGCUACAUCUAAAAGAAUAGUUUCAUGGAUAACAUUUCCAGAAGACAACAAAUGACCAUCUAUAACUUCUACAUGUACAGAUUUAUUUUUCUUCACUAAAAAUAUCUUUUGAUUUUUGGCAAAAUCUUCAUCUAUAAAACAUGUUGAGGCUCCUGAAUCUUACAAGGCAAAGACUUUGUGAUUAUUAGGUUCUAAAUAUACUUCUAUUAUAAAAUAAGGUAAGAGGUCUGAAGAGAGAAUAGACCUUUAACAAAUGUUGCACAUGAUUCUUACUGCAUGGUCCUUAUUAUAGCUGGAGAAAUUCAUUUUUUGACACAUUAUCUUCUUUGGUAAUUGUGCUCCUCAUUUUAUAAUUGUGUUGCUUCUUAAGACAAUGAUGAUUAAUGUGCUUAGCUUCUCCACAAUAUAAACAUAAUCUUUUUUGGCAACGUCGAGUCUUUUCUUGCCUCGUGAGAGGAUUAAAACAUAUCAUAACAAUUUGUAUUGAUUUUGGCUUUGACGAAUACAUUUCAAAAAACUUAGGAGUUUCUGCCAUUACUUGACUUGUUCCUCUCCUAUCAAAUCUUUGUUCUUGAUGCCUUUCAAAUAAAUAAUUAUCGCAUAUAAUGACUUGAGUAAUAAAUUAAUCCAAAGAUUCUACUUUUGGUACUGUUAAUAACAAAUCUUUGAUGCUAUCCUUCAAUCCAUAUCGAAAUUGGUUGAUAAAUGCUUUGUCGUUCCAGUCCACAUUACAAGUGAGGUUUUGGAAUUCGGUAGCAUAUAUAGUGGCUAAUCAUGAUCCUUGCCAUAAAAAUAAAAGCUUCUUCUCUGCUACUCGUUCUCGAUCACUUUCAUCGAAUGUGACCUUAAAUACUUCUAGGAAUGAACUCAAAUCAUAAAGGAGUAAUGAAUCUUUUUCCAUUAAAGGUGCAAAGCAAGAGAGAGCACUUCUUCAUAGUAGUGCGCCUAUGAAUCCAACUUGGAUAAAUCCAUCAAGAUAUUGGAAAGGAUGCAACCUUAGAUAGAGCAUGACUUAUUGCAAAAAUCCUCAAAAUUUUGAUCUUAUUCCAUCAAACUUCUCAGGCAUACUAAUCCUUGUCCUUGUCAUACUUGUAGAAGCAAAACUUCCUAGAUUUGGUUCUGACGAUGAUAUACUUGCUUCUUUCAACUACACAACUUCUUGCCGCAGACUCUAAACUUCUUCUAUAUGCAUAGGCAUAGUACUUCUAUGAUUCACAUUGGAAAUAUGUGAAAUUUCUACUCUUAGAAUGUUGACAAGCUCAUCAAGAUUUGCCAUAGUUGUAAAUCUAUUCUCACAUUUGUUGAAAGUAGCAUCCAUAAUCUUUCCUUCCAUAGACAAUUCAAACAAAUUCAAAAGUAAAAUUAGAGGAGGAUAAUCUGCAACUAUUAAAAACAAAUCUCACAAAGAAGGAUAAUCCACUCUUUUUAAAAAAAAAGAUCAGUGUUAGAAAAUAAUAUUUUUUGAUUGAAGGUAGAUAGUUCGCAAUCUUAAAAAUACUAUAAUAGAAGUGAGGUAAUCCACUCACUUCUAAAAUAAGAUAGAAAAAAUAUGUUGGUACUCAUGGCAAGGUAUCAAGGACAUGAAUCUUGAAAAAAGAGAAUCUUUAAUACAUUUUUCUAUCACUGAAGAGAACUAGAAAGUCACUCAAGAGAUGAUGUAAUAAUAACUAGAAUGGCUAUUGCCAAAAACAAGAAGACUAGAAAUCUUGAAACAAGACUAAGAUUAGAAAGGCGUUGACAAGAGUGAAGAAGGCUUCAUUCUUGCAUCCAUAUAUACUAUCAAACUAAGAGCUACGUGGCGAUAUCUUACAUGACCUUUAACAUGUGUUGACUUUACUAGCCACAUGACUUAUCUUGCAAGGAAAGUUAUCUAUGUAUGCGCCACAUAGUUCGCUUAAUCCACAAGCAACUACAAGGAGAAAACUUGUUCUACAAGCUACCAAUACAUAGUUAGCUUUUUGGUCAAGUUUCUAACCUACAAACACAUCUAAAAUCAAAAUCGCAUCUAUGAAGCUUCUAGGAAGCUUUUCUAUAAGACUUUAUGAAAUUAUUCUAUAUUUAUCUACUUCUAUUUAAUCAUAUAAGUAAUUAUUGAGAUUAAUGUAUAUGUCCAUGACAAAAAGACAAAUAAACUAUCUUCAAAGAAAAUAAAGAUUAGAAUAUGUUGCAAAUAUAAUUUUUCACAUCUUAGAUUUCUUCAACAUAUGAAGAUUGCUCCUCAUAGAACUUGUCUAUUGAAGAAAGAGUAAUAUCAUGGACAUACAUAUUUAUUCUAAUAUUUAUUUAUUUGAUUAAAUUGAAGUAAAUAAAAAUAAAUUUAUUUCAUGAUACCUUCUAUACAAGCUUCAUAAAAGCUUCAUAAACAUUGCUUUGACUUUACAUGUAUUUGUAGUUGAUUCCUAGGUUAGAAAUUUGGUCAACAAAUUAACCAUGUAUUCGUAGCUUGUAGAACAAGUUAACUAUGUGGUACACAUAUAGAAAACUUGCCUUGCGAGUUAAGAUAUGUGUCUUGCAAAGUCAACACAUUUUAGUGGUCUUAUAGGACAUUGCCACAUAGUUCUAAGUUAAAAAUACAUAUGGAGGCAAGAAUGAAGUCUUCUUCACUCUUAUCAACGCCUAUCUUAUCUUUAGUCUUGUUUCAAGACUUUCUAGUCUUCUUAUCUUUGGCAAUAGCCAUUAUAGUUUAAUAUCAUAUCAUCUUUAAAUGAAUUUCUAGUUCUUUUGAGUGACACAAGAGUAUAUUAAGGAUUUCUUCCUUGAAGAUUCAUGUCCUUGAUAUACACUCUAUUAAAACAAAUUUUUAAAAAACAUCUUUUAUAAGCCAAUUUAUCAAGAAUGUCAAAAUCAGGUACAAUGUUAGUUAUGAUAAUGCUAUAAUAUAUAUAAGCAUUGUUUAUUACAAUUUGUGGAAUUCAAUUUGAACAACAAAUUAUAAGAUGCUCAGAUUCAAAAAAUUGAACAAGGAAACAAAUAUUAAACAACUAUAUACAAGAUUGUACAUCUUUAAAUGUGAACUCACCAUAUAUUGGACAAAAAUAAACCUAAUUAUGAGAGAGCUAGUUGAUCAAAUGUUUAAAAUAAUAUAAAAUGUUAAUGCAAAAAGGAAAGAAUGACAACUCACAUGUUAAAAGGAACUAGAGAUGGCAUCGUUAAGGUUAACAGUCUGAACUCCUGCUAGAAAUCUGAACUGAGCAUGAUGCCAGCUUGUGGCCAAAAACAAGUAUGGACGUUAUUAUGCAUGUAUAAAAGGAAAGUGAGAAUUUGCAAAAAGUGAAAUAGGAUAAAAAGAGAACAGACUUAGGAAGUCGUUGAAAGAUAAGUGAAGGCGAGGAUAUUGUAAAGCCCUUCCAAGGGGAAGACAGGAUCGUGAGGAGAAUAUUUUGAAGAUUUUCCAGAACCACGUGUCGACAUCUUCGAACUGCGCUGCGUCUUAUGCGCACUAAUAUGAAUGUGUGAACACGUCCAGGAUCUGCAGCGAAAAAGAACAAAUUCGAAAAGCUGGAACACUGGGUCAAAAGCACGACCGAACCCUGCCACAUUUCCACUCCUCGAUGUUUUACCUUGCAUUGUUUCAUCCAGCCAUGUUUACCAAAACUUCAACUUUCCAUUUGCGAUUGCGUGCUGGUUUUAACUCAUAAUUCAGUGAUCUCAACUGCAUACAGAGCGAGCAUCCUCGACAUACUAUUUUAAGCGUUCAAGUGUGCCCCAUGAAGCCGGUCUGCGCGUGCAAUCGCUACGUGAUGCAUCGCAUGGUUGCUGGUGUCAGCAGCAUUCACCUCGGUGACAAUGUCAAUCAGACACACAUCCCAGCCGACUCGUUCUGUCCUACAUCCAGAACAUGCAAACCAUGAACUCCGCGACUAAUUCCUCAGUUCUUGAUUUGGGUCAGAGAAUAUUGCAACAAGAAGCUUGUGUUUUGGAGACAGACACUAAGAUUGUGCGGUUACGAGGUCUAGAUCUCGCUAACUGUGUGCAGUACUUUGAGGCUGGUCGCUGGUCAACGAUUAAAGGGCAAUGUUAAGUUUGAAUAGAUGUGGAAGGAAAAUAGACGAUCCUUAAGUUUGGAUUAUGUUUAUUGUGAGGAAAAUUACGUGCGAAGUUUUGUAUGUAGAACUGACAAUUGUUUGUUCACAGUGCUUAAACUAAUUGUGCACGUGCUUGACUGUUCAAAGAUUCCUUCUGUAAAAGGCAAUCUGAUCACUGGGUUCACAGUAUUUGUUCACCCAUCGUUAGCACUACAUCUAGUUUAGCCGUCAACCCUGCAUCUGAAGCAUUUAAGUUUUAUUUGGCUUUGUUCAAUAAACAUAUAUCCAACUCCAACCUUACUCCUUUAAUGGACUCUUCUUCACACAUUAAUAUUGUUUAUUGCUAAUGCCACAUUUAUAACAUGUGCUUCACAUCGAAACCAUGUUUCUCCAACGCUCAAAAAAAGUAUUAACAAAGUUCAGAUGUGCACUUUUCACAAAUAAUCGAGGAGAAUAAUAAAUCUACCCACAAUGUGACUUACCCUACAAUGUAAUUGGUAAUUCCACAAGAACAAUGCCCCACCAGCAACAGGCCAUCCCAAGUCAUUUUCUUGAAUUAACAGAUAGAUCAUUGAGGCUGGAAAACCCUCCAUUGCAAUGGAAUUGGGGCCAGCCAUGAGGAGCCCAGCGGCAACAAUUGCCAAACAACAGUGUAACUUGAUUUGAAGCAUCAACAGGUUGUAAAUCUUUGCUGUUUGAAAUAUCAAAAUCCUCGUCAUUAAUCUCCACUAAUGUUAAGCCUCACAUGCCCUAGAAAUGCUAAAUCUAACACUUAUUUUAGUAAAAGUAACAAUUGUAUUAUGGUAUAAGGCAUGUGGUGGUUUGAUUUGAAAUUUAAGUUGAUCAAUUUAAUAUCCUGAUUAAUGCUAAGACUGUGAUCAUCCUAAAUUUAGCAUAGACGUCAAACUAUUUUUGGGGGUGCAAAAAUGUGUCAGUACGGAUCAUCGCUUCGGUGGAACAUCAUGCCUCAUCAGACCAUCCAUUCAUUGCUUCUGUGAAUACCAGAGGAAGUUUCUUCUGGUUCAGCAAGUGGCAUGAGUUCAGAAGUUACUGUUGACGCUUAUCGGGAUACUGACACAUUAUCCACACGCACCAAGCGAGGCCAGUAUGUGGUUGCAUGGUACUGAAAAUGGAACGCAGCUUUUAUCCCGAACUAGAAGACUGAUAAUGCGGACGGCAGAAUGCUCGCCGAGACCACGUCCGGGAUGAUAACUUAAAUGUCAUACACGAGGUGUUCAUGCACUGGAGCUUGCACAGUAUUAAGGUAUUGACCGUUGAUACGGAGCUGUUCGAUACGUCCCCUAAGGCGACGUCUGUCAUUCAAGCAGCAGCCAAGUUACACUUUGCGGAAUUAGUAUCCAAACCAUUCACGAUGACGAUCUGUGUUCUCCAGGCUCUCUACGCAGACUCCACCCGCACCCUUGCCAACAAUGACCUCAGCCUUCCAGACCCCACCAUGUUCACCUCCGAGUACGAAUUCCAUCACCGUUAAAACUGAGCACGAUCGUUGACUGCGGGACAUUUCCGGACUCGUAUAAUGAGUUCCUGGUCAUGGCCGGAUUGUUUUGUUUUUUGUUUUGUCUGUUUGUUGGCACAAAUUAAAAAGGUUGCAUUGCAGGGAGUAACCAAUAGAGUUAAGAAACCUUGCCUGCCUUGGGAUUGUACGAGUGACUCGACAUAUAGUUAUAUUGUAACCCAGUCGUAUAUGCUAAUUUUGUUAAAUUGCCAUCUUAAUUAUUUACCAGAUUGCAUACAUAAGAUUUGGAUGUUUUCCAUGUCUUGUCAAAAAUUUUAAACUAGAAAUUUGGUAUAUUUUCUUUGCAUGGCAAUUUCUAGAUGAAUUUGGUCCAUUCCAUGCAACUAUAGUCUUAAAGCCAUUGCCAUAUUCUAGUUGUGACACGCUCUAUUGGCCAUUCUUCUUUGUUGAAAACCAUAGCAUUACAUUCCAAUCAUAACUUUCACAUGGUAGAUCGUCUAAACAAUGUCUAGAUUAGCUUAAAUAUGUUGAAUUGCAUGGAUAAUAGUUUUAUAAAUAUAUAGUAUUGCUAUUGAAUAUUGUACUGCAAUUGCAUAAUAUUAGGUUUUUGCAGUAUUUUGUAAAUGACAACAGAGUAUCAUUUCUAGAUUUGAGUAGUCUUAUGGCAAUGCAAGAAUCUAUGAAGAAUAUUUUUUAUAAUCCUUGCACAAGAUAAGCAAGAAACAUCAAUAUUCAUGCUUAGUUUUUCCUCUCAUUUAUUAACAACUAUUGCCUUAUGAUACAUAUUACAUAUGAAAAUUGCUUCUUUUUAAAUAUGUUGCCAAUGCCAAGUAUUCUUUCAAUUGAAAGAAAGAUUGGGAGGGAUUUGGUCCUUUUAUUUUGUGUUAUGUAAAUCAACAUACAACUCUAAAUUACCUAAUUGCUCCCUUAUCAUUUUAGUGGUGACGUCUUGAAUUGAAAUGUCUCCUAUUCAAUAAAAUCUAUUAAGGUUAAGAUUGACUCUAAUCAUUGAAUCAAAGUAAAAGCAGUUUUUUUUUUUUUUUUUUUUUUUUUUUUUAUAUUCUUUUAGAUUGUUCAAUAACUUGUAUGUUUUAAAGGAUAUAAUUCAAGUUGACAUUUUCUAUAGAAUUAGGUACAUUGCUCCCAUAGAAGUCAACUAUUAUCUUCAACCAUAAGUGAUGAUAAAGAAUUAGAAAGAGUGUCAAUAUAUUAAGGAUAUGGAUCUUGAAGAAUUGAAAGAUCAAGACACUCUUGUAUUACUCAAAAAGACUAAAUAAUCAUAUAAAGAUAAUAUAUUAAAUUAAAAUGACUAUUAUCAAAGAUAAAAAGACUAAAAAGAUUUGAAACAAGACUAAGGACUAGAAAGGUAGUAUUAAGAAUGAAGAAGGCUUCAAUCUUGCUUCCAAAUAUACUAUAUAAUUAAGAGCUAUAUGAAAAUAUUCUGUAAGACUUCCAAUACGUGUUGGCUUUGCAAGACACAUAUCUUAACUUAUAAGGCAAGUUUUCUAUAUGUAUACUACAUAAGUAGCUUGUUUUACAAGCUAUCAAUACAUAUCACAUGUGGUUAAGUUUUUGACUAAGUCUCUUACCUAUCAAUUGACUAUAAACACAUGUAUAGUCAAAAUUGAGUCUAUGAAGCUUUUAAGAAGCUUUUUUAGAAGAUAUUAUAAAAUUAAUCUACUUUUAUUCAAUCAUAUAGGUAAUUAUUAGAAUAAAUAUAUAUGCCUAUGAAAGUAUGUUAUUUAUAAUUAUACAAAAUUGGAAUUCUAUGAAAAGUCAUACUAUAGAUAUUCAUAAAAUGAGCAUAAAAGAACUUGAAGAUGAUAGAAGUUUAGAAUUGUUUUUGAAUUAUUCUUAUACAAACCAAAUUGGAUUAUAUAUAGAAUUUAAAAAUAUAAAUUAAAAGAUUAUAGAGGCUUAUAAUGCCUUAUUAUUAAGUCUAAAAGUUAUAAGAUCAUUCUUGAGAGUACAAAAGAAGGUAAGAUGUUGAGAGCAAACUUUAAAAAGUGUCACGGCCAUAAUCAUGUAAGCUAAUAAUUACAUAUAGAAAUAGGUAGAAGUAAGUAAAAGUAGAUAAAAGUAAGUUAAUUGUAUAAUAUUUAAUAUAGAAGCUUCCUAGAAACUUCCUAGACACUGCUUUGACUUCAUAGGUAUCUUUAAUUGACUUUUUGGAUUAGAAACGUGGUCAACAAGUUGGCCAUGUGCCACACAUGUUGUUAGCUUGAAGAUCAAGCUAACUAUGUGGCCGACACGUAGAAAAACUUGCCUUGUAAGUCAAGGCAUGUGUCCUACAAAGUCAACACAUAUUAGAGGUCCUAUAGAAUGUCGCCACGUAGCCCCUAGUUAGAUAGUAUAUAUAGAGACAAGAGUGAAGGCUUCUUCACUCUUGUCAACUCCUUUCUUACUUCUAGUCCAGGUUCAAGAGUCUUUAGUUUCUUGUCUUGUGGCAAUAGCCAUUCCAGUUUCCUUUUAAUAUACCUACUUGUUUAUAUUUUGACUUAUUAUAUCGAGAUAGCCUUUUGGUGUAUAUUUUUCCUCAUCGAGUUUUUGUCCUUGACAGAUUGACAAGAGUACACUUACAAUAUCAGAGCUUUUUUUUUUCUUGAGUAAGAGUGGAUUACCCCUUUCUCUUGACAAGACAUAAGCCUAUUAGAAGUUUGCGGAUUACCCACUUCUAAACUGAUAUUGUUCUUAGUAUCUUCUUUGUUAUCAAGUCUUUCUUUUCUUUUGUCUUGAGCAAUAUCAAACAAAUUUUUCUUCUUAUUGUCAUUAUGGCAGAGCUUGUUGAAAUGAAGAGUGCAAUGGCACAAAUGCAAGAGCAAAUGAGGGAGUUAAUGCUUGCGAUGCAUCAACUCAAUUCACCAACACAGGAAAGAACAAGAAUAGCAGAAAGUGGAGAUAUAGAGAUGAUCGGAGCUGCUUCAACAUCUACAACAAAUCACGUUCCUUCUCCAAUUGUACAACACCCUAUAAGCACUAGAGAACCAAGAAUUGCCUUACAUGAGAAAUUUGAUGGUACGAGAUCAAAGUUUCGAGGGUUCAUCAAUCAAGUACAAUUGGCAAUUGAACUUCAACCGCAAAGCUAUCCAACUCCAGGAUCACAAGUCAGGUUUAUUGGCACUCUACUUUCUGGUUCUGCAUUAUCGUGGUUUUCGUCUUUUCUUGAACAACCAAAUCCAAUAUUGGAUAAUUUGGAAGCUUUUUUGGCGGAGUUUCGAUCUAUGUAUGGUGAACACGAUGCAACUCGUGUUGCAACAAAUAAGAUCCGAAUUCUGCGACAAGGAAAUCGCUCAGUAACAGUAUAUGCUUCACAAUUUUGACAACUUGCAAUUGACAUGAAGAGGGAUGAUGCUGCACUCAUCAAUCAAUUUCUUUAUGGAUUAUAAUACAAAGUAAAGAAAUUGAUGCUCAACUUACCUGAUCCUCAAACUUUGAGUCAAGCAAUCGAUUUUGCGGUAAAAUGUGAUAAUCGACUUUUCGAAUUUCGAUCCGAGAAUCAGUGACGGGAACCUCAACGUUAUUACUCAAUGGCAACAUCAACAUCUUUGCCAAACGUACAUUCAGAAGUAGAAGACAUGCAAAUUGACGCGGUACGUUUUAAAUCCCUAAAUGAGCAAGAAAAGAUUUGUCGUCGUCAAGAAGGAUUAUGUUUAUAUUGCGGAGAACCUAAGCACACUGCUCAACAUUGUCCAAAGAAAUGACGCAACUAUAAAAUGAGGGGUACGACGGUCAAAGAAGACAACAUGUCGGAAAACGGAUUCGUCCAGCUACAAUAGGGACCGUGCAGCUGGAACCUUGUACAAUUCCUAAUGAAGGUCCUAUCCUCUCCUCAGAACCCUCUCCUUGUUUUAUAAUAGACUUAUAUUUAGGACCUAAGAAUUACAAAGCCUCUGCUUUAUUAGAUUCGGGAGCCUCAGCAUGUUUUUUAGAUGAACAAUUUGUUAAAAGUUGUAAAAUACCCUUUGUGCAGAAACCUAAACCAGUACAUAUAGAAGUCAUAGAUGGUCGUCCCUUGUCUUUUGGAGAUGUCACUCAUGAAACUCAUCCUAUAAAAGUAACAAUAGACGGUCAUGAUAGCUACAUAGCUUUUAACAUAAUUAAAUCCCCGUCCAAUCCAGUUAUUUUAGGUUUAUCCUGGCUAGAAAAAUAUAACCCUCGAAUAGAUUGGAAUUUGCUUAAACUUGACUUUUCCCAAAGCGUUAUUAAUAGUUCUACCAACCAAGUAAAAAAUUAUAAGUCUAAUAUAGUAAAACCCGUACUUAUAGGUGCAAAAGCAUUUAUACACGCAGCAAAAGAAGGAUCAACUUUUGCUAUUUAUGUUGCACCUAUUUCUGAAAACGUAAAGACUUCAAUUGGCAUUCCAAGUCAAUAUCAAGAGUAUCAAGACGUUUUUGAGAAAUAGAAUGUAGAUAUUCUUCCUGAGCAUCGCCCAUAUGAUUUUUCAAUCGACCUCAAGGAAGGAACUCAGCCACCAUUUGGACCAAUUUACAGUUUAUCGCAAGAUGAGAUGGCUGAACUCAAGACAUAUAUUGACGAGAAUUUAGCGAAGAAUUUCAUACGCCAUUCAAAAUCUCCAGCAAGAGCUCCAAUUCUAUUCGUAAAGAAAAAAGAUGGAUCUUUACGAAUGUGUGUUGAUUAUCGAGGACUCAACAAGAUCACAAUCAAGAACAGGUAUCCAUUACCUUUGAUAUCAGGACUCCUUGACCAGUUGAAUCAAGCUAAGAUCUAUACAAAAAUAGAUCUAAGAGGAGCAUAUAAUCAAGUACGGAUCAAAGAAGGAGAUGAAUGGAAGACUACGUUUCGAACUAGGUAUGGACAUUUCGAAUAUAAUGUCAUGCCCUUUGGACUCACGAAUGCACCAGCUGCUUUUCCACAUCUCAUGAAUGAUGUAUUUCAUGAAUUCUUAGACAAUUUUAUCGUCUGCUAUCUAGACGAUAUCUUGAUCUAUUCCAAGAACAUCGAAGAACAUGAAAUACAUGUUCGUCAAGUAUUACAAAAACUUAGAGAUGCAGGAUUGUACGCCAAGAUGAAAAAGUGUGUAUUUCACACUACUCAAGUUGACUUUUUAGAAUACAUCAUUUCAAAUGAUGGUCUCAUGAUGGAUUCUAAGAAAGUCCAAAUAAUCAUGGAUUGGAAGAUUCUAAGGACUGUAAGAGAUGUCUAAUGUUUCUUGGGAUUUGCCAAUUACUAUCGGAUCUUCAUCAAAGAUUUUUCACGAGUUGCAGCUCCACUUACACACUUGACUAGUAAAGAUAAAUUCCAAUGGAAUCAAGAAGCGGAAGCACCAUUUGAAGCCUUGAAGACAUCGUUUGUCUUUGCACCAGUCUUAUAUCGUGUUGACUUUUCCAAGGCAUUUUUUAUGGAAACAGAUGCAUCAGAUUUUGCCUUGGGUGCAGUUUUAUCACAAAUGGGAACAGAUGACAAACUCCAUCCGAUAGCUUUUCAUUCAAGAAAAUUCUCAGCAGCCGAGAUCAAUUAUGAGAUCCACGAUAAAGAACUUCUUGCGAUCGUGGAUUCCUUUCAAGAAUGGCGUCAUUAUCUAGAAGGUGCUUCUAGUCGAGUCACUGUGUAUACAGAUCACAAAACCUCGAGUAUUUCAUGUCAGCACGCGUGUUGAAUCUUCGUCAAGCUCGUUGGAGUAUGUCUUUGUCAAGAUUCGAGUUCAUUAUCACUUAUCGGCCAGGAAAACAACAAGGUUUAUCCGAUGCCUUAUCUAGACGUUCUUAUUUUGCACCAAAAGAAGAAGAUGCAGCUUUUGAGCAACAAAGAACGGUCCUCUUGAAACCGUAGCAAUUUCAUCUCGGAGCAAUGAAAUCAACAUUGAUUGUUGAUUCAACUUUUCUCAAGCAAAUCCAGUCCAGUAUGUCCUCAGACCCUUUUAUUUAUGAUAUCAAGAAUAAUUCUUUCAAGUCUCAUGAUCCUUCUAAGUUCGAGUUUAAGAAUAAUCUAUUAUAUUUUGAAGGACGCCUAUAUGUUCCAAAAGGAGAAGCAAGUUUACGUAUUCUUUAAUCACGUCAUGACUUUCCAGCAGCACGGCACUUUGGAUAUAAUAAGACUUUGGAACUCAUAUCAAGAGAUUUUUGGUGGCCACAAAUGUGGAAGUCAGUCAAAGACUUUGUACAAUCAUGUGAUAUUUGUUCAAGAUCAAAAAUUCCUCAUCAUCGACCUUACGGACUUCUUCAGCCAUUACCUAUACCAGAACAACCAUGGUCUUUUGUUUCUAUGGAUUUCAUCACAGAUCUUCCAAACUCAAGAUCUUAUGAUUUUAUAUUUGUGAUAGUAGAUCGUUUCACCAAGAUGGCACAUUUUGUGCCAUGUACAAAAUCUAUCACAGGUGAAGAAACAGCUAAGCUUUUCAUUGAUAAUAUCUAUCGCUAUCAUGGAUUACCUAAAGAUAUCAUAUCGAAUAGGAGAACUCAAUUUGUGUCGAGAUUUUGGAGGACCCUUUUCAAGAUUUUAAAAGUAGACAUAAAACUAUCUUCGGCUUUUCAUCCUCAAACUGAUGGACAAACAGAGCACGUAAACCAAGUCUUGGAGCAAUAUUUAAGGUGUACUAUCAACUACCAACAAGAUGAUUGGACAAACCUUCUGCCAUUGGCAGAGUUUGCUUAUAAUAAUACGGUACAUUCUUCCACGCAACAAACACCUUUUUUUGCCAAUUAUGGCUAUCAUCCACGACUUAAUACUUUUGAUUUUUCAAAAGUUGAUAAUCCUGCAGCAGAAGAUAUGGCAAAUCGGUUGUCAGAGUUACAUGCAAUAAUGAAGACACAAUUGAAAGAAGCUCAAGAACGACAAAAGAUAAAUGCAGAUCUAUAUCGUAAGGAGCAACCACAGAUCAACGUCGGUGAUAAGGUAUGGCUACUUCGUCGCAAUAUCAAGACUACUCGACCUUGUGACAAGUUGGACUAUCGUAGGCUUGGCCCCUUUUUUGUUUCUGAACAGAUCAACCUAGUUGCAUAUCGGUUACAUCUACCAGAGUCAAUGAAGAUCCAUCAUGUAUUCUACGUGUCUCUUUUUGAACCAUAUAAGACAGUGGAUAUACAAAGAAGAAGACAAAUGCCACCGCCUCCUAUAGAAGUAGAUAAUAAUGAAGAAUUUGAGGUGGAAGAGAUAUUAGACUCAAGGCGGCGCCGAAAUAAGCUGGAAUAUCUUGUUCAUUGGCAUGGAUAUGAUAUUAGUGAACGCACAUUGGAGCCAUCCAGGAAUCUAGCAAAUGCAUCAACUAAAGUCAAAGUUUUUCAUCAACGACAUCCAUCAAAACCAAGAUGAAAAUCUCUCUUAUAAAAGAGACAAGAUUGAGGCAAGAUAACAUUCAAUUUCCUAUCCUUGUUUGUAACUUCUUUGCAUUUGUGAUGCUAAUUAGAUGGAGAGCCAACAACCAGCAGAUUCAACUCAAGAACCUUCGUUUGCUGACCUGCCGGAUGAGACAUUACGAUUGUCACAACCUUCAAGAUGACGCAAUCGAGAUAAAGAUCUUCAAGAACGACAUGUUCUUCCUCGAACAGAUGGUGAGAUACAACGCGUUUGGUAUCACGAUUUGGGAAGGGACUCUCGAUGUUUGGUGAUUUUGCUAGAAGCAGGAACAACUCCUAAUGGUGUUCCAAAUAUUCUAUUCGUAGGAAGUUAUGAAGGCCUCAAUAAUGAUCAAAUAACUGGGUGGUCUUCCCGCCCUGGUAUGGGACACUACCGAUGGUUGAGAGGCCCUAUCAAUCAUCUUCGAAGAGAACAGAGAUCAGAGUAUGUGGCGAAUACAAUUUGUCGCAUCAUAGAUUUCCUCAACAUAUGAUGACCGCUCCUCAUGGAACUCGUCUCUAGAAGGGGGGGUAAUGUCACGGCCAUAAUCAUGUAAGCUAAUAAUUACAUAUAGAAAUAGGUAGAAGUAAGUAAAAGUAGAUAAAAGUAAGUUAAUUGUAUAAUAUUUAAUAUAGAAGCUUCCUAGAUACUUCCUAGACGCUGCUUUGACUUCAUAGGUGUCUUUAAUUGACUUUUUGGAUUAGAAACGUGGUCAACAAGUUGGCCAUGUGCCACACAUGUUGUUAGCUUGAAGAUCAAGCUAACUAUGUGGCCCACACGUAGAAAAACUUGCCUUGUAAGUCAAGGCAUGUGUCCUACAAAGUCAACACACAUUGGAGGUCCUAUAGAACGUCGCCACGUAGCCCCUAGUUAGAUAGUAUAUAUAGAGACAAGAGUGAAGGCUUCUUCACUCUUGUCAACUCCUUUCUUGCUUCUAGUCCAGGUUCAAGAGUCUUUAGUUUCUUGUCUUGUGGCAAUAGCCAUUCCAGUUUCCUUUUAAUAUACCUACUUGUUUAUAUUUUGACUUAUUAUAUCGAGAUAGCCUUUUGGUGUAUAUUUUUCCUCAUCGAGUCUUUGUCCUUGACAAAAAGCUUAAAAAGAGAGCAAGAAAUUUGGAUGAAGAUGAAGGAGAUAUGGAUCAUAUGGUUUGGAUCAUUUUUAAAAGAGCUUUGACGACCUAAAAAUUUAAAAAAAAAAAAAAAGAAAAAAAAAAAACAUAUUUUAAGAAAUAUUUUAUUUUUUUGCUAUUAACUUGUUUAUACAUGGCUUAUUAAAAGAAAGAAAGAAAGAAAAUUGAAAAUAUAAAUAAAUAAUAAAAUAUUGGAUUUAGAAUAAGAUAUAAAAUUUAUAUUAAAAAUAUUAAUUUAUUACUUAUUAGUGAAUAUUGAUGGAAAUGAGAAUAUCAAAAUACAUGACCAUUUAAAAGAUAUAGAUCAAUUAAUAGUUGAAAGAGAUUCUAUAUAUAAAGGCUCAAGAAUAUGAAACAUGAAAUGAGUGCCAAUUCAGGAAUUCUAAAUAAAAAUAUGUGACUUGAUAUUUCUAUAAAUAAAAUAUAAAAAAUCAACUAUAUUAUAAAAUAUUUUGUAUAUAGUAAUUAUGCAUACAAUAUUAAAUCAUAGUAGUAUUAGAUAGUAGAUAAGUGUUUAUAAUUAUAAAUUAUUUGAAAUUUAGCUUAAAAUUUUAAAUGAAAUAAAUAAAAAUAAAAUGUAUUAGAUGUUAAUUAUGAUUUAUUUAAUUAAAAUGACUAUUAUCAAAGAUAAAAAGUCCAAAUAUUCUUAAAAAAAGAAUAAGGACUAAAAAGAUAUUGAUAUGAAUGAAGAAGGCUUCAAUCUUGCUUCCAUAUAUAUUAUCUAAUUAAGAGCUAUAUGAAAAUAUUCUAUAAGUCUUCCUAUGCAUGUUGGCUUUGCAAGACACAUAUCUUAACUUAUAAGGCAAGUUUUCUAUAUGUGUGCCACAUUAGUAGCUUGUUUUAUAAGCUAUCAAUACAUGUGACAUGUGGUUAAGUUUUUGAUUAAGUCUCUUACCUAUCAAUCAAUUAUAAACACAUGUAUAGUCAAAAUUGAGUCUAUGAAGCUUUUAAGAAGCUUAUCUAGAAGAUAUUAUAAAAUUAAUCUAGUUUUGUCUACUUUUAUUCAAUCAUAUAGAUUAGUAUGAGAAUAAAUAUAUAUACUUCUUAUAAUAUGUUAAUUAUAACUAUACAAAGUUGGAAUAUUAUGUCAAGGAUAUGAAUUAGAAGGAGAUGCAUAAACUUAAAAAUAAAUUAUAUAAAAUAAGUAUCAAAUUAAAUAUAAAAUAGUAUAUAUAUUUAAAGUCAACUUAAACGGUAUUUCUAAAUGAUAAGUAAACUAAAGACUCUUAAAUCUAGAAUAGAAGCAAGGAAGGAGUUGAUAAGAGUGAAGAAGGCUUUACUGUUGCCUCUAUAUAUAUUAUCUAAGUAGGAGCUAGAUGACAAUAUUCUACAGGUCCUGAUAUGUGUUGACUUUGCAAGAAACAUGUUUUAGCUUAUAAGGCAUGAUUUCUUUGUGUAGACUACAUAGUUAACUUGUUCUUCAAGCUACUAACAUAUGUGGUACUUGGCCAACUUGAUGACUAAGUUUCUAAUCUAAAAAAUCAAUUAAAGACAUCUAUAAAGUCAAUGCAUUAUCUAUGAAGCUUCUAAGAAGCUACUAUAGUAGAUAUUAUGGAAUAACCUACUUUUAUCUAUUAUAAUCUAAAUCAUAUAUGAAAUUAUUGGUUUAUAUGUAUAUGUCUAUUGUCGUAUUGUAAAUACUUAUAGUAUGUAAGAAUUUGUUAAAACAUAUUAUAUGUUAAUAAAUCUAGAUGUGUGUUAGAGUGGUUAGUAGAUUAAAUUAAAAGGAGUUGGUAUAAGAAACUUUACUUUGAUUUUAUUUACUUGUUUUAAUUUUGGCAUCAAAGAAAAUAUAGGACCUCAAUAUUUAGUAUGAAGCCUUGGAAGAAAGUAGAAGCUUAAGGAUGAAAAUCUAAACUAAUACGAGGGUAAUUGGGAGGAUGAAAAUAAAGCAUAGUUGGAUAAAGGCAAGGAAUAGGGAACUUCGUCCUUAUUGGUCAAAUACCAUAUCCAAUGGGUUUUGAAGAAGCUGCCCACGACCUUAACAAGAGUUUUGGUGACUUCAAAGAAAGCAUUUUGGAAAUUAAAAGCUAGGAUUUUAAAGUUUAGGAUUUGGAUUACAAUUUUUAUGUAAAAAUUAAAAGAUUUGGAGUCAAGGUAAAAAACAUAUAGCUAUUUGAAUGUAAGGUGUUAAUUUAAGAUAUAUUGCUAUUCUUUUGAGGAUACAAGGAGUUAUACGAUAGCUUUUGAAGAUUGAAAGAUGCGACUCAAACGACAAUUUCAAUGCCUAUAUUUUUUAUGAAAGUAUUGUUACUUUUGGAAUUUAUAUGAAAGAGUUAUGAAGAGUUGAAGGUGAUGCUUUCAAAUCAAAGGUAGUGAGUGAGUGGUUUUAUUUAUGGUAAUGAUUGGAGCUAUAACUUGAGUUUUUGGAAAAAAUUUUGGCUCAAACUUUUUGACAUUGAAAUUUAUUGUAGAAGUUAAUAAGAAUAUAUCAAUACCUCAUAUAAAGUUUGAGUUUAUUUGGAUGGUUGGAUUAAGAGAUAUGAUGUGUUGAAGUUUGGAAAAUUUUUCACAUAAGGAUAUAUAAGGUUUUAGAGGAUUUUAUCAUAUUUUGGAUGUUGUUGGUUACUUGAGGCUUAUGUAUUUAGUGUAAAUGCUCAAAAAAAAAUUUAUUUAUAAACUUGGGGCUUUUCUUAUUUUAAAGCUUGAUUGAAUAAUUAGUGACAAUAAAAAACCCAUCAUUUUUUGGAAGCAAAUUCUUUCUAUUCUGACAUAUUGGUGCUUCAAGUAAGAGAGCCUUAAGGCACUAAUUAUCUCAAGAAGUUGAAAUGGAGAAUCAAAAUUCAGGGUUUAGAUUAUCUAGAAGAAAGGAUGUCCAUAAUUUAUUUUGGACAUUUUCUCAAUUUAUGGAAGAAAGGCAACAUGUGCAUGGAGACAAUAGAAGCACUAUUAAGGUCAUAUAAGUAGUAGUAGACAAAAUUAGGAGGUUUGAUGGUAGCAAUAUCACCAAUUUUUUAAGGAUUUACACAUAUAAAAUGGAAGUGCAUCAAGUUCCAGAAAUGAAGAUGAUCACUAUCUUUGAUUUGGUAGUAAUACCAAAAAUUAGAGAGAGGGUGCAAGAGUUGCAUGUAGAGGCUAUAUAAUGGAAGAAAUUUGAAGAACUCUUGAAAGAUGAAUUUUUUGAGGAUGAAUCAGAAAGAAUGACCAAGGUGACUUUUUUAGAGUGGAUUGAGCAAAGGCUAGGGAAUCAAAUGGCUCUAAAUGAAUUAAUUAGGAAAUUUGAAACUAAUUUUGGUCAAUUUUUACGAUAAUAGAGGCAACUAUUAGAAACAAGAAAAAAUAGGUUAUUUUUACAAGCAGGUGAUGAACACUUUGAAGACAAGCUUCUCUUUCACUUAGUCGACAAGCCACCUGAGAGUGGUUUUUACAAAUAAUUGGAAGCUAAAAAAAGAGAUAGUGGGACUUUUGGCUAAACAACAAAAAAUUAAGACUCGUGAUUUAAUAUCAAAAUUAGAACCAAUGACUACAUUUUAAAAUAUAGUGCUACUUCAAAAGAUAAUAAAGAUUGUUAACGAUGACACUCUUAAAGAAUUAGUUAAAAGCAUACGAGAUUUAAAGGUGGAAAUGAUUAAGUUAAAAAAAUCUCAAAUGGUAAGCUCAUCAAAGGUAGUUGAAGAUUCAAAAGGAUUUGUUCAGAGAUGUAUGUGGUUUCUAUGAGUAUUCACUAAUAUCACAGCCUUGCCAAUGAACAAGAUAUUCUAAUUUAUUUUGCCACUACCUUGAAUCUAGAAUUUCUUCCAUUUCAAAUUCUUCAAUAUUAUCCACUUCUAUAGGAGGAGGUAGAGCUUAUCUUCUUUUUCAUAUGUUUAUAGUCUUGUAUGGUUCAAGAAGAGAUAUGUAGAAGACAUGAUAGAUCUUUAUUGCCUCCGAUAGAUAUAAUUGAUAAGCAAUUAGAUUGAUUUGUCUACAAAUAGGAAAAGGUCUAAGCCUAUGAUAUUAUAACUUAUCACAAAGACAAAUAGUCUUAAUAUUACGAUGAAGCAAUCAUACCUUAUCACCUAAAUUAAAUUGUGGUUAUUCCUUUUGAUAUGCAUUCAUAUUGAUCUUCUGUCAUUCUUGAGCUUCUUUUAAUUCCACCUUCAUUAUUGCAUAUAGCUGGCACAAAUAAUUUGCUAAACCUUUUAUCAUAGUGUAUCAACUUUUGAAAAGUCAAAAGUAUCAAGUCAUGGAUAGUAACUAUAAUUGGUAAAGAAAUAUUUUAUUACAUAUAAAAAUAUAUUGUAUUAUUAUAAGCAAACUAUACUAAUCGCAAGAGGAUUCUCCAAUUGACUUAUUGAUAAUUGAUGGUACAUCAUAAGUAUUCCUUCAAAACUUGGUUUAUUUUCUUUGUUUGUCUAUUAGUGUGAGGAUGAAAGGUUGAAGAAAGCUUUAUGUCUAUCUUUAAAAUCUUAAAAAGAGUUCUCCAAAAUCUUGAUACAAAUUGAGUCUUCAUAUCUGAUAUAAUAUCUUUGGACAAUCUAUGAUAUUGAUAGAUAUUGUUGAGGAAAAAUUUGAAACUUUCUUUACGUGUGAUAGAUUUCGUACAUGGUAAAAAAUAUGUCAUUUUGGUAAAACAAUCUACUAUCACAAAUAUAGAAUCAAUCAAACUUGAAAUUAGAAGAUCCAUGAUAAAAUCCAGAGAAAUCAAAGACUAUGAUUUUUUUGGAAUAGAUAAUGGUUGAAGAAGUCCACAAGGUCGAUGGUAAGGAGUUUUUGACCUUGAACAAAGGUCAUCCGAUUGAACAAAGUCUUUUAUAGCCUUCUACAUUUGCGGUGUUGGGGUAGAGAGAAUUUGCCUCAAGAAAGCGUUGAGCUUUUGGCUGCCACUAAAUACUUAAUCAAGUCUAAAAUAUAAAAAUACCAAUUUUAUAUAUAUAAUAUUUUUCUUUUUUGGACAAUUACAUCAAAACAUAAGCCCGAGUAUGAAGAAAACACCCAAAUAUAUGAUAAAGUAUCUUAAAACCUUAUAUAUCCUUAUGAGAAAUAUUUUUUGAACUUUAACAGCUUAUAUCUUACGAUUGGAGAGUCCAAACAACCUUAAAUUAAAUAUAAAGUACUGAUAUGCUUUCAAAAACUACUACAAAAAAAUUCAAUUAUAAAUUCAUUACGGAUCUUGAGAUAUCACCAAAAUCCUAACAAUAGCUUUAAAUCCUAGCUUACAUACACCUGCGUGCUAAUUUCUUCAUAUCUCACAAAAUAAAUAUUCAAAUACCAUGAAACUUUAAUCUAUAGCUUUUUGAUUUAAUAACUCACACUUAUGGAAAUUUUGAGCCAAAAAUUUAUCCAGAAACUCAAGAUAUGGCUCUAACCAUUACUAUCAAUAAAAUGACUCACUUACUACCUUUGAAUUACAUGUGCUAUCUUCAAUGCCCUAUAUCUCCUUCAUCUAAACUUGGUAUUCAUCAAAAAAUAUAUGUAAAGUGUAGGCCAAAAAGUGUUCUUUCCAACUCUAGUCGCCAAACUUUCAUUGCUCUCUGUAUGUAUAUGUUAUGCUUCAAAGAAUGAGAGUAGAUACAAAUUUGACACCUUAACUUUGAACACCUAUAUCUUCUUUACGAAAAUUCGAAAUCAUACAAAGUAUUCACCCAAAUUAUAUCCAAAAUCCUGAAUUUAUUGACCCUAGCCUUUAAACCUCGAAUGACUUCAAAAGAGAAACCUUGAUCCCUAAUAAGGCCUUGGGUAACCUCCUUGAAGUCCAUUGGGCAUGGGCUUUGAUCAAUAGGAAUGAAGUUUUCCAUUCUUUGCCUUCAUUCAACCAUGCCUUGCUUUCAUCCUUCCCAAUAAGCCUCCUAAUAAUUAAGAAUUUCUUCUUUAGACUCUAAUCUCUUCUAAAGGCUCCAUACUUAACAUUUAGGUUUUAUAAUUUUUUUUGAAAUACUAUAAAUAAAAAGAUAAAUUCAAAAUAAAGUUUCUUAAAUCCACUUUCUUUAAAUUAAUCUAUUUAACCAUUCUAACAUACACCAAGCCUUGUAAACAUAUUAUGUAUUCUAAUUAAUUUUUACAUACUAUAGGCUUUUACAGUAUGAUAGCCGCCACCAAAAAUCUUUAGAUUUUAGCUCCAAAGUCUUGUUAUAUCUAAAAUCCUGUGCUUCUAGAAAGUUGUGACGUGCUUGAAGAACACAUAAACGUACUUCUCUUUCUAGCACAUAUAUGUGUCCUUUGAAAUAAAAUAGGUUGUUCUUGAAUUCAAACUUAGAAGUAUCACAAGACUUAAAAGAAGUAUUCUUGAUAUCAUAAAUAAGAGGAUUAAAGGACAUACUUGAUUGAAUUUGUUUGAAAAAAAUUGAAUCAAUAAUCAAUGUUGAUUUCACUACUUAAAGAUAAAAUUGUUCUGGCUUCAUUAAGAUUAUCCUUUGUUGAUCAAAAGGUACAUAUCCUUCUUUAGGUACAAGAUAAGAACACUCAGAAAGGGUAUCAAAUAAACUUUAUUAUUUUUAUAGGUGAUAAGAGAUAUUGAACUCAAAUCUUAACAAAAACAUAUUAUAAUGAGCCUACAAAUAAUUCAAAACACAAAUUUAUAUGAAAUACUUGAGGUUCUUGUAAUCCAUAUAUACAAUGAGCAAAUUAGAAGCACCCUCUAGAUGAUGAUGCCAUCUUUGGAAAGAAUCUAUAAUAGCAAAUAGCUCUUUGUUAUGGAUCUUAUAAAUAAUCUUGGUUGCUAAAAAUUUCCUAGAAUGAAAAGGUAUUAGGUGAAGUUUAACAUCUAUUUUUAUUUGUAAUUAUACGACACCCAAAGCAAAAUCUGCUCCUUCUAUUUCUAUAAAAAUGCCUUAGAGAAGUCAACGUGAUACAAAACUCAUGCAGAAACAAAGGUUGUCUUUAAAACUUCAAAUGCUACUUCUACAUUUUGAUUCCUUUGAAAUUUUUCCUUAUAAGUCAAACGUGUAAUUAGAGUUCUAAUUUGAAAGAAGUCUUUGAUGAAGAUCUCACAGUAAUUGACAAAUUUCAAAAAAUAUUAUACAUCUCAGAUCAUUUUUGGGAUCUUCCAAUCCAUAAUUGUUUAAACUAUCUUAAGAUCCAUCAUAAAUUUGUCGUUUGAAAUGAUGUAAUCUAAAAAGUCAACUUAAGUAGUAUAGAAGAUACACUUUUUUAUCUUGGCAUAGAGUCUUACAUCUCUUAAUUUUUGUAAGACAUGGCAAAUAUGAAGUUCAUAUUCUUCUAUAUUCUUAGAAUACAUCAAGAUGUUGGUUAGAUAAUAAAAAACAAAAUUGUCCAAAAACUCUCAAAAAACAUUAUUCAUAAGAUGUUGAAAAGCUACUGGUGCAUUUAGAAGUCCAAAAGACAUGACAUUAUAUUCAAAAUUUUUGGACCUAGUUUGAAAUGUAAUCUUUCAUUUAUCUCCUUCUUUCAUGCAUAUUAGAUUGUAUGCUCUUCAUAGAUCCAUUUUUUUUAUAGAUCUUAGCUUGAUUCAAUUGAUCAAAAAAAUCUAGAUAUUAAAGGUAAUAGAUACCUUUUCUUGUUGGUGAUCUUGUUGAGUCCUUAUUAAUCAACACACUUCCACAAUGAUCCAUCUUUUUUCUUCACAAAUAGAAUUGGGGCUUCUACUAAAAAUUUCAAAUGACAUAUGAAGUUCUUGGCUAGAUUUUUUUCAAUAUACUCCUUGAAUUUGGUCAACUUAUUUUGUAAUAAAUUGUAAAUUGGUCCAAAUGGCAGUUGUACUUCUUCUUGAAAGUUAAUUGAACAGUCAUAGGGACAAUAUUUUAGAAGAGUAUCUGUAUUUUUUUUCAAAUACAUCUUUAAAAUCUUGAUAUUGGCUUGGAAUAUGACUUGAAGUCUAUGCACCAUUAGAAAUGGAUGUGACAUAAAUGACAUAAGGUGAUCUUUCUUUUGCAGUAUGUAAGAAAACUCUUUCAUCUAUAAACAUAGGUUUAAUUGUACUAGACUUGUGAUUUCCUACUUGAUUAACUACACUCUUAGUUAUAUUUUUAGAAAAAUUAAGAGUACAAAAAAUCCAAUCUACUCGAGGAUUGUAUUUUUUUAACCACAAUAAAUCUAAAAUGAUUGAAUUAGAAGUAGAUCUAAUGAUAUUAAAUAUUACAAAACUAUUAUGACUAUUAAAUAUUACUUCUAUGGAAAAGGUUAGUGAGUAACAUCUCAAGAAGACAAAUGGCAACCAUCUAUGAUUUCUACGUGAACAGGUUUAAUUUUCCUUAUUAAAAAUAUGUUAAGUCUUUUGGCUAAUUCUUCAUCUAAGAAACACGCUGAGGCUCCUAAAUCUAACAAGGCAAAGACUUUGUAAUGUAUAGGUCCUAAAAUAAUAUUUGAUGUAAAAUAAAGAGAGGAUUUUGAGGAGAGAAUAUAAUCUUUAUUAGGUAUUGUAUAAGUUUCUAGCGACACGGUCUCUAUUGUAGUUGCAUAAAUUUGUUUUGUGAUAUAUUAUCUUCUUUGAUAUUUACAUUCUUCAUUUUAUAAUUCCUUCGAUUCUUUGAAUAAUGUUGAUCAAUGUGCUUAGGUUCUCAAUAAUAUAAGAACAAUCCUUCUUGACAACAAUUGUUUUUCUUGCUUAGUAAGAGGUUUGAAAUAUACUAUAUCAAUUUACAUAUCCUCUACUUUUGAAUGUAGUAUCACAGACAUAUCCAUGUAAGCUAGUAAUUACAUAUAUAAAUAGGUAAAAGUAAGUUAAUUCUAUAGUAUUUAAUAUGGAAGCUUCCUAAAAGCUUCAUAGACGCUGCUUUGACUUCAUAGGUGUCUUUAAUUGACUUUUUGGAUUAAAAAUGUGGUCAACAAGUAAGCCAUGUACCACACAUGUUAUUAGCUUGAAGAUCAAGCUAACUAUAUCGCCUACACAUAGAAAAACUUGCCUUGUAAGUCAAGGCAUGUGCCCUAUAAGUCAACACAUAUUAGAGGUCAUAUAGAACGUCGCCAUGUAGUCCCUAGUUAGAUAUUAUAUAUAGAGACAAGAGUGAAGCCUUCUUUACUCUUGUCAACCUUUUUCUUGCUUCUAGUGUAGUUUCAAGGGUCUCUAGUUUUCUUGUCUUUUGGCAAUAGCCAUUCCAAUUUCUCUUUCAAUAUACAUACUUGUUUAAUUAUAUUUUCUUACUUUUCUUUGAGUGAAGGCUCACUUAUCUGAAUUACUUUUUCAUCGAGUUUUUGUCCUUGAUAGAUUGAAAAGAGUACACCUACAAUAUCUGAGCUUUAUCUAAUCUUGAUUAAGAGUAGAUUACCCCUUUUUCUUGAUAAGAUAUAAGCAUAUUAGAAGUUACAAAUUAUCCUCUUCUAAACUGAUAUUGUCUUUAGUAUUUUCUUUGUUCUCAAGUCUUUUCUUCUAUUUGUCUUGAGCGAUAUUAGACAUCUUCUUUUCUCUAAGUAUUAUCAUGGCAGAACUCGUUGAAAUAAAGAGUGCAAUGGUACAAAUGCAAGAACAAUUGAAGAAGUUAAUGCUUGCGAUGCAUCAACUUAAUUUACCACCAUAAGGAGCAACAAGAUUAGCAGGAAGUGAAGAUAUAGAAAUGGUUGGAGCUGCUUUAACAUCUACACCAAACCAUGUUCUUUCUCCUAUAGUGAAACGUCCUUUCAGUAUUAGAGAAUCAAGAAUUAUCCUACCUGAGAAGUUUGAUGGCACCAGAUCCAAGUUUUGAGGAUUUAUCAAUCAAGUGUAACUUGUGAUUGAACUUCAACUCCAAAGCUAACCAAUUCGAGAAUCACAAGUUAGAUUCAUUGGUAUGUUUCUUUUAAGUUUAGCACUAUCGUGGUUUUCAUAUUUUCUUGAAUGACGAGAUCUAAUAUUAGAUAAUCUAAAGGCUUUUCAGGUGAAGUUUCGAUCCAUGUAUGGAAAACAUGAUACAAUUCGUGUUGCAAUCAAUAAGAUCCAUAUUUUACGACAAGACAACUGAUUAGUAACGUUGUACGCUUCAUAAUUUGAUAACUUGCAAUAGAUAUGAAGUGGAAUGAUAUUGCACUUAUUAGCCAAUUUUUCUACGGAUUACAAUAUGAGGUAAAAAAAUUAAUGCUCAACUUACCUGAUCCUCAAGCAUUGAGUCAAGCAAUUGACUUUGCAGUGAAGUGUAAUAAUUGCCUUUUUGAAUUUCGAUCUGAGAACUGUAUAAGUGAAUCUCAACGUUACUAUAAUUCAAUGGCAACACCAACACUUCUUCAACACAUACAUUCGAAAGUAGAUGAUAUACAAAUUGAUGCAGUACAUUUCAAACCUUUUACUGAGCAAGAAAAGACUCGUCAUCGUCAAGAAGGAUUAUGUUUAUAUUGUGGAGAACCAAAGCACACUACUCAAUAUUAUCCAAAAAAAUGACGCAAUCAAAAAAUGAGGAGUAUGGCUGUGAAAGAAGACAAUAUGUCGAAAAAUGAGUUUGUCUAGUUACAAUAGGGACCGUGCGGCUGGAACCUUAUACAACAUCUAAUAAAGGUCCUAUUCUCUCUUCAAAGCCUUCUCCUUAUUUUACAUUAAAUAUUAUUUUAGGACCUAAACAUUACAAAGCCUCAGCCUUAUUAGAUUCAGGAGCCUCAACGUGUUUCUUAGAUGAAGAAUUUAUUAAAAGAUAUAACAUAUCUUUAGUAAACAAAACUAAACAUGUUCAUGUAGAAGUCAUAGAUAGUCAUCUAUUGUCUUCUGGAGAUAUUACUCACGAAACCCUUCCUAUAGAAGUAAUAAUCAAUGGUCAUAAUAGCUUUGUAGUAUUUAAUAUCAUAAGAUCUCCCUCUAAUCGAGUCAUUUUAGGUUUAUGGUGGUUAAAAAAAUACAACUUUUAAAUAGAUUAGAUUUCUUGAACUCUUACUUUCUCUAAAAGUAUAACUAACAAAGUAGUUAAUCAAGUAGAGAGUCAUAAGUCCAGUUCAAUUAAAUCCGUAUUUAUAGGUGCAAAAGCUUUCUUACAUGCUGCUAUGAAAGAAUCACCAUAUAUUAUUUAUGCCACACCUGUUUUUACUAGUGAAAAGACUUCAAGUGGCAUUCCAUGCCAAUAUCAAGAAUUUCAAGAUGUAAUUGAAAAAAAGAAUGCUUAUACACUCUCGAAACAUCAUCCCUAUGAUUGCUCAAUUGACCUUUAAAAAACAGCACAACCGCCAUUUGGACCAAUCUACAAUUUAUCAUAAAAUGAGUUGACUAAAAUCAAUGAGUAUAUUGAAGAAAAUCUAGCCAAGAAUUCUAUACGCCAUUCUAAAUCUCCGAUAGGAGCUCCAAUUUUAUUUGUAAAGAAAAAAGAUGGAUCAUUGCGGAUGUGUAUUGAUUAUCGAGGACUCAACAAGAUUACUAUCAAGAAUAGGUAUCCACUACCUUUAAUAUCUGGACUCCUUGAUCAGCUGAAACAAGCUAAGAUCUACACAAAAAUAGAUCUCCGGGGAGCAUACAAUCUAGUACGCAUCAAAAUAGGAGAUGAAUGGAAGACUACGUUUUGAACUAGGUAUGGAUAUUUUGAAUACAAUGUCAUGUCUUUUAGACUUACAAAUGCACCAGCAGCUUUUCAACAUCUAAUGAAUGCUAUUUUUUGAGAUUUUUUGGAAGAUUUUGUAGUCUGUUAUCUAGAUGACAUCUUGAUCUAUUGUAAGAAUCCAGAAGAAUAUGAAUUUCAUGUUUGUCAUGUAUUACAAAAAUUAAGAGAUGUAGGACUCUAUGUGAAGAUAAAAAAGUGUGUAUUUCACACUACUCAAGUCGAUUUCUUAGGUUACAUCAUUUCAAAUAAUGGACUUAUGAUGGAUCCUAAGAAAGUUCAAACUAUUAUAGAUUUGAAGAUCCCAAAAACGGUAAGAGAUGUCCAAUACUUUUUGGAAUUUGCCAACUACUAUCAAAUCUUCAUCAAAGACUUCUCUCGAAUUGCAGCUCCACUUCCACGUUUGACUUGUAAAAACAAACUACAAUGGAAUCAAGAAGCGAAAGUUGCUCUUGAAUCUUUAAAGACAACGUUUAUUUUUGCUCCAAUCUUGUAUCCUGUUGAUUUUUCCAAAGCAUUCUUUAUGGAAACAGACGCAUCAGACUUUGCUCUGGAUGCAGUUUUAUCAUAAAUGGGAACAGAUGACAAACUUCAUCCAGUAGCCUUUCAUUCAAGAAAAUUCUCAACAGUAAAAAUCAAUUAUAAGAUUUAUGACAAAGAACUUCUUGCAAUUGUGGAUUCUUUUCAAGAAUGGCAUCAUUAUCUAGAAGGCGCUUCCAAUCCAGUCACUGUGUAUAUGGAUCACAAGAACCUCGAGUAUUUUAUAUCAACACCAGUAUUAAAUCAUCGUCAAGCUCGUUGGACCAUGUCUUUAUGAAGAUUCGAGUUCAUCAUCACUUAUAGGCCAGAAAAACAACAAGGUUUGUGUGAUGCCUUGUCUAGACGUUUAUAUCUUGCACCAAAAGAAGGAGAUGCAGCUUUAGAGUAACAAAGAACUGUUCUCUUGAAGCCGAAGUAAUUUCAUCUUUGAGUAAUAAAAUCAAUAUUGACUGUUGAUUGAACUUUUCUUAAGCAAGUCCAGUUAAAUAUGUCUUUAGAUCCUCUUGUUUAUGAUAUCAAGAAUAAUUCUUUUAAAUCCUAUGAUCGUUCUAAAUUCGAAUUCAAGAACAACCUACUUUAUUUCGAAGGAUGCUUGUAUGUUUAAGAAGGAGAAGCACAUUUACGUAUUCUUCAAGCUCGUCACGACUUCCUAAGAAUAGGAUAUUUUGGAUAUAAUAAGACUUUGGAGCUGAUAUCUAGGGAUUUUUGAUGGCCUCAAAUGUAAAAGGCAGUGAAAGAUUUUGUACAAUCAUGUGAUAUUUGCUCAAGAUCAAAAACUCCUCGUCAUCGACCUUUUGGACUUCUUUGGCCAUUACCCAUUCCAAAACAACCAUGGUCUUCUGUUUCUAUGGACUUCAUCACGGAUCUUCCAAUCUCAGGUUCUUAUGACUCUAUAUUCGUGAUAAUAGCUUAUUUUACCAAGAUGGCAUAUUUUUUACCAUGUACAAAAUCUAUCAUAGGUGAAGAAAUAGCUAAGCUUUUUCUUGACAAUAUCUAUCGCUAUUAUGGAUUAUCAAAGGAUAUUAUAUCAUAUAGGAGAACUCAAUUUGUAUCAAGAUUUUGGCGGACUCUUUUUAAGAUUCUAAAAGUGGAUAUAAAACUAUCUUCGGCAUUCCAUCCUCAAACUGAUGGACAAAUGGAGCGUGUUAAUCAAGUUUUGGAGUAAUAUUUAAGAUGUAUCAUUAACUACCAACAAGAUGAUUGGACAACUCUUUUGCCAUUGGCAAAGUUUGCUUAUAAUAAUACAGUACAUUCUUCUAUAAAAUAAACACCUUUCUUUACUAAUUAUGGUUAUCAUCCACGACUUGAUACUUUUGACUUUUUAAAAGUUGAUAAUUCAGCUGCGAAUGAUUUGGUGAUUCAUUUAUCAGAACUACAUGCAAUGAUGAAGGCACAGUUAAAAGAGGCUCAAGAACAACAAAAGGUCAAUGCGGAUGUCUAUCGAAAGGAACAACCAUCAUUCAUCUUGGGUGAUAAGGUAUGGCUACUUUGUCGCAAUAUCAAGACCACUCGUCUUUGUGACAAGUUGGACUAUCAAAGGCUUGGACCAUUUUCUAUUUCUGUACAAAUCAAUCCAGUUGCAUAUCGUUUACAUCUACCGGAGUCAAUAAAAAUCCAUCUAGUAUUCCAUAUGUUUCUUCUUGAACCAUAUAAGACAAUGUAUAUACCAAGAAGAAGACAAGCUCCACCUCCUCCUAUAGAAGUGGACAAUAAUGAAGAGUUUGAAGUAGAAGAAGUCUUAGAUUCAAGGCGACACCAAAAUAAAUUGGAAUAUCUUGUCCAUUAGCAUGGAUAUGAUAUUAGUGAACACACCUGGAAGCUAAUAAAGAAUCUUGCAAAUGUAGCAAAGGCAGUGGAGGCUUUUCAUCGACGACAUCUAUCAAAAUCAAGAUAAAAAUCUUCUUUAUAAAAGAAACAACAUAUAGGCAAGAUAACAUUCUACUUUCAAUCCUUGUUUAUAGCUUCUUUGUAGUUGUGACGCUCAUGAGAUGGAAAAACAACAACGAGUAGAUUUGGCUUAAGAGCCUUUAUUUAUUGACCUGUCAGAUGAAAAAUUAUGAUUGUUACAACCUUCAAGACGAUGCAAUCGAAAUGAAGAUCUUCAAGAAUGACAUGUUCUUCUUCGAAUAGAUGGCGAGAUACAAUGUGUUUGAUAUCACGACUUGGAAAGGGACUCUCGAUGAUUGGUGAUUUUACUAGAGGUAGGAACAACUCCCGAUGGUGUUUCAAAUGUUUUAUUCGAAGGAAGUUAUGAAGGCUUCAAUAAUGAUCAAAUAACUGGGUGGUCUUCCUACCCUGCUAUAGGACACUACCGAUGGUUGAGAGGCCCUAUCAAUCAUCUUCGAAGAGAACAAAGAUCACAGUAUGUGGAGAAUACAAUUCGUCGCAUCAUAGACUUCUUCAAUAUAUGAUGACCACUCCUCGUGGAACUUGUCCCUAGAAGGGGGGGAUAAUGUCAUGGACAUACUCAUGUAAGCUAGUAAUUAUAUAUACAAAUAGGUAAAAGUAAGUUAAUUCUAUAGUAUUUAAUAUAAAAGCUUCUGUCAAGGACAAGAACUCGAUGAAAAAACAAUUCAAACAAGUGAGCAUUCACUCAAAGAAAGAUAAAAAAAUAUAUAUAUAAACAAGUAUAUAUAUUGAAAGAGAAAGUAGAAUGGCUAUUGCCAAAAGACAAGAAAACUAGAGACCCUUAAAACAGACUAGAAGCAAGAAAGGAGUUGACAACAGUGAAGAAGCCUUCACUGUUGUCUCUAUAUAUACUCUCUAACUAGGGGCUACAUGGCGGCGUUCUAUAGGACCUCCAAUAUGUGUUGACUUUGUAGGGCACAUGCCUUGACUUACAAGGCAAGUUUUUCUACGUGUGGGCCACAUAGUUAGCUUGAUCUUCAAGCUAACAACAUGUGUGGCACAUGGCCAACUUGUUGACUACGUUUUUAAUCCGAAAAGUCAAUUAAAGACACCUAUGAAGUCAAAGCAGCGUCUAAGAAAUUUCUAGGAAGCUUUUAUAUUAAAUAUUAUAGAAUUAACUUAUUUUUACAUACUUUUACUUACUUCUACCUAUUUCUAUAUGUAAUUAUUAACUUACAUGAUUAUAGCCAUGACAUUACCCCCCCCCCUUCUAGGGACAAGUUCCAUGAGGAGCGGUUAUCAUAUGUUGAGGAAAUCUAUGAUGCGACAAAUUGUAUUCUCCACAUACUCUGAUCUCUGUUCUCUUCGAAGAUGAUUGAUAGGGCCUCUCAACCAUCAGUAGUGUCCCAUACCAAGACAGGAAGACCACCCAGUUAUUUGAUCAUUGUUGAGGCCUUCGUAACUUCCUUCAAAUAGAAUAUUUGGAACACCAUCAGGAGUUGUUUCUACCUCUAGCAAAAUCACCAAACAUCGGGAGUCCCUUCCCAAAUCGUGAUACCAAACGUGUUGUAUCUCACCAUCUAUUUGAGGAAGAAUAUGUCGUUCUUGAAGAUCUUCAUCUCGAUUGCGUCGUCUUGAAGGUUGUGACAAUCGUAAUGUCUCGUCCGGCAGGUCAGCAAAUAAAGCCUCUUGAAUUAAAUCCGCUCGUUGUUGGUUCUCCAUCUCCUGAGCGCCACUACUACAACGAAGCUACGAACAAGAAUUGAAAGUAGAAUGUUAUCUUGCUUAGAUGUUGUUUCUUUUAUAAAGAAGGUUUUCAUCUUGAUUUUGAUGGAUGUCGUCGAUGAAAAGCCUCCACUGCCUUUGUUGCAUUUGCAAGAUUCUUCAUUGGCUCUGAUGUGUGUUCACUAAUAUCAUAUCCGCACCAAUGGACAAGAUAUUCUAUUUUAUUUCGACGUCGCCUUGAAUCUAAGACUUCUUCUACUUCAAACUCUUCAUUAAUGUCCACUUCUAUAGGAGGAGGUGGAGCUUAUCAUCUUCUUGGUAUGUCUACUAUCUUGUAUGGUUCAAGAAGAGACACAUGGAAUACUGGAUGGAUUUUCAUUACCUUCGAUAGAUGUAAACGAUAUGCAACUGGAUUGAUUUGUACAAAAAUAGAAAUUGGUCCCAGCCUUCGAUAGUCCAAUUUGUCGCAAGGACGAGUGGUCUUGAUAUUACGACGAAGUAGCCAUACCUUAUCACCCACGUUGAGUUGUGGUUGCUCCUUACGAUAUACAUCUGCAUUUAUCUUUUGUCGUUCUUGAGCUUCCUUCAAUUGCGCCUUCAUUAUUGCAUGUAACUCUGACAACCGAUUUGCAAUAUCUUUUGCUGCAGGAUUAUCAACUUUUAAAAAAUCAAAAGCAUCAAGUCAUGGAUGAUAGCCAUAAUUGGCAAAAAAAGGUGUUUGUUGCGUGGAGGAAUGUACCGUAUUAUUAUAAGCAAACUCUGCCAAUGGCAGAAGGGUUGUCCAAUCAUCUUGUUGGUAGUUGAUGGUAUACCUUAAAUACUGCUCCAAGACUUGGUUUACGUGCUCUGUUUGUCCAUCAGUUUGAGGAUGGAAAGCCGAAGAUAGCUUUAUGUCUACUUUUAAAAUCUUGAAAAGGAUCCUCCAAAAUCUCGACACAAAUUGAGUUCUCCUAUCCGAUAUGAUAUCUUUACGUAAUCCAUGAUAGCGAUAGAUAUUAUCAAUGAAAAGCUUAGCUGUUUCUUCACCUAUGAUAGAUUUUGUACAUGGCACAAAAUGUGCCAUCUUGGUGAAACGAUCUACUAUCACAAAUAUAAAAUCAUAAGAUCUUGAGUUUGGAAGAUCUGUGAUGAAAUCCAUAGAAACAAAAGACCAUGGUUGUUCUGGUAUAGGUAAUGGCUGAAGAAGUCCGUAAGGUCGAUGAUGAGGAGUUUUUGAUCUUGAAUCAAUAUUACAUGAUUGUACAAAGUCUUUGACUGACUUCCACAUUUGUGGCCACCAAAAAUCUCUUGAUAUGAGUUCCAAAGUCUUAUUAUAUCCAAAGUGUCCUGCUACUGGAAAAUCAUGACGUACUUGAAGAACACGUAAACGUGCUUCUCCUUUUGGAACAUAUAGGCAUCUCUUACUGUCCUUAGAAUCUUCCAAUCCAUAAUUGUUUGGACUUUCUUAGAAUCCAUCAUGAGACCAUCAUUUGAAAUAAUGUAUCCUAAAAAGUCAACUUGAGUAGUGUGAAAUACACACUUUUCCAUCUUGGCGUACAAUCCUGCAUCUCUAAGUUUUUGUAAUACUUGACGAACAUGUAUUUCAUGUUCUUCGAUGUUGUUAGAAUAGAUCAAGAUAUCGUCUAGAUAGCAGACGACAAAAUUGUCUAAGAAUUCACAAAAUACAUCAUUCAUGAGAUGUUGAAAAGCAGCUGGUGCAUUCGUGAGUCCAAAGGGCAUGACAUUAUAUUCGAAAUGUCCAUACCUAGUUCGAAACGCAGUCUUCCAUUCAUCUCCUUCUUUGAUCUGUACUCGAUUAUAUGCUCCUCUUAGAUCUAUUUUUGUAUAGAUCUUAGCUUGAUUCAACUGGUCAAGGAGUCCUGAUAUCAAAGGUAAUGGAUACCUGUUCUUGAUUGUGAUCUUGUUGAGUCCUCAAUAAUCAACACACAUUCGUAAAGAUCCAUCUUUUUUCUUUACGAAUAGAAUUGGAACUCUUGCUGGAGAUUUUGAAUGGCGUAUGAAAUUCUUCGCUAAAUUCUCGUCAAUAUAUGUCUUGAGUUCAGCCAUCUCAUCUUGCGAUAAACUGUAAAUUGGUCCAAAUGGUGGCUGAGUUCCUUCCUUGAGGUCGAUUGAACAAUCAUAUGGGCGAUGCUCAGGAAGAAUAUCUGCAUUCUUUUUCUCAAAAACGUCUUGAUACUCCUGAUAUUGACUUGGAAUGUCACUUGAAGUCUCUACGCUUUCAGAAAUAGGUGCAACAUAAAUAGUAAAAGUUGAUCCUUCUUUUGCUGCGUGUAUAAAUGCUUUUGCACCUAUAAGUACGGGUUUUACUAUAUUAGAUUUAUAACUUUUUACUUGGUUGGUAGAACUAUUAAUAAUGCUUUGAAAAAAGUCAAGUUUACGAGAAUUUCAAUCUAUUCGAGGGUUAUAUUUUUCUAGCCAGGAUAAACCUAAAAUAACUGGAUUGGACGGGGAUUUAAUUAUGUUAAAAGCUAUGUAGCUAACAUGACCGUUUAUUUAUACUUUUAUAGGACGAGUUUCAUGAGUGACAUCUCCAGAAGACAAAGGACGGCCAUCAAUGACUUCUACAUGUACGGGUUUAGUUUUCUGUACAAAAGGUAUUUUAUGACUUUUAACAAAUUGUUCAUCUAAAAAACAUGCUAAGGCUCCCAAAUCUAAUAAAGCAAAGGCUUUGUAAUUCUUAGGUCCUAAAUAUAAUUCUAUUAUAAAACAAGAAGAGGGUUCUGAGGAGAGGAUAGGACCUUCAUUAGGAAUUGUACAAGGUUCCAGCUGCACGGUCCCUAUUGUAGCUGGACGAAUCCGUUUUCUGACAUGUUGUCUUCUUUGACCGCCGUACCCCUCAUUUUAUAGUUACGUUGUUUCUUUGGACAAUGUUGAGCAGUGUGCUUAGGUUCUCCGCAAUAUAAACAUAAUCCUUCUUGAUGACGACGAAUCUUUUCUUGCUCAAUUAGGAAUUUAAAAUGUACCAUGUCAAUUUGCAUGUCUUCUACUUCCGAAUGUACAUUUGGCAAAGAUGCUGAUGUUGCCAUUGAGUAAUAACGUUGAAGUUCCCGUGUACGACUCUCGAAUCGAAAUUCAAAAAGUCGAUUGUCACAUUUUACCGCAAAAUCGAUUGCUUGACUCAAAGUUUGAGGAUCAGAUAAGUUGAGCAUCAAUUUCUUUACUUCGUAUUAUAAUCCAUAAAGAAAUUGAUUGAUGAGUGCAGCAUCAUCCCACUUGAUGUCAAUUGCAAGUUGUCAAAAUUGUGAAGCAUACAUUGUUACUGAGUGGUUUCCUUGUCGCAGAAUUUGGAUCUUGUUUGUUGCGACACGAGUUGCAUCAUAUUCACCAUACAUAGAUCGAAACUCUACCAAAAAAGCUUCUAAAUUACCUAAUAUUGGAUUUCGUUGUUCAAGAAAAGACGAAAACCAGGAUAAUACAGAACUAGAAAGUAGAGUGCCAAUAAACCUGACUUGUGAUCCUAGAAUUGGAUAGCUUUGCGAUUGAAGUUCAAUUGCCAAUUGUAUUUGAUUGAUGAACCCUCGAAACUUUGAUCUUGUACCAUCAAAUUUCUCGGAUAAAGCAAUUCUUGGUUCUCUAGUACUUACAGGGUGUUGUACAAUUGGAGAAGGAAUGUGAUUUGGUACAGAUGUUGAAGCAGCUCCAAUUAUCUCUAUAUCUCCACUUUCUGCUAUUCUUGUUCUUUCCUGUGUUGGUGAAUUGAGUUGAUGCAUCGCAAGCAUUAACUCCCUCAAUUGUUCUUGCAUUUGUGCCAUUGCACUCUUCAUUUCAACAAGCUCUGCCAUAAUGUUACUAAGAAGAAAAAUUUGUCUGAUAUUGCUCAAGACAAAAGAAAAAGAAAAGACUUGAUAACAAUGAAGAUACUAAGAACAAUAUUAGUUUAGAAGUGGGUAAUCGGCAAACUUCUAAUACGCUUAUGUCUUGUCAAGAGAAAGGGGUAAUCCACUCUUACUCAAGAAAAACAAAGCUCUGAUAUUGUAAGUGCACUCUUGUCAAUCUGUCAAGGACAAGAACUCGAUGAAAAAACAAUUCAAACAAGUGAGCAUUCACUCAAAGAGAGGUAACAAAAUAUAUAUAAACAAGUAUAUAUAUUGAAAGAGAAACUGGAAUGACUAUUGCCAAAAGACAAGAAAACUAGAGACCCUUGAAACAGACUAGAAGCAAGAAAGGAGUUGACAAGAGUGAAGAAGCCUUCACUCUUGUCUCUAUAUAUACUAUCUAACUAGGGGCUACAUGGCGACGUUCUAUAGGACCUCCAAUAUGUGUUGACUUUGUAGGGCACAUGCCUUGACUUACAAGACAAGUUUUUCUACGUGUGGACCACAUAGUUAGCUUGAUCUUCAAGCUAACAACAUGUGUCGCACAUGGCCAACUUGUUGACCACGUUUUUAAUUCGAAAAGUCAAUUAAAGACACCUAUGAAGUCAAAGCAACGUCUAGGAAAUUUCUAGGAAGAUUUUAUAUUAAAUAUUAUAGAAUUAACUUAUUUUUACCUACUUUUACUUACUUCUACCUAUUUCUACAUGUAAUUAUUAACUUACAUGAUUAUGGCCGUGACAACUUCCUAGAAGCUUCAUAGACACUGCUUUGACUUCAUAGGUGUCUUUAAUUGAUUUUUGGGAUUAGAAACGUGGUCAAUAAGUUGGCCAUGUGCCACACAUGUUAUUAGCUUGAAAAUCA
rnacentral:lncRNA from 1 species